rnacentral:lncRNA from 1 species
UCGUCGGCGGCGGUGGUAAGGACGCGGGUUUUCAGAAGUGGGUUUGCUGGGUGAAAAAUCUAUUGCAGUGGAGAUGGAGGGCGAAGGCAGAGGAAGAGGAUGCGGUGUCGUUCUCGUUAUCAUAUGGAGAGGAGGGCCGCAGAGACUGUGAAGGAGGGUCGGAGAGAAAAAAAAAAAAAAGAGGGCGGGGUUGGAGGCGAGAAGGGUGGGGGAUGAGUGGGCGCGAGUGAGUGUGCAAAAGGCGGAGGCGAGGCAGGACGUCCCGGAGGACGGUGGCGAGCGCAGCCCCGACGGGGUCGUAGGCAAGGAGGAUGGGGGGGGGAGGGGUGCACAAGCGCGGGCGUGGGUCCGCAGGUGUGGGCGAGGGCGAGGGUGAGGGCGAGGGCCCGCAGGGUAGAGACGAGGUGGGCCGUCUUUGGCCCUUUGCCUUCGCCGCUCUCUUCGAAGAGAAUAAAAAAAAGACGAGAGAAAAAAAGAGAGAGAGAAAAGAAUAAGGGUAUUUUGGUUAGUUGACGGAAAAUCCGGACUGAAUUUGCAAAAUCGAAAAAGAUGGCCCGGUUUUGCAAAAGCUUAAAACUUGUGUAUUUUUUAUGCAAAUUGGCCUAAUAGUAUUGUAUAUAUUGCACCAAUAGUCUCCAAAAAUUUGGCAAGUUUCAGUUGGUCUUCAAAUUCAAAUCCAAUAUUUGACAUUUUUGAUAUUUUAAACUUUAGAAAAUAUUUCACUAGAAUUGUUGCCUUUGUUUUAUAUAAUAUUGACCACACCCGGUGCACUUGUACAUUGGACCUCGUCUUAUCUUUUAUAAUUAUAUAUUUGGAAGUCAAACUAUUGUAUGGAAACACCGGCAAAGUUUAAAAGUCAUGCGUGUCAUUUUCUUUUCAAAAAAAGUAGUCAUCCUAUUGAAUGCCGCAUUUGCCAUGGUUUAUGCUUACAAAAAAUAUUUUACAAGCUUGCGUACAUGGUCACAUUUAAUUAGUAGAAAGACAUCAACCACGUUGUGGUUUACAAGACCAAUAAUAAUAUUCAACCAUUAAAUUUCAAAUCUUUAAUAAAAUAAUAUAGAAUUUGUUCAUCAUCAGUGGAGUAUUUUUCAUUCGAAAUUUAUAGUUGCGACAAUUAUCACUGUAAAUGAUAUUCUGUUGUAAAUGGAUAGAGGUAAAAUUAAUUCAAGAUGUGCUUCAUUAUAUUUCGAAAUAGAUACAAAAUCCAAUCAUAUAAGAAAAGAUCAAAACAGUAGUCAAAUAAUUAAUUAAACUGAACAUUUGUGUUUCAUUACCCAUUCUAGUAACUAAAACAUCUUCUGGUUUUCGAGUUGGAAACUAUGUUGAUCAUCUAAUUAGCAAAAAAUAAUUUCAAGAGUUCUACAAUCUCCUUAAAUUUGAAUUUUUGCAAGUUGGGCCUCUUUUGUGAAGCAAACUUGGGGAUCAAUUGAAUAGAUACAAAAUCCAAUCAUAUAAGAAAAGAUCAAAACAGUAGUCAAAUAAUUAAUUAAACUGAACACUUUUUUUUCAUUACCCAUUCUAGUAACUAAAACAUCUUCUGGUUUUCGAGUUGGAAACUAUGUUGAUCAUCUAAUUAGCAAAAAAUAAUUUCAAGAGUUCUACAAUCUCCUUAAAUUUGAAUUUUUGCAAGUUGGGCCUCUUUUGUGAAGCAAACUUGGGGAUCAAUUGCAUAAUUACUGCACAUUUAAUCCAAUCCCAAAAACAAAAACUAAUGAAAAAAAAGAAAAAAAAGGGAGAGAAUACAGAUGUGCUAUAUAUUAAUAGAAAAUUAUCCUACAAAAUAUUUGGAAUGCUUAAAAAAGUGCAGUUUUUUUUAAGUAUAAUUAAACCUCAAAUGUUAAACCUAACUAUCACCCAAAAUGUUAUAACUGGAUUAAAAAAUUUAGUUCUAUUUUCUUCUCAUAUAUUGAACUAUUCCAAAUUCUACGGGUGUCACAAAAAAAUUUAAAAUUUAAAUUUUAAAAUUUAAGUUUCCAAUUAUAAACAUAGAUUUUAAAUUUUAAUUUUAAAAAUUUUAAAUUUAGCUUUGAUUUCAAAUUUAAAUUUUAAAUAUCAAAUUUCAAAACUUAAAUUUAGAUUUUAAAUCUCAAAUUUUAAAAUUUGAAUUUUGAAUAUAAAAUUUUAAAUUUUAAAUUUCAAAUUUCAAAUUUCAAAACUUAAAUUUAGAUUUUAAGCCUCAAAUUUUAAAUUUCAAAUUUUGUAUAUCAAUUUCAAAUUUCAACUUUUAAAUUUUAAAUUUCAAAUUUCAAAUUUCAAAAUUUUAAUUGUAAAUUUUAUAUUUCAAAAUUUUUAUUUUUUAUAUCAAAAUUUUGAAAUUUAAACUUUAAAAUUUAAAGUCCAAAUUUUAAAUUUAAAUUUCAAAUUAUAAAUUAUAAAUUUUAAAAUUUAAUUAUUAAAAUCUUGUGAAAUUAUAUACUAUAUAUCUAAAUAAUUUAAAAAUAAGAGAUAAUUGCUUAUAUACCUCUCAAAACUUUUGAAAUAUUUAAAAUACCCUGUUUUUUUUUCUUUUAAAAUAUACCCUUGUAUAUUUUUUCGUUAUUCAAAAAUACUUACGCUGUUAGUAGUCGUUAAGUUAUCUCAGAUUUAAUCUGUUUUAAAUUUCUAUCAAGUUAAGAAAAAGUUAAAAUACGUCUUUUACCCCAGGCUUAAAAGCAAAUAAGAAAGGAAAAACUUCUAAAACCCCUCAUGUGGUUUCACACUUUUUUAUUUUAGUACCUUGUGGUUUAAAGUGUAUCAAGUUAGUACUCUGUGAUUUCGCACUUUCUCACUUUAGUAUUCUGUGGUUUAAAGUGUAUCAAGUUAAUACUCUUUGGUUUUAUUUUUGUAUCAAGUUAGUACCAUGUGGUUUUAUUUUUGUAUCAAGUUAGUACCGUGUGAUUUUAUUUUUCUCUUAAUGAAAUAUUAAACAACAGGGUACUAAAGUGAGAAAGUGCGAAACCACGGGGUACUAACUUGAUACACUUUAAACCACAGAAUACUAAAGUGAGAAAGUGCGAAACCACGGGAUACUAACUUCACUUUAAACUAUACUAUACUAAAGUGAGAAAGAGUGAAACCACAAUAGGGGUAUUUGAAGGUUUUCCAAUAAAAAAAGUUGGUGAUGAUAAAAAAGUAUAUUUAAAAGAAAAAAAAAUCAAAAUGUUUUUUUCUGCCUCUAACUUAAGGGCACAUAAAAAAAAAUUGGUGACAAUAAAAAAUAAAUUUGAUAGGACAAAAUAGUAAUUUUAUAAAAAUAAUAUUUAUUUUUAACAAUUCAAUACCAAAACCUGACUUCAAGUUAUAUUUGAAAAAACAUCGAACGUUAAAAAAAUAUUUUAAAUAUUAUCCUGCUAAAAGGGACAAAUAAAAAGGUUGAAAAAAUAUUUUUAAUAUUAUCCUCUAAAAGGGACAAAUAAAAAGAUUGAAAACCUUUCGUCAAUAUAAAAACAAUUGCUCCUAAAAAUAAAGCCAUCACAUCUUUAGAGUAACAGAAUUCCUGUUACAUCCGGACUUUAUUUUGAGAGUUUCAGAAUUUUCUAUUAUGUCCAGACCAAAACCAUAUAAUAUUAACUUCAUAAAAUUUUAUAACUACCCAUUCAAACUGGACCUAAAAGAGCUUUUACAUAAUGUACUGUUUACAACAAAUUUUACACGAGCUUACACCAAUCCCGUUUGAAUGUUUGAGAGAUUAGUUGCCAUUCUCUCUACUCUCACAUCACAAAUAGGAAUAACCAAAACACAGAAGAGCAAUCAACAUGUAUAUAUAUAUAUUUAUAUCCACAAAAGAGCUUCUCAUGCUAAGCUCUCCCUCAACAAAGUGGACCUUCAAACCCUCAGAAGAAGAGAUACAGCACAAGGGAGAUUUACAAGAAGUGAAUCUGAGCAUUGCAUUUACCCACAUCCACUUCUAUUCCCUCUACGAAGUCACCAUGACCACAUUACAGGAGUGGCGGCAGCGGUGGGGUUCGGCCCGAACUGCGGAUUCAUGCAAUGCUGCUGUUGUUGCUGCUGCCACUGACUGUUGAAUCCCCCAUCUCCACUCCCUUCGCUCAUUCUGUUAUCGGGAUUUUGCUCUCUCUCCCCUCCUUCGACUUCCAUGGAAGCACUUUCAGCCUCUUCAGCCUCCAUCGGCUCCUCCACUGCUACUUCCCUCCUAAGCUCAGUUCCGUGAAUCCAAUUAGUGGCUGCCUCUCUCCCAACCCAGGGAACAACAGCUAGGCAGUUAUUGCUCCCUUCACCUGGCUCCUCGUCCAACAUGUGGUUUCCCCUUCUGUGGAAAACUUGACCUGGAAUGUUUCAAAAACAGUUAUUCGAGUUUAAAUCAUAAUAAUAUAAUAUAAUAUACAUCAAACUGAAGAAUAUUUCACCGACAGCAAGACCACUGCACUGUAUAAAAAAGCAUGUAAUUUCCUUUUUCUUCAUUUUUUUUUUUUUAUCUGUCACAAUUCCUCAAAUUUCUCUCUCUGGGUCUUAUGUCUCUUGUAUUAAUCUUUCAUACUGGUGUUCUCAUUCCCCAUACUUAGAAUCUUUCCUUUCUCCAUGUAAUUAGAACUACGUACAAUAACUCUAACCUCCUUGAAUUAUGGAUCAUAAGUACCUCUCCCUUCACUAACUUCUUGUGUAGCCACCACUACAUGGGAGUAAUUCUGGAGAGUACUAUAAUGAAGUUGCAUUCCAAACAGAUUACCAAUUUUACGAUCCUCAAGCUUACCGCACAUGAGAAGAUAUUCAUAAAUCAUGGAUUCAAUGGUAGACUUACUCUUGAGGCCGUGGAGGAAAUCCGAGCUCACUCGGAAAGAGACAUUUGAUCCCCCAGGGCCAAAGAGAAGUUGGCCCUCAACUGGCUUGUAAAGAACAAGAGCUCUCUCCUCAUUCGAAGGGAGGGUAGGAAGAGUUGGCGGCCCGUCUUCCACCGCUGGCCCUGAUCCAAUAACCAUGGCGGGCACGCUGGCUUCCUCCUUCGUUAGUUGUGGCUGUUGUUCGAUGUCCAAAGGAACUGCAAGGUCCUCCCCUUCAAUGAUUGGUGGCAACUCUGCAUCCUUCAGAAAAUUGAAUUAGAAUUAGGAAGAGAAAAUAACAUAACAUCCGCGGCGAGUCCAAUAAUGAAAUAUAACGACUGUUAAGCUGCUUGCGAGAGAGAAAUCAAUUCUGCAAAGAGGCUAUGCCAUGAAAAAAAAAAUUAGCAGAGAAAAAAAGAGAGGUGUGAACCAAGCUCAGAUACCAUGUUAGAGGGUUCGGACAAAUUCAGAAACAAAAUUUACCGAGCAGAGGAACCCUUAACCAUUGUAUAUAAAUGCCAGGUCCGAUUUGGGACUAACAUGCAUUCUUAACAAAAUCAAAGCAACAUAAAGUAAACCCAAACUUGCUUCUGAUUAGGGCCUAUUUGUUUUCAACAUAAGUAGAUUUUGGGUUGAAGUGGACUUGAAGUUGAACUAGAGUUCAGGUGAUAAUUAUUUCACCUCCGCUGUUUGUUUUUAUAACUGUGGAAGUGAAGUUCUGCCAAUUCAUUGUUUGUUUGGUAAGAAGUGAAUGACGUAAAAGCGCGGUUUCCCACUCUCUGCUUGUUUCACCGAAAAAUUGUUUAAUCCCUACACCCAUGUUAAACUUAACUCCUACAUGACAUUGUUGCCUCUUAUAUAACUUAACAAAUAAUAAAUUAUAAUAUAAUAAAUACAAAAUAAUAUAAUUGUAUUUCUGUAUAAUUAUAAAAUAAAAUUUAAAAUAAUUAUAUUAAAUUUUUUGGCAUAUAAUUAUAAACUUCAACAAUAAAAUUCUAAAGUUAAAGAGAGAGGGGGGAGGUGGAGAUGGGAGGGGAGAGGAGAAAUAGAGAGAGAAUAACCCUAACAACAAUUGCCAUAAUUAAGUUUUCUAAUUAUGUUUUAUGGUUCUUUUUUCUUAGUCACUUCAGUUCACAGUAAUUGACUCAGUUCACCCCAUCCAGUGUUUUAUGGAUGAACUUCACAUUCGACCAUACUAAUAUUACGGCGAACCAAACAGCGAAAGUGAUCGAUUCUCGCCGAAAAUCACUUCCCCCAUCACUUACAAUGAAACAAACAAGCCUUAAACGAAAAAGCCUCAUACUAAAAUAUAUAUAUAGUUCAAUUAGCACUAAAAUCUGCUAUAAAACAAAAAUUUUAUUUUUUUUCUCCUCUGAACAAUUGGGAACGUUGUUUUUCACAAUAACUGAUUCAAAUUGCUCAGAUGAAGACGAACGAAUCAUAAAAAAAAGAAAAAGCAUCAAAAUAAGCUCACUUCACACGUAAAAACAGCAGAAAAAAUUAUGAUCCAAGAAUUAAUUAACCUCAAAGAAAAGAGUGUGCUGUGUGCUCACCAAUCUCCUAAUCUUUCUCGCGGGAGAGGAGAGCGAGAACUCGGAGAACUCGUCGAACACCUCCUCCAAGUCCUUCCUCUUCAUCUUUCCCUCCAUGAACCCAACCAUCUCCCAACCCUAACCCUAACCCUAACCCUAAUCCUAGUCCCAAUCAAAAGCGCACACCAAUCCAAACCCCUAAUUACCCGAAAUCAUCCAAUCACUCCAAUCCCAAAAAUCUAUCCACCUCCUCUAAGGGUUUCUGCUCUCUCUCUCUCUCUCUCUCUCUCUCUCUCUCCCUCUACACGCUCUCUCUACUCUCUCUCUCUCUAGAGGGGGUUUGGAGACCCAGUGAGGAGAAGGGAAGGAAAAGAGAAGAUACGGGAGGACGACGUGUCGUACGCUCUCUGGAUUUCUCCAGAACAACCUCGGCGCUCACUCGCCGAAUUUUUAUUUUUGUUUAAAAAAUAUCAUUAAUUAAUUUUUUUUAUUUGGGGAUUAAAUUGCAACCAGUUAAGAACUGGGGAGGUACUGUGGUGAGUUAUUUUAAAAUUCAAUUUUUAAAAUUAAUUAUAAAAUUUUAUUUUAUAGAAUUUUCACAUCCGUAAUCUGUUAUAAAUAACAUAAUUUUAAAAUUAAUUAUAAAAAUUAAUUUUAGAAAAAUUAUGAAAUACUACAAACAAAUUACGAAAUAAUUUUAAAUAAAUACAGCUAUCUCCCCCAAUAUAAAAAAUAUAAGGAGCUCUCUCAACAAUAAACUAUUUUGAAAUAGUUCUUCAACUUUAUUAAAUAUUUUCUCAUCUUGUUCUCUUUUGUUUGCUUUGAUAUUACUAAUUUUGCAAGGUUAUUUAUGAUAUUUUUAAUCUUUUUAGGAAUACAAAUAAAAUUAUCCGAUGCUAAUUAUUUAUAAAUGAUGCAUUGAGCACAUCCAAAAUUUUUAGUAGGUAUGGUAGUCCGAAAUGAGAAAAGAAAUCUUUACUUGCAUCUGGUGUGUAGUAAUAUUUUAGUUAGUAUAUUUUAUAUGAUUCUCGUAACUUUCGUAAAAUAUAAAAUUAACUUAAACUCAAUCAAUCUUUUUUUUUUAAUUUUUUAACGUACAAUUUAUGUCUGAAUUCUCAAUAUUAUAAAAUUAAAAUUUACAUUUAAUACCAACAGUCUAAACUAUUUAUGUCAGAACCCGCGACCCGCCUAUUUGGUCAGUUCGGGCAUGCUAACAGACCGCCGAACAGACAGAGUCUCCCCUAUACGUUCAAGGCGUCACAAUCCAUACAAUACGCGAGGUUCCAACCGGAAACAAUAUUUAAACACAGAUUGCAUAAGGAAGGUAUCAAAUAUAAAAAACAACUAUGCUAUUGCAAGCAUUCACAUACAUACAUUUAUACAUAUUACAUUUUCCGAUUACAUUCAACUUCCAAAUGAAAUCAUUGAUCUCAAAUCAUUACAAGUUUGUUCUUUCUAUUUCCACCCCUAAGUUAGAUUACUUCGGUGUACCGCUAUCUUUGGUCACAACGGUAGGGCGCUAUUUACCAAGCUACGCCCUUUCCUCGCGCCGUCAUGCCGCCCGCGUGUAAACCUGAAAUCACCCAAAACAACGUGGGGUGAGAACUAUAUCCAUAGUUUACAGUGGGUACGGCCACCCAAGGGAGAAGCUUAACCCACCAGGUCCAUAGGAGGCACUGCUCAUGUUAGUCCAACAGAUAUCCACAAAUAUUUAUGCAAGCAAUAAAUAAAUGCGUACGCCUCAAGACAUGCAAUAUGCAAAUGCAAAUCAUACAAUCAACUAAGUAGAUCAUCCGAUAUUACUUUUUAUCUCGCUAUCCAUAGAUCAUAUCCAACUAGCUUCCAAAGUUUCUACUACCUUAGAUCCAAGCCAUUUACCAAUUGUUCUUAAGGUUUCAUCUACUAUAACCAAACUAUCCACCCGACUCAGUCUCGAGUCAAUCCUACGCGAAGUACCGCGCACUCUGCUGCAUCCACAGCCUAAUCAUUUACCUUUUUGUAACCAAAUAUUUUCGGCUUACCCGAAGGUUAAACCCCGACUUACAAGCCAAUCUCGCAUCGUAAGGAGCAUCCACUACACUCACCCAAGAGCGUCUGCAGGACAACUACGUCUGCCCCUACCUGAAGUACUCCGGAGACCAAGCUUGGGUGGAGUGACCACCGCCAAGCAAAACAGGCAUAAUGUGAGCAUGAUCCAAUCCUCCAAGCCAAGGAUACCCUACUAACUAGUGGUAACCAAAUCCGGGAAAAUACCAAUCCCAAUACUCAUAUCUUGAGUGAUCACAUUGUCUCUAGCUAAUCCUACAAUGUCACAAUGUCUCUAGCUAAUGCCACAAUGUCACAAUGUCUCUAGCUAAUGCCACAAUGUCACAAUGUCUCUAGUUAAUGCCACAAUGUCACAAUGUCUCUAGCUAAUGCCAUAAGUUCUCAAUGUCUCUAGCUAAUGCCAUAAGUUCUCAAUGUCUCUAGCUAAUGCCAUAAGUUCUCAUUUCAUGUCAAUAUAGAGUUUUCUUGUUCACAAUCCAAUUCUCAUGCUCUUAGCCACUAGGUAUCUUUUCAUGCUUCCACAUAUACCAUAAGAGAAUGCAAGAAUUGAAUUAACCAACAACUACUCUACAAUGCAUAAAUGCCAUACUAUAUCAACUUGCAUAUUCUUCAUAAUGCCAACAUGUACAUUUCAUUUAACACAUCCUCACGAUGCCAACAUUCAUAUACCAUCUAGUAUGUUCUCAUCAUGUCAACAUACACAAUUCAUCUAGCAUAAUCUCAUAAUGUCAACAUUCUUUAUACCAUCCAGCAUAUUCUAAUAAUGUCAACAUACAUAUACUUUGUCAUUCAAGGGUAGUCAAUACAUAACAUCUCAUGCAAUUACAUGGCAUCCAUCUAUACAUUCAUUUAUGUAAUUAACUGCCACUAUGUGAAUCAAUGACAAACCGCUUCACUUUGGCAUGGAAGUGACAUAAUCACUUCGGUGAAGAACAACCCACCUCGUAACGCUCUCCAAUUGCUUGUAGUCACUUGCAAUCGGGCUCCCACGGCACACGCUAUCCUGUUCGGCUCGAUCUCGCAAUUGAUCACCGAGCGCCCGUCAAUCCACAACCUAGGGUCGUCAGGGAUCCCUCUCUAACCUCCAAUUAGAGAAACAUAUGGUUAAUUUAGAACAAAACCCUCCAAAUCUCAAAACCCCCAAUUCUAACCCUAGCCUCUACACAUGCUUCAAAUACCCCAAAAUUCAUGGAGAAAACAUGCAUAGAGUACACUAGGGACUACUAGAAUGCUACUCAUGAAGGGUUUAAUCAAAUCCUAAACACUUACCAAAAUGCGAAUGCCGAGUCGAAAGCACGCCGCUCCACCGGGCACACGAGGACUCGAUCCAUUGCUCCUAACGCAUUCCCAAGCACCUUCUUCACCAAGCCUCCAAUUUUGGAAGAGAGAUCCAAAGAGAGGAGGGAGAAAUCUAGAGAGAGAGAGAGCUUCUCUCUCUACCUCCAUAGGUGUGUGUGUGGUGCUUUGAGCUGAGGGAGGAAGAAAAAGUGGUGUAGCCCGUUUUUAAAAGCGAUCCCCCAUAAUUUACCAAACUGCCCCUGCUCAAAAUAGGAAAUUUUUGGGCUCGGGGUCCGAACCUUAGCUAGAGGGUCCGGACCCCGUAGGUCCCUCCAGCCUAGAAUUUCAGGACUUAGCUAAAUUUUCAUCAAUUUCAGCCUUUGGUCCGUUUUCGCUCGUUUUCGCUCGUUGGGUCUCCGAUUCAUCUCAAAUCGCACCGAGACCCCCAAAACACGUUUUCGAGCGCGUUUAAACCAUCUUUUCAUCCACGCUUUACCGGAUUUCAGCCAACGUUCAAUCAUAGCUCUUGGAAUUUCGUUUUCGUGCGAACGCGUACUGAAACACCCGAAUGCUCCCGAACUUCACCGGAACUGCUCUAAUAGCUUUUCGAGCAAGUUCCCACCAAAACUUCAUAACCGUAGAAGUUCGGUACAAUACAAUUUAACAAUUAUUUACAUAUUUUAAAUUUUAUAAUAAAAAAUACCAAAGUAGAUUGAAAAUUUUAAAAAAAUUAUAAACUUUUUCUAUCAUUCCCCCAUUUUUCGGCGAACUCAUGUCGUGCGGCCAUCCUAACGGUUUCUUCCUCCAUUUUCGGUUGGAGUUGUAAAGCUGCGAUGCAUCGCCCUAUCCGCGCAUACUCCCUACACGAAGCCAGAAGCGAGUAAAUUGUACUUUUUUUUUCUUUAAUUUGAAUGCAUUUUGUCAUUUGAGUUGAUUAAGAAGUCAUUGCUUUAUUUGAACUCAUUGUUCACAUAAUUUGGAAGGACCUGAGAGCGAGAGAGAUAGGAGAGCGCGAGAGCGAGAGAGAGGCGAGGGCGCGAUAGAGAGUGAGAGCGAGCUUUGCUGUGGGAGAAACAGAGAGAGUGUGAGAGGUGCGAAAGAGAGAGGGUUAGUAGGGUUUGCUUUUGCGCAUAAAAAUGGGAGUGAGCUUAUAACCCACGGUAGUAGAGAUUAAAUAUCAGCCGUUGGAUCUUUAUGGUGUAGGAUAUACUCCCACCCAGGGUGUCCAGGUAGACUUUCUCCUAUCGAGCUAUGCUACUGGUACAACCCCUCUAAACCCUAAAGCUAAACCCUAAACCCCAUGUGGGUUGUACAUCCUACAACUUUUCGAUCUAAAGGCUGAAAUUAAUUUGAUUUAGGAAAAAAGAUAAAAAGUGUUAAGUUCACUCCUCUUUUUUGUCCCUCAUGCUUUCCCUCUUUGUUUUUUGUCCCUCAAACUUUCCCUCUUUGCUGCUUCUGUGGCCUGUGAGCGAGAGAGAGAGAGGCCUGCGAGAGAGAGAGAGAGAGAGAGGAAACGAGAGCGAGAGAGAGGCAAGGGGGCGAGAGAGAGCGAGAGCGAGCUGUGCGGUGCGAGAAACAGAGAGAGAGCGAGAGACAGAGAAAGAGAGCACGAAGCCGGAUUCUAAGAAGAAACUGGAUUCUACCAGCUCCCUCCUCUUUUCUCCGACUCUACUUUCUCUCUCAUUCUCUUCUUCCAUCAUUCUCCCAUUUUUCGGCGAACUCAUGUCGUGUGGCCAUCCUGACGGUCUCUUCCUCCAUUUUUGGCUGGAGUUGUAAAGUUGCGAUAUUUAGCCCAAUCAGCAUUCACGCCCCACACGAAACCAGCCGUGAGUAAAUUGUAAUUUUUUCUUUAAUUUGAACACAUUUUGUCAUUUGAGCUAAUUAAGAAGUCUUUGCUUCAUUUGAACACAUUGAUUCACUUAAUUUGGAGGGACCUAUGAGCAAGAGAGAGAGAGGAGAGCGCUAGAGCGAGAGAGAGGCGAGGGCGCGAUAGAGGGCGAGAGCGAGCUGUGCUGUGUGAGAAACAGAGAGAGUGCGAGAGGUGCGAGAGAGAGAGGGUUGGUAGGGUUUGCUUUUGCACAUAAAAAAUGGGAGUGGGCUUAUAACCCACUGUAGUAGAGAUUAAAUAUCAGCCGUUGGAUCUUUAUGGUGUAGGAUAUACUCUCACUCAAGGGUGUCGAGGUAGAUUUUCUCCUAUUGAGCUAUGCUACUGGGACAACGCUAUGUGGGUUGUACAUCCUACAACUUUUAGAUAUAAAGGCUGAAAUUAAUUUGAUUUAGAAAAAAAGAUAAAAAGUGUUAAGUUCACUCCCCUUUUUUGUCUCUCACACUUUCCCUCUUUGUUUUUUGUUCUUCACACUUUCCCUCUUUGUUGCUUCUGUGGCCUGCGAGCGAGAGAGGGAAAGGCCUGCAAGCGAGAGAGAGAGAGAGAGGAGAGCGCGAGCAAGAGAGAGGCUAGGGCGCGAGAGGGAGCGAGAGCGAGGUGUGCUGUGCGAAAAACAGAGAGAGAGAGCGAGAGACAAAGAAAGAGAGCACGAAGCUGGAUUCUACCAAGAAACUGGAUUCGACUAGCUCUCUCCUCUUUUCUCUGACUCUACUUUCUCUCUCUUUCUCUUCUUCUAUUAUUUUCCUAUUUUUCGACGACCUUAUGUCGUGCGGCCAUCCUGACGUUCUCUUCCAUCAUUUUCGGCGGGAGUUGUAAAGCUGCGAUGCGUAGCCCUAUCCACGUGUACGCCCCAACAUGAAACCAGCAGUAUGUAAAUAAUAGUUUUUUCCUGUAAUUUGAACGCAUUUUGUAAUUUGAGUUAAUUAAGAAGUCAUUUGAGCUAAUUAAGAAGUCAUUGCUUCAUUUGAACUCAUUGUUUACUUAAUUUGGAGGGACCUGCGAGCGAGAGAGAGAGGAGAGCGCGAGAGCGAGAGAGAGGCGAGGGCACGAUAGAGGGCGAGAGUGAGCUGUGCUAUGCGAGAAACAGAGAGAGUGCGAGAGGUGCGAGAGAGAGAGGGUUAGUAGGGUUUGCUUUUGCACAUAAAAAAUGGGAGUGGGCUUAUAACUCACUGUAGUAGAGAUUAAAUAUCAGCCGUUGGAUCUUUAUAGUGUAGGAUAUACUCCCACCCAAGGGUGUUCAGGUAGACUUUCUCCUAUCGAGCUAUGCUAUUGGGACAACCCCAUGUGGGUAGUACAUCCUACAACUUUUAGAUAUAAAGGUUGAAAUUAAUUUGAUUUAGAAAAAAGAUAAAAAGUGUUAAGUUCACUCCCCUUUUUUGUCCCUCACACUUUCUCUCUUUGUUUUUUGUCCCUCACAGUUUCCCUCUUUGUUGCUUUUGUGGCCUGAGAGCGAGAGAGAGAAAGCCCUGCAAGCGAGAGAGAGAAAGGAGAGCGCGAGCGAGAGAAAGGCGAGGGCGCGAGAGAGAGCGAGAGCGAGGCGUGCUGUGCGAGAAACAGAGAGAGAGCGAGAGACAAAGAAAGAGAGCACGAAGCCGGAUUCUACCAAGAAACUGGAUUCGACUAGCUCCCUCAUCUUUUCUCCGACUCUAUUUUCUCUCUCUUUCUCUUCUUCCAUCCUUUUCCUAUUUUUCGAUGACCUCAUGUUGUGCGGCCAUCCUAACGGUCUUUUCUAUCAUUUUCGGCUGGAAUUGUAAAGCUACGAUGCUUAGCCCUAUCCGUGCGUACGCCCCUAAACGAAACCAGCAGGGAGUAAAUAGUAUUUUUUUCCUGUAAUUUGAACGUAUUUUGUCAUUUGAGCUAAUUAAGAAGUCAUUUGAGCUAAUUAAGAAGUCAUUACUUCAUUUGAACUCAUUGUUUACAUAAUUUGGAUGGACCUGCGAGCGAGAGAGAGAGGAAAGAACGAGAGCGAGAGAGAGGCGAGGGUACGAUAGAGAGCGAGAGCGAGUUGUGCUGUGCGAGAAACAUAGAGAGUGCGAGAGGUGUGAGAAAGAGAGGGUUAGUAGGGUUUGCAUUUGCACAUAAAAAAUAGAAGUGAGCUUAUAACCCACCAUAGUAGAGAUUAAAUAUCAGCCGUUGGAUCUUUAUGGUGUAGGAUAUACUCCCACCCAUGGGUGUCCUAGUAGACUUUCUCCUAUCGAGCUAUGCUACUGGUACAACCCCAUGUGGAUUGUACAUCCGACAACUUUUAGAUCUAAAGGCUGAAAUUAAUUUGAUUUUAAAAAAAAGACAAAAAGUGUUAAGUUCACUCCCUUUUUUUGUCUCUCAUACUUUCCCUCUUUGUUUUUUGUCCCUUACACUUUCCUUCUUUAUUUUUUGUCCCUUACGCUUUCGCUCUUUGUUGCUUCUGUAGCCUGCGAGCGAGAGAAAGAGAGGAGAGCGUGAGCGAAAGAGAGGCGAGGGCGCAUGAGAGAGGGAGAGUGAGCUGUGUUGUGCGAGAAACAGAGAGAGAGGGAGAGACAGAGAAAGAGAGCACGAAGCCGGAUUCUACCAAGAAACUGGAUUUUACUAGUACCCUCCUCUUUUCCUUAUUUCUACUUUAUCUCUCCUUCUUUUCUUCCAUUAUUCUCCUAUUUUUCGGUGAAUUCAUGUCGUGCGGCCAUCCUAAUGGUCUCUUCCUCCAUUUUCAGCUGGAGUUGUAAAGCUGCGAUGCUUAGCCCUAUUCGCGCGUUCUCCCCACACAAAGCCAGAAAUGAGUAAAUUAUAAUUUUUUUCCUUUAAUUUGAACGCAUUUUCUCAUUUAAACUAAUUAAGAAGUCAUUGCUUCAUUUGAACUCAUUGUUCACUUAAUUUGGAAGGACCUGCGAGCGAGAGAGAGAGGUGGGCGUGAGAGUGAGAGACAGUCGAGGGCGCGAUAGAUAGCGAGAGCGAGCUUUGCUGUGGGAGAAACAAAGAGAGUGCGAGAGGUGCAAGAGAGAGAGGGUUAGUAGGGUUUGCUUUUGCACAUAAAAAAUGAGAGUGAGCUUAUAACCCACUGUAGUAGAGAUUAAAUAUCAGCCGUUGGAUCUUUAUGGUGUAGGAUAUACUCCCACCUAAGGGUGUUCUGGUAGACUUUCUCCUAUCGAGCUAUGCUACUGGUACAACCCCAUGUGGGUUGUACAUCCGACAACUUUUAGAUCUAAAGGCUAAAAUUAAUUUGAUUUAGAAAAAAAGAUAAAAAGUGUUAAGUUCACUCCCCUUUUUUGUCUCUAAUUGUUUCCCUUUUUGUUUUUUGUCCCUCACACGUUCCCUCUUUGUUUUUUGUCCUUCACGCUGUCGCUCUGUGAUGCUUCUGUAGCCUGCAAGCGAGAGAGAGAGAGAAAAGAGCGCAAGCGAGAGAGAUGCGAGGGGGCGAGAGAGAGCGAGAGCGAGCUGUGCUGUGCGAGAAACAGAGAGAGAGCGAAUACAGAGAAAGAGAGCACGAAGCCGGAUUCUAACAAGAAACUGGAUUCUACCAGCUCCCUCCUCUUUUCUCUGUCUCUACUGUCUCUCUCCUUCUCUUCUUCCAUCAUUCUCUCAUUUUUCGGCGAACUCAUAUCGUGCGGCCAUCCUGACGGUCUCUUCCUUCAUUUUUGGCUGGAGUUGUAAAGCUGCGAUACUUAGCCCAACCCGCGUGUACGCCCCACACGAAACCAGCCGUGAGUAAAUUGUAAUUUUUUUCUCUAAUUUGAACGCAUUUUGUCAUUUGAGCUAAUUAAAAAGUCAUUGCUUCAUUUGAACUCAUUGAUUCACUUAAUUUGGAGGGACCUGCGAGCGAGAAAGAGAGAGGAGAGCGCGAGAGCGAGAGAAAGGCGAGGGCGCGAUAGAGGGCGAGAGCGAGCUGUGCUGUGUGAGAAACAGAGAGAGUGUGAGAGGUGCGAGAGAGAGAGGGUUAGUAGGGUUUGCUUUUGCCCAUAAAAAAUGGGUGUGGGCUUAUAACCAACUUUAGCAUAGAUUAAAUAUCAGCCGUUGGAUCUUUAUGGUGUAGGAUAUACUCCCACCCAUAGGUGUCCUGGUAGACUUUCUCCUAUCGAGCUAUGCUACUGGUACAGCCCGAUUGGGUUGUACAUUCACAACUUUUAGAUCUAAAGGCUGAAAUUAAUUUGAUUUAGAAAAAAAGAUAAAAAGUGUUAAGUUCAUUCCCCUUUUUUGUCUCUCACACUUUCCCUCUUUGUUUUUUAUACCUCACACUUUCCCUCUUUGUUUUUUGUUUUUUACACUUUCGCUCUUUGUUGCUUCUGUGGCCUGCUAGUGAGAGAAAGAGAGGACAGCUCGAGCGAGAGAGAGGCGAGGGCGCAUGAGAAAGCGAGAGUGAGCUGUGCUGUGCGUGAAAUAGAGAGAGAGGGAGAGACAGAGAAAGCGAGCACGAAGCCGGAUUCUACCAAGAAACUGGAUUCUUCCAGCACCCUCAUCUUUUCCUCGUUUCUACUUUCUCUCUCCUUCUUUUCUUCCAUCAUUCUCCAAUUUUUCGACGAACUCAUGUCGUGCGGCCAUCCUAACGGUCUCUUCCUCCACUUUCGGCUGGAGUUGUAAAUCUGCGAUGCUCAGCCCUAUUCGCGCGUUCUCCCUACACGAAGCGAGAAGUGAGUAAAUUGUAAUUUUUUUCCUUUAAUUUGAAUGCAUUUUCUCAUUUAAGCUAAUUAAGAAGUCAUUGCUUCAUUUGAACUCAUUGUUCACUUAAUUUAGAAGGACCUGUGCGUGAGAGAGAGAGGAGGGCGUGAGAGCGAGAGAGAGGCGAAGGCGCGAUAGAGAGCGAGAGCGAGCUUUGCUGUCGGAGAAACAGAGAGAGUGCGAGAGGUGCGAGAGAGAGAGGGUUAGUAGGGUUUGCUUUUGCACAUAAAAAAUGGGAGUGGGCUUAUAACCCACUUUAGUAGAGAUUAAAUAUCAGCCGUUGGAUCUUUAUGGUGUAGGAUAUACUCCCACCCAUAGGUGUCCUAGUAGACUUUCUCCUAUCGAGCUAUGCUACUGGUACAACCCCAUGUGGAUUUUACAUCCGACAACUUUUAGAUCUAAAGGCUGAAAUUAAUUUGAUUUAAAAAAAAAAGACAAAAAGUGUUAAGUUCACUCCCCUUUUUUGUCUCUCACAGUUUCCCUCUUUGUUUUUGUCCCUCGCACUUUCCCUAUUUGUUUUUUGUCCCUUACGCUUUCGCUCUUUGUUGCUUCUGUAGCCUGCGAGCGAGAGAAAGAGAGGAGAGCGCGAGCGAGAGAGAGGUGAGGGCGCAUGAGAGAGCGAGAGUGAGCUGUAUUGUGCGAGAAACAGAGAGAGAGGGAGAGACAGAGAAAGAGAGCACGAAGCCGGAUUCUAGCAUAAAACUGGAUUCUACUAGCACCCUCCUCUUUUCCUCGUUUCUACUUUCUCUCUCCUUUUUUUCUUCCAUCAUUCUCCCAUUUUUCGGCGAACUCAUGUCGUGCGGCCAUCCUAACAGUCUAUUCCUCCAUUUUUGGCUGGAGUUGUAAAGCUGCGAUGCUUAGCCCUAUUCGCGCGUUCUCCCUACACGAAGCCAGAAGUGAGUAAAUUGUAAUUUUUUUCCUUUAAUUUGAACGCAUUUUCUCAUUGAAGCUAAUUAAGAAGUCAUUGCUUCAUUUGAAUUCAUUGUUCACUUAAUUUGGAAGGACUUGCGAGCGAGAGAGAGAGGAAGGCGUGAGAGCGAGAGAGAGGCGAGGGCGCGAUAGAGAGCGAGAGCGAGCUUUGCUGUGGGAGAAACAGAGAGAGUGCGAGAGUUGCGAGAGAGAGGGGGUUAGUAGGGUUUACUUUUGCACAUAAAAAAAGGGAGUGAGUUAUAACCCAAUGUAGUAGAGAUUAAAUAUCAGCCAUUGGAUCUUUAUGGUGUAGAAUAUACUUCCACCCUAGGGUAUACUGGUAGACUUUCUCCUAUCGAGCUAUGCUACUGGUACAACCCCAUGUGGGUUGUACAUCCGACAACUUUUAGAUCUAAAGGCUGAAAUUAAUUUGAUUUAGAAAAAAAGAUAAAAAGUGUUAAGUUCACUCCUCUCCGUCUCUACUUUCUCUCUCCUUCUCUUCUUCCAUCAUUCUCCCAUUUUUCGACGAACUUAUGUCGUGCGGCCAUCCUGACGGUCUCUUCCUCUAUUUUCGGCUGGAGUUGUAAAGCUGCAAUACUUAGCCCAAUCUGCGUGUACGCCCCUGUCACGCUCCCGCCCCGAGGCCGCUACCGAUUCGGCACGGUUUGGGCGCGGCGGGCGGACCGCCGAACGGACAGCACCUCCCCUGUCCGCCCAAGGCUCAACAACGAGAUCAUGUACAACAAGUCCCCAGGAAAUCAACUUGAAUACAUACAUGAUCAUGCAACAACAGCGAGAGCACAAACAGUGCUGAACAUUACAAGAGCAAGCGUCACGAGUAGUAAACAUACAAGUGAAACAAAAGAGAGAUACUUAAUUAUUCUAUUACAACCAUUCAACUUGAUACAUUUAAUUACAACUUAGCUUUACAAAUAAUGUACCCCAAAACCACACGGGGUGAGAACUAUAUAACUAUAGUUCCCACUGGGUUCGGCCGCCGACUCCGCCGAUCUUCCCACUAGGUCUAAGCUGGCACAGAUAGAUAGAUAGAAAGAUAUAUGGAAAUAAACUGCUACUAUAUCUACUAUGCCAUCAAUGUAAAAGAUGCAUGGAACAUCAUCUAGCAACAAUCUACUAUCAUGCUAAUAUGCCUCAACAGUGAAAUGAAUACAACUAUAACAUAGUUAUGCAAUGCACUAUGUCUAUUCAUAGUAUGAAUGCAAUCCUCUUAUGCUAUUCAUGUUAUUACCCAAUCUGCUAGGCUAACUCGCCUAAGAUCUCAAAUCCAGGAGGUGAAGAGCUACCCCGCUCUUUUCCCGCCUAACUCAUAACUCAAAGGUCCUAGACAAAGAGCUACCCCGCUCCUUGCCCGACUCAUAUCUCGUAGGUCCGACCCAAUCUCGAAGGUCCUAGGCAAAGAGCUACCCCGCUCCUCACCCGACACACAUCUCGACGGUCCAACUCAAUCUCGACUAGGUACAGGCUACCUCGCUCAAAUCUCAUAGGUGAAAGAAUAGUAUGUCCACUCACUGUAUGUAGGCAAAUCCACUACUGAGGAGAACUUAGUAAUGUAUUGGCUAUUGCAUUGAAAACUUUAAACUGUCAUUGAUCAAGUUGCAUAUUAUGAUGUUGCAUAUAGGGUGUUUAGAAACUUGUAUCUAUAGUUGCAUGCUAGUGUUAAUGUAGCUUGGUAGAUAUAACAUUUGAAUCUAGUAUGCAUGAGGUUAGUAUGUGCACCUUAACCCUAUAUGAGAUGAUAUGUGACGGAUUGGAACCUAGGCAAAUGAUAACCUAGUGUUUGUGUUGUGUGAACGAAGAACCUAGUAAAGUGNGCCCCUCACGAAACCAGCCGUGAGUAAAUUGUAAUAUUUUUCUUUAAUUUGAACGCAUUUUGUCAUUUGAGCUAAUUAAGAAGUCAUUGCUUCAUUUGAACUCAUUUAUUCACUUAAUUUGGAGGGACCUGCGAGCGCGAGAAAGAGAGGAGAGCGCGAGAAAGAGAGAGAGGCGUGGGCGCGAUAGAGGGCGAGAGCGAGCUGUGCUGUGCAAGAAAUAGAGAGAGUGCGAGAGGUGCGAGAGAGAGAUGGUUAGUAGGGUUUGCUUUUGCACAUAAAAAAUGGGAGUGGGCUUAUAACCAACUUUAAUACAGAUUAAAUAUCAGCCGUUGGAUCUUUAUGGUGUAGGAUAUACUCAUAGCCAUGGGUGUGGUGGUAGACUUUCUCCUAUCGAGCUAUGCUAGUGGUACAACCCCAUGUGGGUUGUACAUCCGACAACUUUUAGAUCUAAAGGCUGAAAUUAAUUUGAUUUAGAAAAAAUAUAAAAAGUGUUAAGUUCACUCCCCUUUUUUGUCUCUCACACUUUCCCUCUUUGUUUUUUGUCCUUCACACUUUCACUCUUUAUUUUUUAUCACUUACGCUUUCGCUCUUUGUUGCUUCUGUGGCCUGCGAGCGAGAGAAAGAGAGAAGAGCGCGAGCGAGAGAGAGGCGAGGGCGCAUGAGAGAGUGAGAGUGAGCUGUGUUGUGCGAGAAUAGAGAGAGAGGGAGAGACAGAGAAAGAGAGCACGAAGCCGGAUUCUACCAAGAAACUGGAUUCUACCAGCACCCUCCUCUUUUCCUCAUUUCUACUUUCUCUCUUCUUCUUUUCUUCCAUCAUUCUCCCAUUUUUUGGCGAACUCAUGUCGUGCGGCCAUCCGAACGGUCUCUUCCUCCAUUUUCAGCUGGAGUUGUAAAGUUGCGAUGCUUAGCCUUAUUCGCGCGUUCUCCUUACACGAAGCUAGAAGUGAGUAAAUUGUAAUUUUUUUCCUUUAAUUUGAACGCAUUUUGUUAUUUAAGCUAAUUAAUAAGUCAUUGCUUCAUUUGAACUCAUUGUUCACUUAAUUUGGAAGGACCUGCGAAUGAGAGAGAGAGGAGGGCGCGAGAGCGAGAGAGAGGCGAGGGCGCGAUAGAGAGCGAGAGCGAGCUUUGCUGUGGGAGAAACAGGAGAGUGCCAGAGGUGCGAGAGAGAGAGGGUUAGUAGGGUUUGCUUUUGCACAUAGAAAAUAGGAGUGAGCUUAUAACCCACCGUAGUAGAGAUUAAAUAUCAGCCGUUGGAUCUUUAUUGUGUAGGAUAUACUUCCACCCAAGGGUGUCCUGGUAGACUUUCUCCUAUCGAGCUAUGCUACUGGUACAACCCCAUGUACAUCCGACAACUUUUAGAUCUAAAGGCUGAAAUUAAUUUGAUUUAGAAAAAAAGAUAAAAUGUGUUAAGUUCACUCCCCUUUUUUGUCUCUCACAGUUUCCCUCUUUGUUUUUUGUCCCUCACACGUUCCCUCUUUGUUUUUGUCCCUCACGCUGUCGCUCUUUGUUGCUUUUGUAGCCUGCGAGCGAGAGAGAUAGAGAAGAGCGCAAGCGAGAGAGAGGCGAGGGGGCGAGAGAGAGCGAGAGCGAGCUGUGCUGUGCGAGAAACAGAGAGAGAGAGCGAGAGACAGAGAAAGAGAUCACGAAGCCGGAUUCUAACAAGAAACUGGAUUCUACCAGCUCCUUCCUCUUUUCUCCGUCUCUACUUUCUCUCUCAUUCUCUUCUUCUAUCAUUCUCUCAUUUUUCGGCAAACUCAUGUCGUGCGGCCAUCCUGACGGUCUCUUCCUCCAUUUUCGGCUGGAGUUGUAAAGCUGCGAUACUUAGCCCAAUCCGCGUGUACGCCCCACACGAAACCAGUCGUGAGUAAAUUGUAAUUUUUUUCUUUAAUUUGAACGUAUUUUGUCAUUUGAGCUAAUUAAGAAGUUAUUGCUUCAUUUGAACUCAUUGAUUCACUUAAUUUGGAGGGACCUGCGAGCGAGAGAGAGAGGAGAGCGCGAGAGCAAGAGAGAGGCGAGGGCGCGAUAGAGGGCGAGAGCGAGCUGUGCUGUGCGAGAAACAGAGAGAGUGCGGGAGGUGCGAGAGAGAGAGGUUUAGUAGGGUUUGCAUUUGCACAUAAAAAAUGGGAGUGAGCUUAUAACCCACUGUAGUAGAGAUUAAAUAUCAGCCGUUGGAUCUUUAUGGUGUAGGAUAUACACCCACCCAUGGGUGUCCUGGUAGACUUUCUCCUAUUGAGAAAACUACCUUGACACCCUUGGGUGGAAGUAUAUCCUACACCCUUGAGAGAAGAGCGCGAGCGAGAGAGGCGAUGGCGCAAGAGAGAGCGAGAGUGAGCUGUGUUGUGCGAGAAACAGAAAGAAAGAGAGAGAGAGAAAGAGAGUACGAAGCCGGAUUCUACAAAGAAACCGGAUUCUACCAGCACCCUCCUAUUUUCUCCGUUUCUACUUUCUCUCUCAUUCUCUUCUUCUAUCAUUCUCCUUUUUUUCGGUGAACUCAUGUCGUGCGGCCAUCCUGACAGUCUCUUCCUCCAUUUUUGGCUGGAGUUGUAAAGCUGCGAUGCUUAGCCCUAUCUGUGCGUUCUCCCCACACGAAGCUAGAAGUGAGUAAAUUGUAAUUUUUUUCCUUUAAUUUGAACGCAUUUUGUCAUUUGAGCUAAUUAAGAAGUCAUUGUUUCAUUUGAACUCAUUGUUCACUUAAUUUGGAAGGAUGUGCGAGCGAGAGAGAGUGGAGAGCGCGAGAACGAGAGAGAGGCGAGGGCGCGAUAGAGAGUGAGAGCGAGCUUUGUUGUGGGAGAAACAGAGAAAGUGCGAAAGGUGCGAGAGAGAGAGAGUCAGUAGGGUUUGCUUUUGCACAUAAAAAAUGGGAGUGAGCUUAUAACCCACUAUAAUAGAGAUUAAAUAUCACCCGUUGGAUCUUUAUGGUGUAGGAUAUACUCCACCCAGGGGUGUCCAGGUAAGCUUUCUCCUAUCGAGCUAUGCUACUGGUACAACCCCCCUAAACCCUAAACCUAAACCCUAAACCCCAUGUGGGUUGUACAUCCUACAACUUUUAGAUCUAAAGGCUGAAAUUAAUUUGAUUUAGAAAAAAAGAUAAAAAGUGUUAAGUUCAAUCCUGUUUGUCCCUCACACUUUCCCUCUUUGUUGCUUCUGUGGCCUCCGAGCGAGAGAGAGAGGCCUGCGAGAGAGAGAGAGAGAGAGGAGAGCGCGAGCGAGAGAGAGGCGAUGGGGCGAGAGAGAGCGAGAGCGAGCUGUGCUGUGCGAGAAACAGAGAGAGUGCGAGAGACAGAGAAAGAGAGCACGAAGCCGGAUUCUACCAAGAAACUGGAUUCGACCAGCUCCCUCCUCUUUCUUUUUCUUCUUCCAUCACUUUCCUAUUUUUCGACGACCUCAUGUCGUGCGGCCAUCCUGACGGUCUUUUCCUUCAUUUUUGGCUGGUGUUGUGAAGCUGCGAUACUUAGCCCUAUCCGCGCGUACGCCACCACACGAAACCAGCAGUGAGUAAAUUGUGGUUUUUUCCUGUAAUUUGAACAUAUUUUGUCAUUUGAGCUAAUUAAGAAGUCAUAGCUUCACUUGAACUUAUUGAUUCACUUAAUUUGGAGAGACCCGCAAGCGAGAGAGAGAAAGGAGAGCGGAAGAGCGAGAGAGAGUCGAGGGCGCGAUAGAGAGCGAGAGCGAGCUGUGAUGUGCUGUGCGAGAAACAGAGAGAGUGCGAGAGGUUCGAGAUAGAGAGCGUUAGUAGGGUUUGCAUUUGCACAUAAAAAAUGGGUGUGAGCUUAUAACCCACUAUAGUAGAGAUUAAAUAUCAGCAGUUGGAUCUCUAUGGUCUGGGAUAUACACCCACCCAGGGGUGUCCAGGUAGACUUUCUCCUAUCGAGCUAUGAUGUUGGUACAACCCCAUGUGGGUUGUACAUUCUACAACUUUUAGAUUUAAAGGCUGAAAUUAAUUUAAUUUAGAAAAAAAGAUAAAAAUUAUUAUGUUCACUCACCUUUUUUGUCCCUCACACUUUCCUUCUUUGUUUCUUGUCCCUCAUACUUUCCCUCUUUGUUGCUUCUGUGGCCUGCGAGCGAGAGAGAGAGAGGAGAGCGCGAGCGAGAGAGAGGUGAGGGUGCGAUAGAGAGCAAGAGCGAGCUGUGCUGUGCGAGAAAUAGAGAGAGUGCAAGAGGUGCGAAAGAGAGGUGGUUAGUAGGGUUUGCUUUUGCAUAUAAAAAAUGAGAGUGAGCUUAUAGCCCAGUGUAGUAGAGAUUUAAUAUUAGCCGUUAGAUCUUUAUGGUGUAGGAUAUACUCCUACCCAGGGGUGUCCAAGUAGACUUUCUCCUAUCGAGUUAUACUACUGGUACAUCCCCCCUAAACCCUAAACCCUAAAUCCCAUGUGGGUUGCACAUCCUACAACUUUUAGAUGUAAAGGUUGAAAUUAAUUUGAUUUAGAAAAAAAGAUAAAAAAUGUUAAGUUCACUUCCCUUUUUUGUCCCUCACAUUUUUCCUCUUUGUUUUUUGUCCCUUACACUUUUCCUCUUUGUUGCUUCUGUGGCCUGCGAGCGAGAGAGAGAGGUCUCACUACAACAUUUUGUAUUAUAGGCGGCUUUUAUGGGUACCUAUAGUGGCUUUUUGAAAAGCCGUAAUAAAAGUACCGACUUUUCUGAAAAAGCCACAAAAAAAGCCGGUGAAAACUGAGUCGGUAUAGAUCUAUGUCAAUAUAACGACAUCAUGUAAAAGCCGCAUUUUAGUGCCUAUAGCGGCUUUUUCUGAGCCACUAUCAGCAUUCAAAUUGUGGCACUAUUACAGCCGACUUUGAUUAUCUAUAGUGGCUUUUUUCCACAAUACUGUAAUUUCUACAGUUUUUAAGAGUUAUGGCAAUUAGAAAGCCGCCUUUAAUUAGUAUAGCGGCAUUUGGUGUGCCACAAUGCUAUAGUUUUUGCGGCUUUUUGGUGAUGUUAAUAAAAUUCUGUUGUGGCUUUUUGGAAGCUGUUAAUAUGCAUAUACAAUGACUUUUUAUUAAGCUACAAUUGAUUAAAAUAUUUUGACUUUUUAAUAUGUAUAAUAGCUAGGGAUAGUAGUUGUAUGGAAGAUACAAUACAAAAAUGACACAUUCAUAGCAAAAAAGUUGUUUCAUUCAUAUAUAAGUCAAGAGUAUCGAAUGAAACCAAAAUACUAAUUGUUCCUCACAUCCUCAACAUCAAUAAAAUGAUAAAAAAUUAUAAUAUCCAAAAACAGUUUUUUAGAAAUGACACAGUAGCUCAAAACACAUAAUCUCGAAGAAAUCCCAAAUUAUACAUCCUCAAAAUUCAUUGCUCCACUUUGAAAGCUUGUUCAAGUCGAUGACAAAGCUCAAAAAAUCUGUUUCAAAAGUAAUAUUUUUACAAUUAAUGGUAUGAAUAAGCAAUAAGAAAAUAAACUUAAAUAUCACUACAAUACCAUGCUUUAAGUAGAACUAGUGUUGGGGCCGAUUCACUCGUGAGUAAAUGUGAGCUCUUAAUCCUAUUUUUGACUUACAAAGCAAGCUGCUUCUGAAGUGCUCAACGUAUAGAGUCAUAUAUUUCAGAAAUAUUGAACAAAACAUCUACUUUCCACAUGUCAUGAGAACCAAUCCAUAUCAAUAUCAAGUUGCUAUGAAGGAGCAGCACAAGAAAGGGACAAGGAUACCAAGAAGAGAAAUUAUCCAAUCUAAAUUCUCACACUAGAAACCGAUCAUAUAAUUAUUAUAUUGAAGACGUAAUUUUUCAUUCUUCUCAAACAAUAGAAAAACUUCAAUAAAUGAUUUAUAUUUACUAAAUGUUUAGCAACUAUAAGCGGAACAUUACUUCAAUACAAAUUCACCUUUCCAAGCUAAAGAAAAAGAGCUUACCAGUUAAAUCAUUUAUAGCACUUUGUGUAUCCUGCCAAAAGAAUAUACACUUGUAUGAUAUUAGGGAGUGUUUAGAUAAUUAAUUACUAAAAUAUCAAGUUUGCAAUGCAUUCAGAAUCUAUCCUGCUGGUUCCUGAAUGAAAAAAAUCCAAAUCCUCUUAAACGCCCUGUUUUUUGGUCGCACAUAAUUUUAGCAUCCCUAAAAAGUGGAGAAGAAAAAAAAAAAGAGUUCAGGAAAAAGAAAUCAAGAUGACAUAUUAGUAAUAGUAAAUUUAGAACGAAUGAACUUAAUCAUCAUUCUACAAGAACUGAAUUAACAGAAUAACUUGAUUAGCAACAUAUGGAAGUAGUAGGCCAUUUAAUGCUUACGAGCAGCUAGGAUAAACGGAGAAGCAUGUAUAUAAGGUAGCGUUAGUGACUUCUGGGGCAAGAUCCCCAACAAAAAUGUUGAAAUGCCCUGUUCCCAGAAAAAGGCAAAAAUGAAAAUUUACUAGCCAAAAGACAGAAUUGUGAGAAUAAUACAAUGUAUGAAAAAUUUCUAAAAACAAAGACCCUUUCGCAAAAGCACUCCAUUUCUAUUUCAUUUCAUUCCUGCAAUCCCUAAAUUGAACCUGAUGUACCCUCUCUCUGCCCACUUGCAUAUACCCAGUUAGCUUUAAUAGGCUGACCGAACCUACAUUUUGAAAUUUUGAAGUGUAAUGAAAAAGUUGAGAUCAUAAGGCAGCGACAGGAAUAUAUAUAUAUAUAUACAUAUAUACAUAUAUAUAUAUAUAUAUAUACAUAUAUAUAUAUAUAUAUAUAUGUAUAUUUAUAUAUAUAUUGUGUAUAUAUAGUAUAUCAUAUACAUGUGUAUAUGUUAUAACAUAAUAUAAUAUAUAUAUAUAUUAUUGUAUUAUGUAUAAUAUACCACCACACACACACAAUAUAUAUAUAUAUAUAAUAUAUAUCUUAAAUAUAUAUAUAUAUAUAUAUAUAUAUAUAUUAUAUUAUAUGUGUGUGUGGUGUGUUGUGGUAUACUAUACUAUAAGUUAUACCAUAUAUAUAUAUAUAUAUAGAAAUUAGGCUGGAAAUACUCGAUUAGUAAAACACUUUUUUUUACUAUGCAAGUUUUUAACCUUUGGGAUGAAAAAUUGUAGUGGUCAGGAUGAUAUAGUCGUUGAGUUAGUGGUCCCCUAGGGUUGAGUGUCCCCACUGGUUAUAGUAUUUAAUCUAUAUGGUUAUAAAUAAUAAAAAGAGUUUGCUCCAAAGGCUAAAAAACCUAAAGUAGGGCAUACAAUGAGAUUUUGGCUAGCUAAUAGUGCGCCAGUUCAACAUCUAUAUCUAUAUAAUAUAUAUAUAUAUAUAUAAAAUAUAUGAGUAAAGGCCUACUAUGCUAUCUAAGCACGGACCUUCCGUGCCUUACCAGUCGUUUUCGAUGUGCGAACUUUCGAAUCGUGCGAUCGUCUCCGUAACUUGAUGCUAGCGUAUUGGAGUACCUAAAAUAAAUUUUAAUUAUUUUUCGAUAUCAUCUUGCCGUAGUGAUCAGAAUGGGCCCCUCAAAAAAUCAACAAAUUUCAAUGGCCGUAUUAAAAGCCGUUUGCAGAGUUUAACGGUGUAGAAUAUCGCAAAUCAUCGUGAAAUUUUGAUAGAAAAAUUCUUAUACAUAAUAAAAACAGAGAUCAGAUACCUUGAUUUAAAAUUUAAUUGUCAUAUUAUUACAUUUUGUAAGAUUUUUAUUUUCAGCCGUUGAUUUUGCAGGCCUUCGUUCACUAGAGCAAAUUGAUAUCGUCAAAAUCAUAAAAUUUAUUUUCUAGUACCUCAAAUACGCUAGAUAUGUUUAACCGGACCGAUCGAUCGGCUUCGAAAAGUCGCAACAUCGAAAACGACUGGAAGCCACUGAAAGGUCCGUGGCUUUGGAUAGCAUAGUACGCCUCACUUAUAUAUAUACAUAAAUAUUGUAUAUAUAAUAUAUUCAGUGGCUAGUAUAGCUUAAUGAAGCACGGAAAAGGCCUUCCAGUGCUUCACUUUUUUUCGAUGUUCGGUUACUUUCGAAUCGCUGAUGCGUUCGUUAGAGUGAUCUAAGAGUAUUUAAAGACCUAAAAAUUCUAAAUUUUGCGAUUAUUCCGAUAUCAUUAUAGCUUAGUGAUCGAAGGGCUCAAAAAAUCAAUAUUUUUAAUUAACAGGCCGUUAGGUAGCCGUGCAAGUUCAAUGGUGUAGAAAUAUCCCCAAUCAAUAUGAAAUUUGAUAGAAAAAUUCUUUAAUAACCAUACAUAAACAAAGAUCAAUAACAUUUGAUCUAAAAUUAAUGUCAUAUAUCAUAAUUUAUAAGAAUUUUUAUUUUCAGAGCCAUUUGAAUUUUGACCAGCUAUCGAUCAGUAGGAAAUGAUAUCAAAAAAUUGCCAAAAUUUAUUUUCUAGAUACUUCCAAAUACUCUAAGAUCAAGUCUAACGAGCCGACUGUCAGCUUCGAAAGUCCGAACAUUUGAAUAACAAAAGUGGAAGUACAAGCCCUACCGUGCUUCCAUAAGGCACCCUUAACCCACUCUAUAUAUAUAUAUAUACACACAAUAUAGAGUUGAACUGUGCACUAAUUAUAGCAAAUCCCUAUUGUUGGCCUACCAGUUUUUUUUACCUUUGGAUCACUCUUUUCAUACUAUAUUCUAACCAUAUGGACUAAAUACUGCAAUAGACCAAUGGGGACCACUAACCUAGGUGACCACUCAACUCUAACCGACUAAUAAUCAUCAUGACCCUACAAUUUUAUCAAUCCAAGGGUUAAAAUACUUGAUAGCAAAAAAGAGCGUUAUAACUAUUAAUAGAUAAAUUCCGGCCUAAAUUCUAAGUACAUAUAAUAAUGCUUAUAUACAUAUAUCAUUAAUAUAUACACUAUAUAAUUUAUAUAUACACAUAUUAUAUAUAUAUAUAUAGCAUAUAUAUAUAUAUAUAUAUAUAUAUAUAUAUAUAUAGAUAGGAAGAGAGAAGAGAAGAAAGAGAGAGAAGAGAGAAAGAGAGUGGACUGGAUAUGACUUAUGGAUGCACGGAGGCCUCCCCCCCCCGUGCCCUUUCUUAAUUGUUUUACGAUGUUCGGACUUUCGAAUGCGAUGAUCGCCACUAACCGUUAGAGUUGAUCUAAAAUACUUUUGAUAGUACCUAAGAAAUAAAAUUUUAACAAUUAUUUCGAUAUCAUAACGUUGCCUAAGUGAAUCGAAGGGCUCAAAAUGCAAUAAUUAUAACAGAGGCCGUUAAAAGGGAUGAGACCGAUAGUGAACGAAGUUUAAACGUGUAAUAAGAAAAUAAUCCAAAUCACAUGAAAUUUGAUGAAAAUCUAUCUAUACCAAGUAUAAGAACAAGAUCUAAUUAACAUUUGAUCUACAGAUUUUAAUUUCAUAUCAAUCAUAUUUGUAAGAUUUUUUAUUUUUCACCAUUGAUUUUUGAGCCACUUCGAUUACUAGGUAAUGAUAUACGAAAAGAAUCGCAAAAAAAUCAAUUAAUUUUCUAGAUACUUCAAAUACUCAGUCAAGUCUAAGCGGAGCCGAUCGUAUCGAUCGAAAGUCACAAACAUCGGAAAACAAAGUGAAACCCCAACGCAAACCCCCACCCAAACCCCCCCGGCCUCCGUGCUCUCGUCUAGCCCCGCACAACUCCCCUCAAUCACCUGUAAUACACACACCUUAUAUUCAUAUAUAUACUUAUCCAUACUAUAUGAUAUAUAUUAGAAAUUAAGGCUGGAACUACUAUUAAUACGUAAACACAUCCUUUUGGGCUAACAUCAAGUUUUUAACGCAUUUGGAUGAAAAAUUGUAGGGUCAGGGAUGAAUAUUAUCGAGUUAGAGUUAAGUCGUCUCCCUAGGGGUGAGUGGUCACCCACUGGUUUAUAAUAUUUAAACCAAUAUUAGAAAUUAUAUAAAGAGUUUGAUCCACAAAGGCUAAAAACAGUAAGCAAAAAAAAAAAAAAACAAUGGGAUUUGUCUACUAAAAUAGUAGCGCUAGUCCAACUCUGUAUAUAUAUAUAUAUAUAUAUAUAUAUAUAUAGAGUCCGGCUACUAUACUAUUAUUAGCACAAAGCACUUGGUGCUACCAAGUUUUCCGCCGUUAGAUCUACCCUUUUGAUCAUUUUCACCCGUUAGAUCAUACUAUUUAACCAACCACCCACUCAACCCUAGGGGACCCACAUCAUCUUAACUGUAUAUCUUUUAAUCCAAUGGCCAAAAACUUGGUAGCAUCAAUGACUUGGUGCUAUUAAUAGCAUAGUAGCCUAGUUUGUAUAUAUAUACAUAUAUAUGUAUAUACAUAUAUAUAUAUAUAUAUACAUAUAGAUAUACAUAUAUAUGUAUAUAUAUACAUAUAUAUGUAUAUAUAUACAUGUAUAUAUAUAUUCAACUUACAAAUGCCUCCCAUUGAGCGUCAUAAUAGCGAGUGCAACAGAUCCGGGGUCAUAAUAGUCAACAAAACAAAAGGAUGACUACAAUGAUACAAGUCAAAAGUUAUUACAAAAUUUAUUAUGAAGCAACAUAAAAUAAUAGUGUAAGAGCGGCAGAAUAAAAAAAGAGAGCAGUGAAAUAAGGUCGAAGCACAUGCAAGGAUUCAUAUGUAUAUAACAAAUACUAAAAUCCCUAUUAAAGCACAUGCAUAUAUAGAUAAUAAAUGUAGUCUUUUUCAUACUCUAUUGUCCAAAGUUUACUGAAAUUCAAGUACAGAGGAGAUUUGAAAAGAAUAAAUUAACCUUUUCUUUCCUAAUGAGCUUGCAUCCUUCAACUGGACCAGUACUCUGGAAAACCUCUUGGAGUAGUGCUUCAGUUACUUGAACAUGCACAUUGCCAACAUACCUACAUUUACCGUAGGAUAAUAAGCAAAGAAUAAACAACUAAUCGGAAAACACACACACACACAACACAAACAAUGCAAAGCCCAUCUCCAAACAUAAUAUAGCAAAUUUAUAGAUUCUCAGGUGAUAAAUAGUUGAAGUGACUUGCAACAUUAUCGAUAAGCUUAUUGUAAUAAAAUAGUAUUUCAGGCAUAGAAAAAUAUUAAACGUCUAAUCAUACAAAUACUGCAUACAGCUAUACAUAUCCUCACUAUAGGUAUAUAAGGAUUCCAAACAAAAUGAUCAUUCUCAUAUUAAAAUAGCACAAUUAAUUAACAGCGCAACAAGAAGAUAUGCUAUUUAGCAAUCCAAUAAUUAUUUUACCAGUCAAAUAAUUAUACUCAGAUCUACAAGACAAUAUGAAAUCAUAAAAGAUAUGCUCACCUCUCUCUACCAAGAUUUUAUCAAUUUGAACGCAGGUUCUGAGGACUAUAACAUAGUUAUAUAUAGUAGGUAAAAAUGGAUAUAUUAAAUGUCCAAUAAUAAUAUGCCAUAAACUAUUAUAACGUACGAUAAUUAAAUAAAAAAAUAAAUCUAUCAAUUGGGUAGCAUCAAACAAAAGAGGACAAAUUUCUACAGCUAUUUCAACAAUUAACUUCAGAAUUACAUUUUUACUUGCGUAUUAACGACAUAUGUGAACAAAAGUUUCAUACUUUCACAACUAAUAUUAGAAACCAAAAAUUAAAGUAUCUGGGAGUUUCCAUAGACCUAAAAAUACAUCUGAACUCGACUAUCAAAAGUACAUUAAAAACUGUAACUAGCAUGUAUCAAAUCAUGUAACACAACAUUUUAUACCUCAUCAGAAGCAAUCCUGUGACAAAUCACCUAAAAUCAAACAUCGUUGUGCUCUAAAUUUAAAGUUUGGCAUCAUAGAUUCAAAACUAGAUAAUGAUUCGCAUGCAAUCUCCACCGAUUAGGGUUUCACAUCUAGAAACAAAACAAAAAACUAGAGAAAUAAGCAUCACAUCUAUAGAUCAACGGGAUGCUAUUGCCGAUCUGGGGUUCACAAACGCAUCCUACAACCAAAAAACGAAAUCGAAUCUUGUAGAUCGAUGAUCAUGAAAUCGACACGUUACCUGUGGUCACGAGCCCUGACAAGAUCACUGACCCCCGAGCUCCCAUCGAUCGAUCCAUGGCGAGAUCUCAGCUACAUUAGAGAGCACUAUUUGAAGAACCCGCUUCCUCAAAAAAAGGAUUAUCAGCUAUAAUUCUAAAUUGAGCUCUUCGGUACCUGUUGGAGUGGAUCGCGUGUGAGCUCAAGAGGAUCGCGUGCGAGCUCAAGAGGAAUCACCUCAGCGAAGGUCCUCCCAAGCGACGAUCACGUGCGAGCUCAAGGGGGAUCGUCUCGACGAACGAUCCUUCCCAAUCCGACCAUCGUGUGUGAGGUUGAGAGGAGCGAACGAGUCUAAAACCCUAGAAAAUGGUUGAGGAGAAAACCCUAGAGAGGAAGAGGUUGGAGGAGACGCGAGGGAGAUAGGGCGANAAAUACUGCAUACAGCUAUACAUAUCCUCACUAUAGGUAUAUAAGGAUUCCAAACAAAAUGAUCAUUCUCAUAUUAAAAUAGCACAAUUAAUUAACAGCGCAACAAGAAGAUAUGCUAUUUAGCAAUCCAAUAAUUAUUUUACCAGUCAAAUAAUUAUACUCAGAUCUACAAGACAAUAUGAAAUCAUAAAAGAUAUGCUCACCUCUCUCUACCAAGAUUUUAUCAAUUUGAACGCAGGUUCUGAGGACUAUAACAUAGUUAUAUAUAGUAGGUAAAAAUGGAUAUAUUAAAUGUCCAAUAAUAAUAUGCCAUAAACUAUUAUAACGUACGAUAAUUAAAUAAAAAAAUAAAUCUAUCAAUUGGGUAGCAUCAAACAAAAGAGGACAAAUUUCUACAGCUAUUUCAACAAUUAACUUCAGAAUUACAUUUUUACUUGCGUAUUAACGACAUAUGUGAACAAAAGUUUCAUACUUUCACAACUAAUAUUAGAAACCAAAAAUUAAAGUAUCUGGGAGUUUCCAUAGACCUAAAAAUACAUCUGAACUCGACUAUCAAAAGUACAUUAAAAACUGUAACUAACAUGUAUCAAAUCAUGUAACACAACAUUUUAUACCUCAUCAGAAGCAAUCCUGUGACAAAUCACCUAAAAUCAAACAUCGUUGUGCUCUAAAUUUAAAGUUUGGCAUCAUAGAUUCAAAACUAGAUAAUGAUUCGCAUGCAAUCUCCACCGAUUAGGGUUUCACAUCUAGAAACAAAACAAAAAACUAGAGAAAUAAGCAUCACAUCUAUAGAUCAACGGGAUGCUAUUGCCGAUCUGGGGUUCACAAACGCAUCCUACAACCAAAAAACGAAAUCGAAUCUUGUAGAUCGAUGAUCAUGAAAUCGACACGUUACCUGUGGUCACGAGCCCUGACAAGAUCACUGACCCCCGAGCUCCCAUCGAUCGAUCCAUGGCGAGAUCUCAGCUACAUUAGAGAGCACUAUUUGAGGAACCCGCUUCCUCAAAAAAAGGAUUAUCAGCUAUAAUUCUAAAUUGAGCUCUUCGGUACCUGUUGGAGUGGAUCGCGUGUGAGCUCAAGAGGAUCGCGUGCGAGCUCAAGAGGAAUCACCUCAGCGAAGGUCCUCCCAAGCGACGAUCACGUGCGAGCUCAAGGGGGAUCGUCUCGACGAACGAUCCUUCCCAAUCCGACCAUCGUGUGUGAGGUUGAGAGGAGCGAACGAGUCUAAAACCCUAGAAAAUGGUUGAGGAGAAAACCCUAGAGAGGAAGAGGUUGGAGGAGACGCGAGGGAGAUAGGGCGAGAGGGGUUGGGUUUGGGUCUGUGUAGAAGAGGGAGAGAGGGAGAGAGAGAAAGAGAGAGAUGGAUAAUUUGGGCCUAGAGAGAGAAAAAGAGAAGGAGAUGGCUAAUUACUUAUGGGCUAGGGCCAGAUAAAGAGAAGAGAAAUAUAUAAUUUGGGCUACUAUUUUGGGCCGGGAAGGCACCGACUCAUGCCACGAGUCAUUCGCUGCCUCUAAACACUUAUUUUAGUGUGACAUGGCAGCAAACACAAGGGUACACAACCAAACAACUAUUGGUGGAUAAUUGUUGGGAUCCGGGUUCCUGGAAGUGUCAAUUUCGACACCAGAACCCACCGUCGCUCACUCGUCAUUUCUGAACUCUCGAAAUGACGCGAGUGACCAGCCAACAAGGCUCAGCGACUACACAAUAGCUCACGAAGCACCGUCGGAAUAAUUCCGAACCAAAACCGCGUUCCGUCGGCGGAUUUUGCCGACAAACGCACCGAAAAUACNUCAUCAACAGAGAGUUUAGUUGCACUGUAAAAAUCUCAGUCCUUACACUUUCUCUCUUUUUCUCUUCUUUCAUCCUUCCCCCAUUUUUUGGCGAACAUAAAGUCGUGCACCCAUCUUGACGGUCUCUUUCUCUAUUUUCGACUGGAGUUGUAAAACUGCGAUGCUUAACCCUAUCCGCGCGUACGCCCCACACGAAACCAGCAGUGAGUAAAUUGUAAUUUUUUUUUUAAUUUGAACACAUUUUGUCAUUUGAACUAAUUAAGAAGUUAUUGUUUCAUUUGAACUCAUUAAUUCACUUAAUUUGGAUGGACGUGCGAGAGAGAGGGAGAGAGAGAAGAGCGCGAGAGUGAGAGUGAGGCGAGGGCGCACUAGGGAGUGAGAGCAAGCUGUGCUGUGCGAGAAACAGAGAGAGUGCGAGAAAUAGAGAGAGCGCGAGAGGUGCAAGAGUGAGGGUUAGCAGGGUUUACUUUUGCAGAUAAAAAUGGGAUUGAGCUUAUAACACACUAUAGUGGAGAUUAAAUAGUGGAGAUUAAAUAUCAGCCGUUGGAUCUCUAUGGUGUAGUAUAUACACCGAGGUAGAUUUCUCCAAUCCUUGUACCGACGCGGAGGCCUCGGCAAAUUCUCCUGUUCCCAAAUCCCCAACUUCAGUUGAUCUACGAGAGGCGGUGGCGAAGCGGGUUGUUGUGGUCUUCGCCGCCUCACGAAACAAGAGAGAGAAGAAGAAGAAGAAUUAUAUAUAUAAAAAAAUCACUCUCUUGUCGUAGUUUCUGCGUGCUCGAAGUACACAAACGAAAAGGGAAGAUAAAACGGAAAAUAAAAGAAAUUAGGGCAUCGGCGUUGCAUGGCGUAUUCGUGUUGCCUGUCGGCACCCUCGCUCGCCGGACCAUCACCGGCGGUGGUGGCGAAGAUCGGAGGUGGCCGCCGUGACGCACGCGGGAGGGGAUUUAGCGCCGUUGGCAUGCUCGCUCCGCUCCGGCGGGAUCGGAAUGGAAGAAGUCUCGUGGUCUGCAUGGCGCCGGAGGAGGAGAAGAUGACCCGCCAAUCCCCUCUCGAUUUCUCCAUCGUAAUCUCCUUCUUCUUUUUCUUUUUCAUUAUAUCUUGCUUAUAUUUGGAAUUGAUUUUACUUUACUUUGGUAUGUAGCUGUUUUGUUCGUAUUAGGAAUAAGAAGAUUCUUAAUAUAUUGAUUGAAAAUAUAGGCUAGGUCAAGUUUACAUUGAGGGCAUGUUUGGUUUCUUGUUGUAAUGGGAAUGAAAAAAUGGAAUUGAAUUGCGCUGGAAUGGAAAUGAAAUGCCAAAUCAUCCAAAAAUGUUUGCUUCAACAUACGAAAUGGAAAUCGGAAUGAACAAUAGAAGCACCUAGGAUUUUGAGAGAGGGGAUUUGGUUAAGGAAGAGAAGAGCGAUCAAGGAAGAGGAGGGAGAGGUAUUGGUAUAAUUGAUGUUUUUGUUUAUUGAUUUUCUUAUUUGUUUUGCAAUUUAUGCAAAGAUGGAGUUCUCUGUUUUUGUUUCUGUUGGUAAAGUUCUCAAGAUCAUCUCUUUCAUAGAAACAAAGAAACAAAAUAAAUAGUUAGGCCUCAUUUGGCUAAUGCUUACAUUUCUUUCCCUUUUUUCCUUUCUAAGUUCAAGUUCUAUGUGAUUGAACGGUGGAUGGAAUUCUCUAUAUCGAUUAGCUUGAAAAAAAUGAUGUAUUAUAAAUUUGUUUGUUGUUACCAAACAAAACCCUUAGAUGUAUGUAUUGCAAACCAUACAACAUCAGUCAAAGUAUCCAAUCAAAUAGAAUCUCGUUUAGGAAAACAAAAACCAAGCCCUUGCCUUAUUCGUACUAAUUUCUAUCAACAGAAAUUCUAUGUGAUUGAAUGCACCAAAAAAUGGCUCCUCUAUUUUUAUCAUUAUUUGUUAGCUUGCAAUGCAGCCGGCAGGAUACAGAAUAGUGUCUUCAUCAAAAUAAAUAAAGCGAAAAAGGUUGCUACUGGGGUCUUGCUUUUUUUGUAGAUUGCAAUUAAUUUUUCAUCAACUAAUGCACUCCAUUAGAUACAAUUUUUGUACAACAAAUUUUUUUUUAAAAAAAAGUAACAACAACCAAAUGAGGCCUUAAAUUUUCAUCCUAUUGUUGCCAAACGAAACCUAUAGAUGUGUAAAUUUUUAUUACGAAAAAAAGAAUCUGCUAUGUGCUUAAUAUUCAGUUGCAUUGAACUUGAGGGGUUUUAAAAAAGAAGAGAGAUAAAGAAAAAAUAUAAUAGUCCCCAACAAUGGCAUAGCAUAAAAUUAUAUUUAUAUACGCACAAUCAUUCAAAUUACAAUGGAACAGAAGCAAGUUUGUUUUUUGUCCUAAAAGGAAGUGGUACAUAAGGAUUAGCUUUCUUUGGUUGGCAAUUUCAGAUUCUUCAUAAUUUUAUGAAUUAACAAAGUUUACAAAAUUAAUUCACAUAUUACAUAUAUAUAUCAAUAACUUUUCAAUAACUGAACCAAAAUUAACUGCCGAAAUUGCAAUUGGCACCACUAAAACCUGUAACAUUAAGUCCACUAGAAAUGGUAAAUUAUUAGGCAUAAACCACAUGUCCAUACUUAGUCCUUAUAAUCCAUACAUAGUCCCUCUUCUGUGUAAUAUCUAAUAUGAGAUUAUUGGGUAGUUAUAUAUCCUAACAUUCUCACAAAGCACAACUACCCAUUGUCCAGCAUCACCAAUAGAUGUAAUAUUCUAAAAGUAGCUCUUGCGGAUUCAACAAGUAGCUCCUACGGUAGUUGUCAUGUACUACCUAUGCCGCAACGUUUAUAUUUAGUUCUCACACUCUGACCGACAAGAUAUAACAAUCAAGCCCGCUAGUCUAGUAACUUAUCAGCCAAAACCACCGGCACAAAAUACUUGAGCUUAAAUUGCCAAUGCUAGUGUGACAGCUAGGGGUGGCAAUCCAGCUCGUUGUUCACGAGCCAGCUCGUGUUCGGCUCGAAAUGAGCUCGAGAUCGGCUCGCUCUUUUAGUAAACGAGCUGAACACAAGCUAGAUUUUUCAGCUCGUUUAAUAAACGAGCCGAACACGAGCUGGGGUCAGCUCGCUCGUGUUUGGCUCGAUAACAGCUCGAAUAUAUAUAUUUUAUAUUUAUAUAAUUUAUUUAAUUUAUAUUUUUAUAUAUAAAUAAAUAAUUAUAUAUAAUAUAUAUUUUUAUUAUUUAAUUUUUAGCAAAAUAAAAAUAUAAAUGCGAGCUNCCCCUUAAACGAGCCGAACACGAGCCGACCCCAGCUCGCUCGUGUUUGGCUCGUUUACACCCCUUAAACGAGCCGAACACGAGCCGACCCCAGCUCGCUCGUGUUUGGCUCGUUUACACCCCUUAAACGAGCCGAACACGAGCCGACCCCAGCUCGCUCGUGUUUGGCUCGUUUACACCCCUUAAACGAGCCGAACACGAGCCGACCCCAGCUCGCUCGUGUUUGGCUCGUUUACACCCCUUAAACGAGCCGAACACGAGCCGACCCCAGCUCGCUCGUGUUUGGCUCGUUUACACCCCUAGUGACAGCCCAAUAGUCGCACAUGAAAAAAAAAUUAUGAAUGAAAAUUUAAGAAUCAAGAGCUCUACUAAUAAUAAUUUGGAAUGAGUUACUUUACUAGUGCUAGUGGAAAUGAGUUACUAUGCUAGUGGGUUAGAUUGUUAUAUUCGGUAUUAGAGCUGGAUUGCUAGCCGGAAAUGUAAGAUGUUUCUUACAUCACCAAAUGAUGUUGGUCUUGGUGAAAAAAGAAACUUCACUGAUUCAACUGGAAAUCCACUGACUGAACACAAAAGGAUGAGUUCAGUUAAACAAAGCUCAUCAAUUGAAUGCGAAAAGCAAUUAAAACACUACAAUUAUGAUCAACUCACCUUUUCUUCCCCAUCCUGAGUAGAAAAAGGGUCCUGGCUGUAAUGGCGUGGCAUUGGCUGCGGCUAAGCAUGAGUCGCUCCCGAUCGUCUUCUUCUUGCUCCUCCACAACACCACCACCGACGCUGACAUUGAAGGCCACGGCAACCAACGGCCGAGAUUGAUCACAUGGCACGGGAUGCGUAUCGCCAUUAGUUCUUGAUCCUAGUAGAUUAUGUUUGGCCGGGGGUAUACUAUUUUCUUCUCCAGGAAAAUAAGGAAUAAACUGUUUGGAUAGGUAAUCAGCAUACUAUCACGAUAAUGCUACUUGGUCCCUAUGCUUUCACAAAUAUACUCCUAGUAAAUUUUCAUUUUAGUCCUUUCCAGUUAAAUAUGGAAAGUCUACCUAUACUCUCCAAAAAGAGUGUAAAUCUUACAUCGUCUAUCCUAAAAAUUUACAAAACUUAAAUAAUUUUUUGUAAAGUAAAACAAAAAACCGAGUUAAUGUGACAAAUAGGAAAUGAUGUGUGACACUUUCAGGAUUUGAAAUAAUCAUACACAUAAGAUAUAAUAGGACUAAAACUUUUAAUCUAGUGAUAGUAUUUUGGUUUGUGACUAAGCCAAGUAGAUUAAGAGAGUUAAGUGUGCUAGGGCUAGAGUAGUUCUAAGAUAGGUAACCUCCGGAAAGCGAGGUGUUAGAUGAUGGCCUUGGAUGAAGAGGGUGUAAAAUGUACAGCUAGUUCUAGGAUGAGUGACCUUCCGGAAAGCAGGGCGUCACAUGAUGGCCCUCGGAUGAAGAAGGUAUAGAUCUUACACCCCUUAUCCUAAGAUUCAUAAAAUUCUAAAUAAUUUUAUGUAAAAAAAAUUGAUGUGACAAGUAGAAAAUGAUGGUCCUAAGGUGAAGAGUGUAAGAUGUACACUCCAACAGAAAAAAUUCUACUUGUACACCCGAAAAUGGGGAGUAGAUAUUACACAUUAUCUUAGGAUUCACAAAAACUCAAAUAGCUUUUAGUAAAAAAAAAAUGUUGAUAUGACAAGUAGGAAAUGAUGCGUAAGAUAUACGACCUACAAGUUGAUACAUCUUAAAGUAGGUUGUAUAUCUUACGUAUUAUUUUCUACUUGUCAUAUCAAUAUUUUUUUUUGAAUCCGUAGAAGCUACUUGUUGAAUCCGCAGGAGCUACUUUUAGAAUCUUACAUCUAUUGGUGAUGCUGGACAAUGUGUGGUUGUGCUUGGUGAGAAUGCUAGGAUAUAUAACUACCCAAUAAUCUCAUAUUAGAUAUUACACAGAAGAGGGAUUGUGUAUAGAUAUAUAAGGACUAAGCAGUAGCUCCCUCGUAUUAUUGGGCAUACUCAUUUUUGACAUGUGGUUUAUGCCUAAUAAUUUACCAUUGCUAGUGGACUUAAUGCUGUAGGUUUUAGUGGUGUCAGUUGCAAUUUUGGCAGUUAAUUUUGAUUCAGUUAUUGAAAAGUUAUUGAUAUAUAUGUGUAAUAUGUGAAUUAACUUUGUAAACUUUGUAAAUUCGUAACAUUAUGAAGAAUUUGAAAUUGCCAACCAAAGAAAGCUAAACCUUAUGUAGCACUUCCUUUUAGGACAACAACGAACUUGCUUCUGUUCCAUUGUAAAUUGGAUGAUUGUGCAUAUAUGAACAUAAUUUUAUGCUGUGCCAUCGUUGGGAGACUAUUAUAUUUUUUUCUUUAUCUCUCUUCUUUUUUAAAACCCCUCCAGUUCAAUGCAAUUGAAUAUUGAGCAAAUAGCAGAUUCUUUUUUUCGUAAUAAAAAUUUACACAUCUAUAGGUUUCGUUUGGCAACAAUAGGAUGAAAAUUUAAGGCCUCAUUUGGCUGUUGUUACUUUUUCUAAUAUUUUUUUUUGUUGUACAUAAAUUGUAUCUAAUGGAGUGCAUUAGUUGAUGGAAAAUUAAUUGCAAUCUACAAAAGUUUGUUUUGUUGCUAAAAGCAAGACCUCGGUAGCAACCUUUUUUGCUUUAUUCAUUUUAAUGAAGACACUAUUUUGCAUCCUGCCUGGCUGCAUUGCAAGCUAAUGAAUAAUGAUAAAAUAGAGGAGUCCAUUUUUUGGUGCAUUCAAUCACAUUGAAUUUCUGUUGAUAGAAAUUAGUAAGAAUAAGGAAAGGACACCAAACAAGGUCUUGUUUUUGUUGUUCUAAACGAAAAUUCUAUUUGAUUGGAUGCUCUGAUUGAUGUUGUAUGGUUUGCAAUACAUACAUCUAAGGGUUUUGUUUGGUAACAACAAACAAAUUUAUAAUAUAUCCUUUUCAUAAUUCCUUUUUUCUUUCUUCUUCUUUUUUUCUUUGUUCUUUCUCUUUUUAAAUGAGUUUUCAAACUAAUUGAGAUAGAGAAUUCCAUCCACCAAUAUGUUCAAUCACAUAGAACUUGAGCUUAGAAAGGAAAAGGGAAAGAAAUGUAAGCAUAGCCAAAUGAGGCCUAACUCUUUAUUUUGUUUCUUUGUCUAUGAAAGAGAUGAUCCUGAGAACUUUACCAUCAUAAACAAGAACGGAGAACUCCAUCUUUGCAUAAAUUGCAUAGAAAUUAAGGAAAUCAACAAACAAAAUCAUCGAUUAUACCAAGCAUGCUUGACUGUUUACUUUAGAUUGCCUCAUCUUAUUGACAUGCUGUGCCGUCUCAACUACAUGCUUUUCUCGAUAAAAGCCUGCAUAUGCUGCACUAGCAUUGCUCGAAUUACAGCGUAUGAUUUUUGACUAGCCAAUACUAGAGUUUUGGAAUUUCGAGAUGAAAAAUUAUAAUAAACUGUCACGCUCAAGUGCGGAAGCCCAACUGGGCGUGCGAGCAGACCCCCUGUACAAUGUCGAGAUACAAAGUACCUGUCAAUUUAGUACAUUUAUAUAGAAAAAGAACCCAAAAGUUCCAAACUUCGAAAUAUUAACGUAAAUGUUUACAAAAACUCUAUUACAUUCCAAAAUACCCAAAUUUUGCAAUUACAAUCUUCUUUCAAAAUAAAACAAAAAACAGGUGUCAAUAAAGCAGAGGUUCUAUCUAGCCACAAACCUUAUGCAUCAUCUUGCUCAGCCCCACACAACGUACCUGUAAAAUAGUGGGAUAAGAAACUAAUAGAAAUUUUCCAAUGGGUACACCAAACUGCUGAGGGUAAGUUGCACCUGUUGGUCAACGAAAACAAUAGUAGUAAGGGGUAUGUUGAAUAAAACUAUAGUUAGAUGUGUAUCAGGGAAUCAUAAUCUGAAUUGCUGAAAUAAAGCAAGCUAUAUUUCAUGGAGUACAAGGGUGCACUAUGCAUCAAUUUGGUGUGUAUGAUUGUCAACUUAUGACCCUUACUUUUAGUCUCGGGUCAUUUAUACUCAAUUUGGUUUGACCUUUCAGUCCCAGGCUAGGCCCUAACCUGCGAGUUCCUGGACUCUUCUGGAAGAGCUCACCCUACCAUGCGAUUGAUCAGACCAUCAUGGCAAUGAUAGAGAAGCAAAGUUUCAUGUCAUCAUGCUAUAUGAACAACAAUGACAGUAGCAGUGAUGGAAUUGAGAACCAUGUCCAAUAUCUCCCAUAAAGGCCGCCCUGGCCAAUAUAAAUACUACCGCCACCAUUAGUUUAUAUGUCAUCAUGUUAAUGUCUUACUAUAGCUAGCAUGCAUCAUAUGUAUAUAAAUAUACUAGAAAACAACAAUAGUUAUAUAACAUGGAUCAACUAGUAUGCUACCGUUGUAUCUACCAUGAACAUAUAAACAAAUGGAAGUAUAUGCAUCCUGUCCAUGUAGUUCUAGUGCUAAUCUAUCACAUGAUCUCAUAGAUAAUGAAUAAAUUAAGGAGAAGUGUGAUAAGAUGGAACGUUGCAUCAGGGUUUCGCUAAACCACCUUCGGAUUGGAGCAUCCACCUAUAGCCGCUUGUUGAUCAUAGCUUGUCCCUGGCUAUUUGAAUGUCACCCUAACCUAAAGAGAGUGACGAGUCAUACACUAAGGCUUAGUUUGGUAUUGAGGUCUAUCCGACGUUAUUAGAUAAAAUGGAGUUGGGAUAAAAGCAUGUAAGGAUAUGCUUCUAUGUUUUCCUGUGGGACCGCAUAAAAUAUAUCGUAACCGACUAAUCACGAUAGACGGAACGCAAUAUUAUAUACGGAAACAAACAGGGUAUUUUCCUAUCGUACUUUCUCACCGCACAUAACGCAAUCUCCCCGCAAUUCCAAACGAAGUCUAAGUUAGGACAUGUUUCUCGAUAAAAGAACCUAUAAAAGUCCAUUUCUUCAAGUUUCACGGUGUCAGGUUUCAAUUCCAUAUCAAGUUUCAUAACCUAGCCCCUGUUCUGGAACUCAGCCACGAGUUUUACAAAAACAAAGCUGCACAUUGUUCCAUUGGGUUUGGGUUUCGGAACUCCACACCUAGUUCUGAAACUCAGCUCCUAGGCAUUUUUCUCACUCGCAAUUGCCGCAUUUCUUCAAAAUCGCAACGUCGAUUUUACUAGAAUCAACUCUGAUUCGUUCAAGGCUCAUGUAGGGCUUGACAAAGGUGAAAGAAAUGUGAAUUGACCAAACCCUAAGCUCAAAUUAGGGGUUACUUGAGGGAAGCUAGGGUUUCACGUUUAGAACCCCAAAUUUGGUAGUUCUUUCUCACUCAAAAUUACCAAGGAGUUCCUACAAGUUGAUGUAGAAGCUCAAACAUUGAGAGGUCUUUGCAAGAAAAACCCUACAAACUCAACUUAGCAACCAAUACACUCAUAAAAUCCCAUCAUAAUGUAAUUUUGAUCACUCAAGAGGGGUUAGAAAACAUAUGGAAAAUCUUAAGAUCUCCACAAAUUUCCGAUUAAGAAUCAACAUAACUACAACUCACCAAAGUCUUGAAGCUUUUCCUAGUAAUUUCGUAUUUAUAUGCAAGCUUAGGCUUUUGUGUCGCUACUUGUAUUUUCCUAGUAUUUUACCUUUUCAGUUCUUCUUUAAAUUAAUUGAAGUUAUGGGAAUCAAUCAUUAUUUAAUUACGAAAUAAUGGCUUAAUUUGAUAAUUAGAUUUUGUAUGUAUGGAAACAUUGUUACUGUUGAAAUAUCUCUGACUCUCGCUGGAUUUGGAUUCUCUCUCUUUCUCUUUUCCAGUCAAUUUUAAGCUAAUAGGUCAUUUACCAUCUUAAGUAUACCAUUGAUAACCUUGAUCCUUGUUUAUUAGUUAUAUUUAGACUAGUUUCAUGUAUGUCUGUUAAACUAUCAUUUCAUACCGUUCUUUACUCAUCAAUAUAAGGAAGCAGGAAUAAUGUGUGAGCCAUGUAAAGGUAGAGGAUGGUUGCUGUGCGAUUUUUGUGAAGGAAAGAAGACUUAUGUGAAGGCGGAGAACAACCGGAUUUAUCGCCGUUGCCCAACUUGUAAAGCUGUAUGUCUUGUCAAGUUGUCGAACAAAAGCAAAUAACGGUGUUAUCUGUUUUAACGUAUGUAGUAAUGCAUAUUAAUGAAGUAUUCUCACCAUUUUUUCCUUUUUCAGGUUGGAUACGUUAUAUGUCAAAAGUGCAAAGUCUUCAAGUGUGUCACUUUUCCAGACUAUAGUGAUGGUGAGCUAUGAUGAUCUCAUGAAUUGAAUUCGACAUGUUCUUUUCGCCUGUCCCUUUUCACUUGUUUCGGAUGAUCUUCAUAUUGUUUGCCAUUCAAGGUGCGCCCAACAGAAUUCUGAUUACUGUACCUUGUGUACAAACAACAUUCUCGCUUAAUAUAUUGGUCCUCUUGGUCAUCAGAGAUAAUUUGAUGCUUUACACAACUGCCUUAUGUUGUUUGGAAGUACAAAUUCAGCAACUCCUUAGUCCAUUGUUGUGCUUGUCAAUUGUCAAAUAUAAAAGUGAGUUAUACUAACAACUAGAAGUGAACUUUAAGGCUGCUGAUGCCGUUGCAUGCAGGCAUGGAAGGCGUCGAUAAAUUCGGGCGGUAUCCAGGGGACUUUUAGAGGGAUAUUAAGAGCAUUACAUAGGAAAACUAUUGGUUGCCUCUUUGAUUGAUCUUCAGCCAGCUACAUGCAAAGUUGCUAGAGGCUCGGUGUUGUUGAUAAGAUAUGCAGUGCGUGAAACGGCUGCAGGGUUCAUUGAAGCUUGUGUUGGAGAUAAUUCAAUUCUUUUAGUAGAAAUAUGUCUUUUAAAGUAUUUGGUUGUCAAAAUAGCGAAGAAUUCUUUUUCCUCCACGUGUGAGGCUCCAAUGAUUACUUCUAGGGAUAGAAUGAUCUAUCCUAUCGGCACGUCUUCCAGGUAGUGCCAUAAGAACCAACAAGACUUUCAGUGAUCUAGCACUAUAGAAUAAAUCUCACAAGAAAAGGUAAGCCCCAGAGUAGUGCAAAGCUCAGAGAAGAAGUAUAGAAACCACAAAAGGUUGAAGGAGGAAACUGAUAAAUAUGAACCACCACUUGAACACUUCUCUUAUAGAGGCAAAUAUGCCGCCAUGGGUGGCAGAGAAGUGUAAAAACCACAAAAGGUAGGAGGAGGAAGCUGACAAAUAUGAACCACCAUCUGAACACUUCUCUUAUAGAGGCAAAGAUGCUGCCGCGGGUGGCCAAGAAGGACUACAGCUGCAGAUAGCCAAUAGGAGCUAGUGCUUCAACGGCUAGUUUGACUAAGAGAAAUAGGUGUUCUUCGGUAAGCUAAAAAUACAGUAAAUAGUUGUAUUUCUUUCGGUUGCAUACUAUACAUAGUUAGACUGGAAGGGCUAGUGGUGUUGUAUUUUAAUUUACAGUUGGUUGUUGUAUUAUGGAUGUUUGUAUGUACAAUGUUGCUUUGUGUUUUAAGUUUUUUCUAUACUCUGAUACAUAUUAGUUGUGGACUACUAGAAAUUGUGUCCUAGACUCAUAGGAUUUGCUAUUACUGGUGGUUGACGCUUCAUGUGUACGGGGCUUCCCUUGAAUACGAUAGGCCUGUUGGCGUAUCCAGGAGCUUCCGCCGUAACCUAGGGCGGGACAGCUUGUGUAUUAGAUUAUAGUGACAGCCGGUAUUGCACCUCCUAUUUAUAGAGUUUGCCUAUAACAACAGUUAUCAAAUUGAUUAUAGAAAUGACACCUUACGAGGCCUCAUAUGGGAAAAAAUGUCGAACACUGAUUUGCUGGGACGAUGUAGGUGAGAGGAGAAUCCUCGGACCUGAGUUGGUAGAGGACACCAAGGAGAAGGUCAAGAUUCUUCAGUGACGACGGCUCUUUAUUGCUCAAAGUCCGCAAAAGCAUUAUGCUGAUCACCGCUGAAGCAAUUUGGAAAUCAAGGUUGGGGAUUACGUAUUUCUCAAGGUUUCACUGACACGAGCGAUCAAGAGGUUUGAGUAAGCCCUCACUGUACUGGGCCAUUUGAGAUUUUUGAGUGGAUUUGCUAUGCCCCGAAACCCUUUGGGAAAGCAUUUUUUGAAAAUCCUUCAUUUUGAAAACAGAUUUGCGAAAAAGCAUAUAAUUUUUUUUUGAAACAUUGCCUGAGACGCGCACAGAUUUGUCACACGUAUAGUGUUUCCUCUAUUCAUACGAACAGUGCUUUUUCUGUGCAUGCACGGCGUAGGAGCACAGAUAAACAACCACAAGCAACCUGAACAAAGAUGAAUCAACAUAAUAGCUACGACACCUACAACCAAUCUAGAAACCUCAAACAAGAAUGCAUAAACCACAACAAUAGGAAAACCCAAUAAUAAGAUCUAAACUCAAGACUACAAGGCCGAGGUACAUAUUCUUAACAUGACAAAGAAAAUAAUAACAGGAAAGAAUCAGAAACUAGCAACACAAAAUCCACGACCCGAGCUAUUUAGGUGCUAACUACGUCCUCAUGCGGCGCCCCGACCCACACUGUCAGCAACACCUAAAAAAAUAGUGGGUGAGAAAUAUAUAAAUAUGUUCUCCAAUGAAAACCAACCGCCGAAGUCAAACCACACUCACUGGUCAACAAAGAAUACGAUAAAGAGAUAACAACAGUAAUAAGGAGUUAAUUAAAAUAAUCAACUGAGAUAUAAACAUGAUCAACUAUAGUAGCAUGAUGAUAAACAUGUAAGGAUCGUGAUAUGAAAUACAAUCUACUGCCGCUACUAUAAAUGAGAGUCAUAUAUGCAACGACCUGACCCGCUAGCAACAAUAACUCGUUGGGCCCAAACCACCGGCCCAAAAUGCUUAAGCCCAGUUAUUAUUACUAGCAUGUAGGCCUCAUAUAAACUGAUCGGAAUCAGUAUCCCAUCCAAUGUGGGACUAUUGGGGGUGUUACAAACUCCCCCUGUUUAGACCCUGGCGUACUCGUCGGGUCCAAACUAGAUCACAGACAGAUAGACCAGGACCAUUACCAGGCGAUGUGAGAUUCCAGAGGUGGCUCCUACGGGUUCAAGAGGUGGCUCCCACCAAACCCGUUGGUGUAGCACUUUGUCCCGCAUAGCACUUUGUUCUCACACUUUCGGCCGGUAUUCGUCUCUGAUACCAAUUGCAACGAUUCGACCCGCUAGCAACAACUCGUUGGGCCCAAACCACCGGCCCAAAAUGCUUAAGCCCGGUUAUUAUUAUUAGCGUGUAGGUCUCAUAUAAACUGAUCGGAAUCAGUAUCCCAUCCGAUGUGGGACUAUUGGGGGCAUUACAAUAUAUAAAUGCAAUAAAGAUACCAACUACAGUAGUAAGAUAAUACAUAACCAAAUAUUAUGAAUCAAUAUACAAAGAGAUGCCACUACUGUAAUCAAAACAACUAAUUGAUAACCAUGUGCAACUCAAACAAAGAUACUAUGCACAACCGGAGAUAUAAAUCAUCCAAAAUCAUACCCAAUCACCACGACCGCCAUAAAGGUUGGGCCUAAGCUUGCCCGCUAGGUCGCGAAGACCAGUAACCAAGUUUCAUUCCCAAGGGAUAUAACAUGCCGCACCUAUGUUGCUACCUAUGUCUGAGAGUGGUGUACAUCAAACUUGUACUUAGGGUGACGAACUCUGUCUAAGAACAACACCUCCUAUUAGGUUGUGAACUCUGUUUAAGAGCAACAAUGCCGUCUCAAGCUAUAGUUAUAUGUAUAUGCUCAAAUCUCCAACAAAUCCAGACUUAACAGUCUAAUCAAUGCCCGUAGGCAACAGGAGGAGCCAAGAAAUAAGCUCAAAGACAAGGAGAUCCAUACUCACAAACAUAAUCAUAAUCUCCAAGUUGAUUUGCAUCCUACAAUACACAAGUAUCAAGGAAGAUAGCGAUAAAUGCAAAUCUCAGAAAGUAGGCACCAAUCAAUUAGGUCAAAUCUCAUGAAACAGGCACCAACCAACUAGGUCACAUUUCAUGAAGUAAAUCCACUAACCACAAUAUCGAAUCAUAUGAAGGACAAUAGCCGAUCGAUAAGGUCUAUCGCAUAGGAGUAAAUCCGUUGAUUCACAGGGUCAAAACUCAACAAAUGAGUAACACUGACCUAUUAGGUCAAAUGAUAGUCAGGUGGAUUAGCCACUAGAACGAAUCCUACUCAAGGAUUUAAGUGCCUAUCGACACGGGCCGUAUGUAUGGUGCCGUAUCAUACCAACAAGAUAUCGGCAUGAUACAAACCCCGUGCCGAUGGCACAGCUCAAAACCUUCUAUUCUUUAAAUUAGUAAGUAAUUUUCUCAAUAAAGUUUAAAAGAUUUAAUAAAAAUACAUAACAAACAGUUAGAAUAUUUUGUUGCUAACAAAAAUAAAUAUUUCAUGCUAUUAUGUGUCAGCACUGUAACACCCCGUACUUUUAAACUUCUUUAUUUGACUCCUAUUCUUAUUAAGUUUGGACCUUUUCGUAAAUUCCUAUCUUCGAGUGAUUCGGCGGCAUUUUGUUACUUAAUUAGUAUCUAACUUAAUUAAUUUUUCUCCCUAACCCUCACCCGAUCAAUCCCUCUUUUUCCCCUCCCCUACGACUCGCUCUCUCUCUCUUCCUCACCGCAUCCGUACGACCUCUGUCGUUCCGCAAGUGCGCACGCGACGCCAUCCGAUCGUCGCCGUCAUCCGUAGCCGCCUCCGCCGCAAUCCUCUUUGGCCGUUAUUUUUGGUUCACUAUCGACGGCAUCCUGCCGUCAUCUUCACCAUUUUCGAGAAGGUUUUUCUCUUUCCCUUAUUUUAUCUCUAUAUCGAACCUUGUGAUCAUCCAACCUUCUUGUUUAUCGUUAUAUUAUUAUUUUGAAUACUCGCCUCAUGAUGAUCGAAAUUUAAAACUAUCAAAAUCUGAUUUGCUUUGAUCUAAAUAUGUGUUAUUCGAUCUAUCAUUUUAUCUUGUAUUCCUAUCUGAUUUAGUUAUAUAAAUCCUCCAUAUUCUGCAUGCUUCUUGUAAUGCUCCUUACAUGUUCGAUAAAAUGCCUAAGAGAGGGUGAACUUUGUUUUUGUUUCUAAUUCCGAUCCUAUCUGAUUGUAAAUUGCCUAUUAAUAUUUCAACAUCUGAAAACCCUCUUUUCGAGCAUUAGACCCUUCGUUUUAUUAUUUAAAACUUCAUUCGUCUUAUCUUGCUUCUUUGAAUAUUUUAGUUUUUGAAACUCUCAAUUCUCUUGAUUGUUAAUUUAGUUUCUUUGAGUUCAUUAUUCUAAAUCUCUUUCGUGCUCCGUCUUGCCCUUUUGCAUGCAUCUGUAGUCGACAUUGUUGACCUAUGUGAACCUAUCCGAAUUCAAACUUUUGUAUAAGCUUGCUUUCUAAAUAUAUAUAUUCUCUUUGUAAGUUUAUUUUUAAAUAGCUUAUAGAGAAUCGUAUAUCUCUAUUUUAGGUUCCGACGAUUGAUCUUGUACAAUUUUCGAUUGGAUAGCUUCUUAACUUAGAAGCCGCUUUUGAGGUAAGCGACCGAACACCCGUUAGUUUUUGUAAGAUAAUUUAGGAAAAUAUUUUGAUUAUAUGAAAAUCUUAUUUUGUAGAAUUUAAAAUUAAGGGUUAAGCAUAUUAUUAAAUAUUUCUGUAAAUUGAGUUUCAACUGUGAUUGACAAGUCCUUUUAGCAAAAUAAACUUUUGAAAUUUGAUAAUCUGCUCUGUAAAUUAGUGACUGGAUACACUUUGAAUUAUGAUGUCUCUUGGUAUUCUGCUAUGCUUAUGUUGGCCAUGUCGACAUGUACUUUGUUAUAGAAGCAAGCUUCGUCUUUGUAUUGGCCUUCGGGUGCCUGCGCCUAUCCGCGCCUCUGUUUUGUUUGCACCUUCGGGUGCCUGCGCCUAUCCGCGCCUUUGUUUUGUUGCACCUUCGGGUGCCUCUGUUUUGUUUACGCCUUCGGGUGUCUUUGGAUCUCGCCAACGGAUCAUAUGAUAUAGUUAGAUGCCGGAGACUUAAUAUUUAUUUCGUUAUAUGUUGAAAGAGAAAUGCUUUGUAAAAUUAUAGUGCAAUCCGAUCUAAAUUUUAAAUUUUGACAAUUCUCACUUUCGAAAAUUUGCAAAUUUGAAAACCAGUCGCUUGAAUUAAUUUUCGUAUCCGUUUAUUUAUUUGUAUUGUAUGCUUAAUCCAACUAAUGUGGUGUAUGGUUGCUUACCCAGGUACCGAGAUCGAUUUGCCGGGCGGGGCUGAGACCGAGUGAACGUUAGACGUAGUUAGUUUUGAUUUUUAGUCCUUUUAGUUUUAUGCCUAGCAUAUUUAGAUGUGAAUAUUUUUUUGCACUUCGUAAAUGAUCGUUUGUUAUCUUUUAUUUCGUUAUUUCUUCGUACUCACCUUUGUUAAUUAUGAUAUUUAGUGGACCGAAUUUAUGGUGUUUCUUAGUAAGCUUUAGUUCUAUAGAUGUUAGAAUUCCAUUUGAUUGUAGUUAAAAUUCAAUUUUUUAGUCUCAUCCUAUGAUUCUUUGGAUUUAGUGGAAAAUUUGGUAAUCAUCUUUUUGCUAGCUUCCGUCUGAUUCUGUAGCCUUGCAUAUUUGCUAGUCUAGCAGAUAUGCGGCGUCUGUUACGCCUCGGGUUUGGGGCGUGACAAGCACACAUGAAUCUUUUGUGACCGACACGCAUCGACACGGCCUGGCAUACACCUUGUCGUACUGUGCCGGUAAGUUUCCAACACGAUCCCGUGCCACGAUACUUAAAUCCUUGAUCCUCUUGUAUAUAUCACACAUUCGCUAAAGAUGGAGAACAAUCACAGUAAUCAUAAGUCUAGAGUAUCAAGCAUGUAGGAAUACGGAGUCAUGAUAAUUUGUACUAUUCAAUAACUAUACGAAAUAGAAUGAGCAUAGAGAAAAAACUGAGUAAGAUACAACUUUACCGAUCUCAGAUUGAAGCACCCACCUCACCAAGUAUUUGAGUACUCGAUCGAUGUUUCUAGAUGUCACUGUUAGAUGUAUGCCUAGAAGCCAACCAGGCCGACACAUGUAUUUUUUUUAGGACAUAAAUUUGUAUUUGAUUUUAUAAUAUUAUGAAUAAAUUUGGGUCCUUAAUUCCAUUCAUGUUGUGUAUGUGUUUAUGAAUUAUCCAAGGAAUUAAUAAGAUGAUGACAUAUAUUCUCAAGAGUUGAGAAUUUGAGACGUGUCAUUGGUGGUUAAUUCCUAAAUGCUCCCGAUCAAUGGAUCAUUACCAGGACGGUGAUUGAUCCGGUGAGCUUGGUGCACAUGUCGCUUCCCUUUUGGGUAGACGGGUCUCGAGUCGACAGUGUGGGGACACUGAAGCGAAUAUGCAGAUGGUUGUUAGAGAACAAGGGUAUCGAGCGUGAUCGACACGAGAAGUCACUUGGAUGUCUACUCACUCGUCAGUGACUUACUCAAUGUUGCAGUAGUGUGACUGGUCCUUUGACCUGCGGUGCCUUGACUAUUCACAAUGAGGUUACUGUAGUUUAACUGUACAUACACUUGGUCCCUAGCCAUUCGGGUCUUUGUGGUGCAUGUUGGCUGCAGUAGGUUCAUUGUAGGAAUAGGGUGCGCACUUAGAUGGAAUCUAUCUCCCUUGGUAGAUAGGGGUGUUAAUUAGUCCUAUGUAAUUUAUGAGACCCAGUUUAGAAGACCUUGGCNAAUUAACUCAUAUUUACUUGCUGAAAUCUCAGGUUAAAACAGUUGGAAGCAAAAACCCAAAAUCAAUACUCGAUUCGGCUAAAAGAACGUCGAUAACAGAAUAGUUGAGUCGAAUACCUUCUUAAGCUUCCAACCAGCACCUCACUGGUUCAGAGCUGCGAAAAGCUCUCCAAAAUACUCUCUCACACAUCCACGUGAGCUCUAUGACACCGGCAACCAGCGAAGGUCGAGCGCGGCGACGAAAACGAGCGAAAUCGUCGAAAUCUUUGUAGAGAGAGAAAAAACCUAGAGAGAGAGAGAGAAAAAGAGUGGAAGAAGCUUUCUCUGAGCCUAGCACCCUCCACUGAGUCCCCAGAGGCGUGCUGGAAUCAAAUAGGUGAGAGCAAGAUGUGAAAUGACCAAUUUAGCCCUGCUGCCACGAAUCUGCCAAUGCUGUAUCGGUACAAGGUGAUGGCUGUACCGGUACAGCAAGCAGAAAAUCCUGAUUGUCGCAGAUCAAUGUAUUUUCUCACUUUUAGCAUUCCAAUCAUCCUCUAACUUAUUCAAAAACUUGUUAUAACCUUUUAGAACAUGUAGGAUUGAUCCACACAUCAUUCCACACACUCGAACUCCGCAAUUUGCAAAAGUUCCAUGUAUUACAAAGGUUAUCACUUUUCAUGAGCCUAACUAAGAGGAGUUAGUGUAUCGGGCGUGCAAAGGCGUGCGUUUCGCGGCGACCAUAUCGUCCGUGAGGGCCAAGAGAAUGAUUAAAGGAGGGUGUAAAGCCUAUUUGGCAACCAUGGUUGAUGGUCGAAGGGAGCACCCCGAACUUGAGGGUAUCAGGGUAGCAUGUGAAUUCCCGAAUGUAUUUCCGGCGGAGUUACCGGGAUUACCACCGGACCGGGAAGUUGAGUUCGUCAUUGACUUGAUUCCCGGGGCGGCGCCAGUUUCGAAGGCUCCGUACAGAAUGCCACCGGUGGAGUUAAAGGAGUUAAAGGGCCAACUGCAAGACUUGCUCGAUAAAGGCUUCGUGAGGCCGAGCGUGUCUCCGUUGGGAAGGACGGCACCGGUGCUAUUUGUAAAGAAGAAGGACGGCACACUUCGACUCUGCGUAGACUAUCGCGAGUUGAACAAAGUAACGAUUAAGAACAAGUACCCAUUGCCAAGGAUUGACGAUUUAUUCGAUCAGUUGCAAGGGUCCAAUGUGUAUUCGAAGAUUGAUCUCCAAUCGGGGUAUCAUCAAUUAAAGAUUAGGCCGAAGGAUGUGCACAAGACGGCGUACCGUACGCGGUAUGGCCAUUAUGAGUUCACGGUAAUGCCGUUUGGGCUUACUAAUGCCCCGAUAGCAUUUAUGGACUUGAUGAAUCGAGUCUUCAGGCCGUUGUUGGAUCAAUGCGUCGUGGUGUUUAUAGACGACGUAUUAGUUUACUCAAAGAGUGAGGAGGAGCACGAAGAGCAUCUGAGAACUGUGCUGCAAAUACUCAGACAGGAGAAGCUCUAUGCAAAGUUGAAGAAAUGUGACUUUGGUUGAAGGAGGUCACAUUCUUGGGUCAUGUGGUAUCGGGCGACAGAGUGUCGGUAGACCCGAAGAAAGUGGAGGUGAUCAAAGAUUGGCCUUGCCCGACAAGUGUAGCGGAGGUCCGCAGUUUUCUCGGACUCGCGGGCUAUUACCGGUGGUUCGUGGAGGGGUUCGCUAAAAUAACCACUCUACUAACGCGCCUCACGCAUAAAGGAGUAAAGUAUGUCUGGAGCGACGAUUGCGAUCGGAGCUUUGAGGAGUUAAAGAACAGGUUGACAUCAACCCUGGUGCUUGCCUUACUGACUCCGGGGGAGACCUUUGUACUGUAUAGUGAUGCCUCUUAUGUUGGUCUCGGGUGUGUACUAAUGCAAAAUUGUCACGCCCCGGGACCCAGCGGAAGCCCGCCCGGCACGUGCCGAGACCCGCCAUACGUCUAAAACGUAUAAGGCGUCUGAAAAAAAACAGCAAUAAUAAAAGCAAUAGCGAAAGACAACUAGGAGUAUCAGAGCAUGAUAAAUGUCUAAAGGCUACAACAAGGGAUAAGGAUAAAACUGUAAAUCCACUAAUAAAAGCAUAAAGUAAUACAAAGGAAAUCCCAAAUACAAGUGCUAUAGGUAGAUACAUAGGUGGUCUCUAUACAUGGAUACAAAAACGUCUCACUCUCUCAACUACAAAAAGAAGGAGUAAACCACCUAGGCAAAGUACCGCUCCUCGCUAGCUAGCNAUUUAACCAAUUAAGGAAAGGAUAAAUUUAAAUCUAGAUUUGUACUUAUCCUUAAUGGUUAUUAUAUUAUUAAAAAGAGGAUUAUAUUCCUCUAUAUAAUAAUAUAGAAGUUUUUUACAAAACCCUAGCCGUCAUCUCUCUUCUCCUCUUUCUUCUAUAUUCUAGCAAGAAAGAAGUCCUUUUGCAAGGGAGCUAGCACCCCGGUGAGGAUAUCAAUCAAAUUAAGAACCUCGUGUGGAUACCUAUAGAGGCCGGACGCGUGUGCGGCUUCAAGAGAAUCCAAUUCCACAAUCAUUAAAUUGAGGUGAAGAUCUAUCCGCGAAAAAGGUAAAGAUUCGAUCUUACUUUUCUCCUUUAAUCUUAAAGAACAUAAGGGAUCUUAAUUGCGUGGUUUUUGAGAUUGGAUCUUGAGAGUUUUCAAAAUCAAAAUUGUUUGAUUUCUUUUUUCGCUGCGUUUUUACCGUACGCAAUUUUUUAACAGUGGUAUCAGAGCCAUCCUUAUGUUCUUAAGAUUAAAAUUAUGAAUUUAGGUAUUAUAAACCGUUUUUCGCUGAUCAAACGAUUUAUAGAUCAUUGUUUGGUUGAUUCGAAUAAUCAAAUUGGUCAAACAAUUUAAUCCAUGGUUUCUAGCAAACUAGCAAAAAAAAAAAAAAAAAAGUAGCACCGUACGGAAGCUACUGUAGCAAUCGUAUGGACGGCACUAAUGCGAUAAUCAGGACAGCACUUCGGUAUCGAAUCAUGCAUGCAAUGUGUGUUCAACUGUAUGACCCUCUUAACAUCACUAAUUUGCUCACUACGGCAUAAUCGGCACAUCGGACCGACUUACUGAUUUUCAAAAUUCGCCGAUUCCCAUGUAAACUCGCUGAGAUGCCACUUCAACUCAAAAAGUAUCCCAAAUCAUACCAGACAUCAACAAAUCUCAUCCAUUGUCCUGCAACAUCCUAUUUUAGUGUUGGAAUACUCACAUGCAAAGUAAGCGACAACAGAAACUACGACUCCAAAAGUAAGUCAAAUCGGGUUUUGUGCUACCUAUUUUGGUAUCGAAACCAACCUACAAUGCACUUGCUGCCAUGAGAGACUUGAAUAGUGAGGAUAGGCCAGCCAACAAAGUUUGACAACUUUUCUGGAUAGCCACAAUACCGAUUUCAUGAAAAUGAAACUGAAACGCGUGAUAACAAUCCUAUUUAGCCUCAAUUAGUGUCAUUUUGCACCAAACAACCACGAAGGGUUUCUGGACCUCGGACAACUAGUCCAAACAUCAAACAUUGCUAAAUAAUAUUGUCCAAACAUCAAAUAUAUAUUGCAAAAGCAUCGUAAUGCCUUAUUCACAUCAUAAUUUAUUUAGCAUCCACCAUAGUAAUAAAAGUGGAUUUCUAGUGUUUUUACCAAACUUUCAUGACUCGGAAGACAAAUAAUAGCGCGCGAGGAUGACGACAUUCCUGUGGCUGCAACGGAAUUGUCACGCCCCGAGACCGCUACCAAUUUGGUCCGAUCCGGGCGCGUCGAACAGACGCCGGACGGACAGCACCUCCCCUGUCCGCCCAAGGCUAAACAACAGGAUCAUGUACAACAAGUUCCCAGGAAAUCAACUUGAAUACGUACAUGAUCAAAACAAUAGCGAGGGCACAACCAGUGCCGAACAUUACAAGAGCAAGCAUCACAAGUAUAAACAAGUGAAUAAAAGAGAGAUAUAACUAUCUAUUACAUCACAUUUGACAUUCAACAUUUACAUCCAUUCAACCUUUAAUACAACUUGAUCACAUUUAAGCUUACAAAAUGAAUACAUAAUCAUAUCACAUAUAUAUAUAAUGCUAGCUAUCCAAAAUACAUCAUGUCAUCUAUNAUAAGGCAUGCAUUUUAAGUGCUCUAAAAUUCAUAUAAAUUCCAUUUAGCAUAGAAAUGAAUUUAAAAAUAUUUUACAACAAUUAGAAAGAGCAUAGGGGCCAUUCGCCCCAUUUCCACGAAGCCAAACCCACCGUCGUCAACGAAGGCUUUCAUUUGCCACGACGAAGGCGUCCACCACACUCCUAGUACCCUAAAGGUAUGAAAGCAAGUGUCAUCUAGUCAAAACGAACGACGCUAAGUUCAAUCUUUAACCAUAUAGGGCUAGGGUUGAAGAAAACUGACCGAUUGCGAAGGAAGCUCUCUCGAUCUCCAAAUGGGAGCUAGAGUCCUUCCAAUCUAACCUAAACAAAGGUUCUAAACCCAUCAAUUAGGUUCCAAAGCCCUCAAAUCAAAAAUCCCCAAAACUAACCCUAGAAUCCCAAUCUAGGGUUUCAUCUAGUAAAACCUAGAAAAACAUGUAUUAAAUGGGGAUUACAAGCUACCAACCUCAAGAGAAGCUUCAAUCCAAGCUCAAAACCAAGUAGGGUUGAAGUUGGAUCCUCCACAAAGCUUCAACCGCAAGCUCGAAGCCACCAAGGUGAGAAAAUGGGGAAGAAGAUGAUGCUCCAAAGCCUCCAAGCAAGCUCCUUCUCCUCUUCUUCUUCUUCUUCUUCUUUUCCCUCUCUUCCUCUCUCUAGAAUAGGUGGGAAGGGAAGGAAUGAGGAGUGAAGAUGGUGAAAUGGCCAUAUAGACCAUCUAAAGCAACAAAAUCCACUUUGGCCCCUCAAAAACUCAAAAUUACAUCAGCCCGGUCUGGGCAGUUUUCGCCCAGAGGGACCGGUCUCCCCGACUUGGGACCGGUCUCUCAGCCUGCCCCGAAAACCCAACGUUCGGGAACCGAUCUCUCCCUGCGCGGGACCGGUCUCUCCUCGCGCAGACGCGCUCGGGGACCGGUCUCGACUGCCAUGGACCGGUUGCCUCGCCGGCUGCGCAGCACUGCUCACUGGGGGACCGGUCUCUCCUAUCAGGGACCGGUCCCCGAGAGUAAAACUCUCAGGACUCAGCCAAAACUCUAGAAAUUGAACUUUUAGGCCGGUAUAUCAUCGACGGCCCUCCACCAAGUGUGGAAAAGUUCGGAACACAGAUCGAACACUUGAACCUCGCAAUUUGCAAAAGUCCAGUGUGCUACAUUCACCACAUUUCGAGAGUAGACCAGAAUAUCAUCGAUGAACACCACGACGAACCUGUCUAGAUAAGGCUUGAAAACACGGUUCAUUAGAUCCAUAAAAGCUGCCGGGGCAUUAGUAAGCCCGAACGGCAUAACUGUGAACUCGUAAUGUCCAUACCGUGUUCUGAAAGCCGUCUUCGAUACAUCCUCGGGUUUAAUCUUCAACUGGUGGUAUCCCGACUGCAAGUCUAUCUUGGAAUACACACACGACCCCUGAAGCUGAUCAAACAAGUCAUCGAUCCUUGGCAACGGAUACUUGUUCUUGAUCGUGACUUUGUUGAGUUCACGAUAAUCCACACAAAGGCGAAGCGAUCCGUCCUUNNNNNNNNNNNNNNNNNNNNNNNNNNNNNNNNNNNNNNNNNNNNNNNNNNNNNNNNNNNNNNNNNNNNNNNNNNNNNNNNNNNNNNNNNNNNNNNNNNNNNNNNNNNNNNNNNNNNNNNNNNNNNNNNNNNNNNNNNNNNNNNNNNNNNNNNNNNNNNNNNNNNNNNNNNNNNNNNNNNNNNNNNNNNNNNNNNNNNNNNNNNNNNNNNNNNNNNNNNNNNNNNNNNNNNNNNNNNNNNNNNNNNNNNNNNNNNNNNNNNNNNNNNNNNNNNNNNNNNNNNNNNNNNNNNNNNNNNNNNNNNNNNNNNNNNNNNNNNNNNNNNNNNNNNNNNNNNNNNNNNNNNNNNNNNNNNNNNNNNNNNNNNNNNNNNNNNNNNNNNNNNNNNNNNNNNNNNNNNNNNNNNNNNNNNNNNNNNNNNNNNNNNNNNNNNNNNNNNNNNNNNNNNNNNNNNNNNNNNNNNNNNNNNNNNNNNNNNNNNNNNNNNNNNNNNNNNNNNNNNNNNNNNNNNNNNNNNNNNNNNNNNNNNNNNNNNNNNNNNNNNNNNNNNNNNNNNNNNNNNNNNNNNNNNNNNNNNNNNNNNNNNNNNNNNNNNNNNNNNNNNNNNNNNNNNNNNNNNNNNNNNNNNNNNNNNNNNNNNNNNNNNNNNNNNNNNNNNNNNNNNNNNNNNNNNNNNNNNNNNNNNNNNNNNNNNNNNNNNNNNNNNNNNNNNNNNNNNNNNNNNNNNNNNNNNNNNNNNNNNNNNNNNNNNNNNNNNNNNNNNNNNNNNNNNNNNNNNNNNNNNNNNNNNNNNNNNNNNNNNNNNNNNNNNNNNNNNNNNNNNNNNNNNNNNNNNNNNNNNNNNNNNNNNNNNNNNNNNNNNNNNNNNNNNNNNNNNNNNNNNNNNNNNNNNNNNNNNNNNNNNNNNNNNNNNNNNNNNNNNNNNNNNNNNNNNNNNNNNNNNNNNNNNNNNNNNNNNNNNNNNNNNNNNNNNNNNNNNNNNNNNNNNNNNNNNNNNNNNNNNNNNNNNNNNNNNNNNNNNNNNNNNNNNNNNNNNNNNNNNNNNNNNNNNNNNNNNNNNNNNNNNNNNNNNNNNNNNNNNNNNNNNNNNNNNNNNNNNNNNNNNNNNNNNNNNNNNNNNNNNNNNNNNNNNNNNNNNNNNNNNNNNNNNNNNNNNNNNNNNNNNNNNNNNNNNNNNNNNNNNNNNNNNNNNNNNNNNNNNNNNNNNNNNNNNNNNNNNNNNNNNNNNNNNNNNNNNNNNNNNNNNNNNNNNNNNNNNCGCUGCUGGCUCCUCGGAUGCUUCGGCGGCCUCCUAGAGUGCGUCUGGCUCGCACCCUCAGCCGCAGGCCUCUUGGCCUUCCCUUUGUCCCUAGCCUCUCGCUGCUCCUGGACCUCUGCCGCGCCGCUCUCCACAAUGAGCGCGCGAUCCACCACCUCCCGGUAGGUUUGGAGGUUAGAGGAUUGCACGAACCGAAAGAUAGACGGUCUAAAUCCUCGCUCGAAGAUGCGGGCCUUGUCCUCGUCGUCCCGCACGACGAAGGGCACGCAAUGCAGAAGCCGAGAAAACUCCCUCUCGUACUCGGCUACAGUCCGGUCGCCCUGGUGCAAGUUGCGCAAGUCUUGCUCCAUCUUCCUCUUGACGCUGGUCGGGAAGUAAUAAGCCAAAAGAAGCUCCUUGAACCUCGUCCAAGUGAUAGCUGCCAAAUCUGUGCGGGGGUUCUCCUGGAGAUCCAACCACCAGCGGUAGGCCUCGCCGUCCAAGUGGUGAGUGGCGAGCCAAACUCUGUCCCUCUCCUCCACGAAGGUAUCGCGGAAGAGCUUCUCCAUAUGCAGCAACCACUUCUCCACGAUCCAGUGGUCGACCUUCUCGCCGUCGAAGACUCGAGGGCUGCACCUCCUGAACUCAUUGAGGCGCUCCAUCAAUCUGUCUCGCUCCACCCCCUCAACCAAAGUAGGGAAUGCAGCUCCAACCGGGGGCCUCUGCACAGGCGGUGCCACCAAAACCUCCUCCUGGGGUGCGGCCGCAGGCGCCGCACGCGAAGAACUGGGCUCGGGGGACGGCGCUCUCGGUGCCACGUCCAUAACUGGUGCUGGCGGUGUAGGGGCCUGAGUCUCCCUAGAAGCUGCUGCCUGCUGCAGUAAGAGGUCCUCCAGGCGCUUCAUCCGCGCCUCCUGUCGGCGCGCCGCCUCAGUCUGCUGUCGGGCUGUCUCCGCCUGCUGAGUGCCCAAAUCAGUGAGGGCCGCAAGCUGGCCCCUCAACUCACGGACCUCGCUGGAUCCGGAGGUAGCGGAGGUCUCGACCACCUCAAAAUUUGCCGCAUUGUCCGCCCCGGCAGAUUGGGAGCGAGUAAUCGGCAUCGUCACUACAAUAUCAUAAAAGCGUAAGUUAGUAAAAACCCACGCUAUCGCAUCCCCGCUCAAACGACAAUACCCAAAUCAUGCGAAAGUAAGGAAGUGUUCUCCACUACUAACUCCUGAUGUUACGUUGUCGGCCGCCAACGUAACCCUCCGCGAAGUUAGAGGCUAAACACUCCAAUUUAACUCCACUUUCUAGAGUUAUCCAAGAUACCCAAUCCAGAUACUUUCGCUUACAAGUCAAAUAGACCUCGUCUCUCAAGAGCCUAUUUCCUAUAGUCCAAUCCGGCCUAAGGUUUGCUAGGUCCCCUAAGACUCAACCCUAGGCUCUGAUACCAAAUUAAUCUGUCACGCCCCGGGACCCAGCGGAAGCCCGCCCGGCACGUGCCCAGACCCGCCAUACGUCUAAAACGUAUAAGGCGUCUGAAAAAAAACAGCAAUAAUAAAAUCAAUAGCGAAAGACAACUAGGAGUAUCAGAGCAUGAUAAAUGUCUAAAGGCUACAACAAGGGAUAAGGAUAAAACUGUAAAUCCACUAAUAAAAGCAUAAAGUAAUACAAAGGAAAUCCCAAAUACAAGUGCUAUAGGUAGAUACAUAGGUGGUCUCUAUACAUGGAUACAAAAACUGUCACCCCCGCCCCGAAUCCACAUACCCAAUUUGGACGGUUCGGGCGCGUCGGACGGCCGCCGAAACGGACAGCACCUCUUCUGUCCGCCAAGGCUAAGCAACGCGGAUCAUGUUAACACUUAAGCACCUCAGGAAUUGUGCUUAAAAUAAACAUACAUGAUCGAAUAGAUGCACACAAGUGCAUAUACAUCAAGAGCAAGAACCACAAGUCGAUAUACUAGUGUAUAAAGAGAGAUAGUCUAACUAUGCACAAUCAUUCAAGCAUUUACAUCAUUUGAAUAUUUAUUUUUCAUCUUCCAAAAAUGUAAGUACAUGUUUUUCAAAAAUACAAGUCUCUCCGAUAUCUAUCUCAAAAUAUCAACUAGUACACUGAGGUUGACUGUCUAAUGGCAUAAGGAAAAUGCUACUAACUAGGCUCACUUAGGUGGCGCUAUGCCGCUUGCAAGCGGUCCUCGCUCGGCUCGCAUCUCUAUGUGUACCUAGUACCCAAAACACGAGCGGGGUUGAGAACUUAAUAUAAAUAUAGUUCCCAGUGGGUUCGGCCGCCAGACGCCGCCGGUUUUUUCCCACUAGGUUCUAAGCUGCACAGAAUAGUAGAGGUAGAUAAUAUAUAAAGAGAUAACUUGCAAACUACUCUAUUCAUUCCAUCAAAUAAUGAUAUGCAUGCAACAACUACUAUCAGCGAGAAUCAUGUCAAUGAGUAUAUAAAAGUACAUAGUAAUCGCAAUCUACACAUACACUAUGUCUACUCGAGGUAAUAAUGCAAGUCUACUCAUAGGAUGUUCUACACAUGCUACCAUAUACCUCGAUAGUAUCUCAAUCUCAUGGCAACCCGCCGAAGGUUGCCACCCGGGACAACACGACUCACUCUCAAUGCUCUAGGUGAGGAAAAACUGCACUCGCACACCGAGACCGUCUGCUGGGACAACCCUGUAGAUACUCCAGAGACUCUGUGCCUCGGGGAGGACACCGACAAGCCGAAAACAGACUAGUGAGGUAUGAUGCCAUCCUCACAAAGAGGAUACCCUAUUCUACCAGGGGUCAAGUACUCAACUGCACUGAAUGUCAACAUGCAUAAUGUCUCACCAUGACAUAUCGGGAAAUCUACUAUCCCUAGGUUUCAAAUCCAUAGUGUUGCCACACACUAGCAUUUGAUGCCACUGCAUUAUGUCAUGAUGCUAGUAUGUUGUCCUCAAUAACUCACUAAAUUGACAUGCCACUCGUUCUUGUUAUAGUGUUCUAUUAACUAAUCCAAUAUGCCACUUGUUUUCAUCAUCAAUGAAGUCCAUAUUUAACCAUUCAUUCGUGUCACUAUAAAGGAUCUUGUCAGCAUUGACCCAAAUCCUCAUGCAACCUAAGUUCGUAUGUGUUCAAAGCCCACCAAUCGCCUACACUACCAAUAGGAAACAUGCAAGGAAAUGGAAUGUAAUCAUCUAUUAUCCUAUAUGAUGCACAAUAUCAAUUAUAUGAAUAUGAUCAAAUAAAACUUAGAGCAUAAAAAGGAGCCCCGGAUUGUUCGGGAUACACCCCACGUUUUACCGCUAUCACGAAGCUAGUUCUCAAUUUGCACGUUCCCUAGUCGCGCGCCUUUAUUCUUCGGUCUACACAAGGCCGCCUGCGCUUGUUUCUGGCCAGAAGUCGGCCGAACGCUCGACGAAUUGACGAACCGACGCUUCCCACCACGCGUUAGGCACUCAAACACAAACUUUUUCCUCAAGCCAAGUAAUGGGACUUCCACUCCAAAGCAAACCUUUUCUCUCCAAAUGCACCUCCAAUUCCUCCUCUUUUGGUGGAGAAAUUUGUUAAGAGAAAGAGAGAUCUUUCUCUUUGGUUGCAAGUGCUGUGGAAAAAGAAAGAAAAGGCUCAGCCCCUAUAUAUAUAUAGGAAAACUUGCCUCCAAGUUUUCAUGAGGAAACUUGUCAUCCAGUUAACUUGGCCUCCAAGUUUCAUAGGAAACUUGGCCUUCAAGUUUCAUAUGAAACUUGGCUCCAAGUUAUCCAAGAACUAUUUCACAUUCAUUUUAGCAGCACAGUACAGAUAUUUUUUCGUGCUGCCCCCUGUUUCUCUUCACAGAGAAAUUUACAUCUUCAUGUUUUCCGAGCUCCCCAUUUCAACAACGGUCACCUAACAUUUUUUUUUAUAAUUUAAUGUCUAUAAGUCCAAUAAAAAUAGUAUCCAUUACUAUUUUUAGUUUAUUUUCAACUUUUACAAUUGUAAAAUCCGUAUGUUACUUCCAACCGCAACCUCAUCGGAACCAUUCUUAAAUGUACACCCGUAACUUCAUAUUUUAGAAGUCCGGUACCGUUACAAUCCUCCCUCCUUAAAAAGAUUUUCUGCUCGAACUCAAAUCUCAUCUCAAUUCGAGUUUUUGGUGGGGGCAUCUCGAGGGUAACAAUGCCUUUUGCACUCCGAGUGGCCUUUUUUCUCAAUCGGAACUUAUCCACAGGCCCACUACAGAGGAAUAUGAGACCAAAUUCACUUCACAUUUGCUUAAAAGCACAAUCACCAAAAGUCACUUACGUUUGCAAGUCUGGUGCAGCGAAGUCCGCAUUCGACAACUCUAACACGCUCGAACAACUACUUCUACGAAUCUAGGAAUAUACUUUCGAUUCGAUCACUGGGCAUCGCCUAGAAGUAAAUAUCAUCUGGUGCAUCGACCCAUCGCAAGUGGCCAUACUAUCACAUCGAAAUUUGCUAUUAACUUACGAGAUGGCACCUUCGCCAUCUCCAAUGUUAACCUCUCAGAGAGCAUAUUCUCUAUCUCGUGUCGUAAUCAAUAUCCAAUGUCCUCCAAAGACCACUUUAAUCUUCUCUUUCCCGUGCGGGCUGAUAUCAAUUCGUUCCUGUAAAUGAUUCAUACGAACACUUGUUUUCGCGGGAAUCCGAGCCACCUCACUAAACUGAGUUCCGGCCAAAACCGCUCACGCUUGGCUUUCGCAUGGGUGGACAAAAGGUCACCAACCAUAACGUAAAUCUACCGCCUCGAACCUGUCCUCAACACGUAGCGUCUCUCGCUCGCAGCGUAGACCAUAAUCAACACUACUGGGCCGAUAAUUCUCACUUGGAAUCGCACACACUUCCGACUCAAGAGCAAAAUAUGAACCCGCAAACCACGUCAAAGGUUCUCGGUUGGGUUACUAACACUCAGGCUGUGCAUCAAUCUCUAGAAUCCAACAAGUGGCAUUCCCGCCCCGAGUUCUAUCUCGACUACCGCCUGACCAAAAUAACUUUGCACUACCCGUGGUACGCGGGCCGCUGCCAAAUCGCAGCCAUGACUGUGCCCACCCAAAUGGGCUCAGGCUUCAACAGUCCACCAAAUUCAGGCACGGGUUUCCCAAAGCACUACGCCACGCUCGUCGUCCUAACACGAUCAAAUGUUCUAACCGAGCACAUAUAGCUACUAUCGGCUCCUAAGCAGCCUACUGCGAGCCGCCGCCGCCACGAGUGACCCAUGGCCCGCUUACACUUAAGCAAUGCACAUGCUACUCGCCAUCAUCACUCCCGCCGGCUGAAUAUUGAAAAUCGCACAUCCACGAGUAUUUACAUCUCGAGGCGCUCUAAACGCUCUACACGUUCACACGAAAAUCUAGCAUUAGGCACUUGCUUAUGCACAGCCGGCGCACGAGUCACAGCCGGCCUACCUCACCUUAGGUCCUACUAGGCCCACGUGCUCAAAGCUUGGCCACUAUCGAACCGGGUUCUUCACAAUGAUCUCUACCUUCACCGUCCAAUCUAUCGAACAAUAUCCGAAAUUUCGGAUUACUCGGUGCCUACAAAGUAUCAUGGCUCAACUCUCGCAAUUCUCUGAUCAUUUGGCCUUGAAGAGUCGCUUCACUUUCAUCUAACACACACCGAGUUCCUCAUUUCUCGUCCAUAGGCACUAACUAAGCAAUUUGCUAAGUGACGUCUAGCUCUCUACCUGCUGCCAGCAGGCGCUAUAUCUCCUCUACACAAGCAUGCGGGUACCUCUACCUACCCGUUCACUGGUCCCUACUAACUAAUAUAAAUAGUACAACUGACGCAUGAAAUGCAUGCAAUGCACCAAUUUAGAUAUCAUCGUCAGAAAAAACACACAUUUCUGCAUAAACCAUACCUGCCGAUGGCUCCUUCGACAGCAGCAGGUUCCUCGACUUGAGCGGCAAAACACUUGUCCACUCGGAGUCGACUUGUCCACCUCGACAGACGAGGUGGCCAUCACACGUCCAACUGACGCAACUUUUGCGGGAGAUCAGUAGUAGGGCUUCCUCCAUAAUGGCCCGGAAUUGGCCGGAGCCGAUAACAGAGACAGGACAGGCGAGGUCCUCCUUGGGACAAUGGCGGGCUGAUUGUGCCCGGAACGCCUAAGACCACUAUGUGAAGCACUUCCCCUUUCUGGCUUCGCAAUGGUUCGGGUCAUGUUUAACCCCCGCUAAAAUGACGCACGUUCCGAUCCCGCACUCUGGAACCGCCGUGCUCUGCGGGUACUUUCGAGCGUUCUUAGAACCUGAUGACCUCUCGAGCCAUCAGAAGCCGCUUUUACCGCGUUCCCUCCCUUGGACGCCUGCUCGCCCUCGCGGUACGUGGCAUUACUAUGGCUCGUGGCCCACACGCAUCGAGCGGAGCACUUCCGCAAAUGUAGUGCGCUUCAGAAAUGAAAUGCUACUAUUAUAUAUCCGCCAGAGCUCGCUCUCAUGAACCAUGCCCGAUUCUCUAUCGUCUCGCACACACGUCUGGGGACGGGCAGUCGAUUAAUAUGUGAGAACUCCUGCUCGUUACUCUUGCGAGUGCCGACGUUUCCUUCGCUUUUAACUUUCGAAGUUUAUUCGGAGCUUUCUUUUUCUUCACUAUCGGGGACCAUAAUUGUACAUAAAUAACAAACUCCGAAACCCUUUCCCACAUCAAACUGGCGGAAGGUCGGGAGACCGAUCUCGCUGAUCCGCUUCCACCAACGCUUUCGCCGCCCGUGUCCAGAGCAAUGAGAUUGGCGAAGGGGAACUUUAUCCUUCUUUAAUAUAAUAGAGUCUUCGAAAAAGCGUCUGCCCAUCGAGUCCCACCCACCCGGCGACUCGACGCAUACCAAGCUCAACAAUCUCCCCGUUGAACAUCGGUGGACUGAAACUUACGAAAUUUCAUAAGAGCCGCAAAGCGCGCGAUCCCUCUCCGCUUCCGUCAGCUACAACUCUUCGGGAAUUGAAGUCCCGGAACCAAGUAGCCACCAUCGUCAGCUCGGAUUGCGCGCGCAAAACCGCACAGCUGCCGUGGCCAGGCACCCUCUGUCAGCGACGGGCAGAGCACCCGAGUCGCGGGCCGCUCAACAUUCGGCUUGAGCCGACGGCCAGCUGCGCUACCCCGAACUGUUGUAGCCUCGCAAUCUGGUCCUCUGGCGCUGCAUCACCCGACCAAUCGAGGCGAUCUUGCGCUCGCGAAUUCACGCGGCACUUCUUCAGAUCCCGACUUCUCCGAGCACCAUCUCGGGAGGUUGGCUGCCAGAGGGAUCUAGUUACGGGGCCGUCUCUUCGGUGGCCAUAGCACCUGAAACGCAACAACUUGGUUAAUCACCUAACGGCCGUUAAUCUCUGCAACGUACUAGACAAGCGACAGCAAAUCCGCCAUAAAGCGGGCAGUACACCCAUUGUAUUAGUCUAAUGCUUAGCGUGCGUGUUGUCGGCCGCCAACACAAAACUCUCGAGGCUCGAACUAACACCGCUCGGUAUCUAUCUCUGUCCACUAGAGAUCUAUACUCGAUACCGAGCCAAUCGAUUCUUCCGUCAUCGCGAUUCAGUGUUUACAGUUUCUCUUCACGUACUAUACUACACUAGGUUCACCGUCCUAGAAGGUCUCUAGGUCCAUCCUAGACCUCUCUUUACUCUUGCUCUUAGAUUGGCUCUGAUACACACUGCUACCGCCCGAACCUACCAAAUUGGGCACGGUUCGGCGCGACGGACGGACAGGCCAACGGACACACCUUUUCUUCUGUCGGCACCAAGGCUAAGCCAUACCGGAUUCAUGUACAGUUAAAGUACCUCAGGAAUUUUGCUUAAAUAACAUACAUGAUCGAAUACGAUGCACACGAAGUGCAAUACAUCUAAUAGCAAGAACCACAAGUGAUAUACAAGUGUAUAAAAAGAGAUAGUCUAAGCUACACAUCAUAUCACAUUUCUCAAUUUGAAUAUAUUAUAUUUUCAUCUCUCAAAAUGUAAGUAUAUGUUUUCUUCAAAGAUACCAAUUAGCGUCUCCGAUAUCUAAUCCAAAAUUAUUCAACUAGUACACGAGGUUACUCUAAUCAUAAGGACAAAGUACUAACUAGGCCUCACUUAGGCGGCUAUGCCCUUGCCACGAUCCUCGCUCGGCUCGCCUCUAUUGUGUAUCCUGUCCCCAAAACCGACACGGGGUGAGAAUCUAUAAUAAUAUAGUUCCCAGUGGGUUCGCUGCCCGACGCCCGCCCGGUUUUCUCCACUAGGUCUAAGCCUCGGCACAUGAUAGAGAGGUAGAUAGAGUAUAUAAAGAAGAGAUUAAACUUUGGCAACUACUCUAUCAUGCCAUCCAAAAGUAAUCGAUAAUGACAUGCAACAACACUAUCAUGCGAGAAUAUGUCAUGAGUAUAUAAAAGUACAUAGUAAUGCAAUCUACCAACAUAACUAUUGUCUACUCGAUGUAAAUAAAUGCAAGUCUACUACAUAGUGAUUCUCUAACAACAUGCUACCAUACGCUCGAUAGUAUCACAAUCUCAUGGCCAACCCGAAAGGUUUGCCACCCAUCCGGGGACAACGCCACGACUUCACAAUCUCAAGUCUCAUAGGUAGGUAGGAGAACUCACUCGCACACUGGUCUACGCGAAGACCGUCUGCCGAGAAUCACAACGCCUGUGAGAUACUCCGGAGACUGCGUGUCCUCUGGUGGAUGCGUCCACCGACAAGCGAUAACAGACUAUGAGUAUGAUCCAAAUCUUCACAAGAGGAUACCUCUAUUACGCAGGGUCCAAUGUCCUUCCCAACUACACUAAUUGUCAAAUGAAUGAAUGUCUCCAACAUGACAAUCGGGAAAAUCUACUAUCCCUAGGUUCAAAUGCUCAUAUGUUGUUCCACUCACUAGAUCUUGAUGCCACUUCCAAUGUUAUGUCAUGAUGGCUAUACUGUGUCUCAAUACACUAAAUUGACAUCCACUCGUUCUUGUUAUAGUGUCUCUAUUACACUAAAUCCAAAUCCACUUGGUUUUCAUUCAUGACAAGUCCAAGUUUAACCAUCAUUCGUGUCCACUAUAGGAUUCUUGUCACAUGACCCAAAUCCUAUUGCAACCUAAAGUUCUAGUGUCAAAGCCACAAUUGCUACACACCAUAGAAACAUGCAAGGAAUGGAUUAUGUAAUCAUCAACUAACCUAUAAUGUCACAAUAUCAAUAUAUGAAUAUAAUGCAAAAUAAAAUUAGACAUAAUAAGGAAGCCCGAUUUUCGGAUGAACAUCCCCCCCCGCACCUCUUGUAAGUAGUCACAAGGCAAGGUUCUCAUUGCAAAUCUUCCUAGUCGCUCGCUCUUACUCUUUCGUCUACACAAGGCCGCUCGUUGUUUCCUGCCAGAACAAUCGCACCCUCGACGAAGUCCGACGAACCGACGCUUCCCAACACGCUUUAGCGCACCCUUCAACAGCAAAGCGUUUGGAGCUUUCCUCAAGGCCAAGUAAAUGAAGACGAUAAAGAGCUUCACCUCAACGCCAACCUUUUUCUCUCCAAUGAACCCUCAAUUCCUCUCUUUGUGGAGAAAUUUUGCUAGAGAGAGAGAGAUCUUUCUCUUUGGUUGCAAGUGGAGGGAGAAAUGAAAGAAAAGGCUCAAGUCCCUAUAUGAUAAUAGAAACUCUGGUGCUAAAGGUACCGGGCUUCUUAAGAACUAGAAGUCUAUGGGUGUCAAUGAUUUGGGGAGGGCCAUUUGACAAUGGUCCGGUGGAGAAUGUAAACAUACCAGAUUUUUGGUAUAAAAAUAUAUAAAUAGAAACAUAGUGUGGGAUACUGAUUUUUAUGAUUUCAGAGAAAUAAAACAUAAGUCUUAGAAUUGAACUUGUGCUGAAAUCGGAAUGAAAACAGAGAGAUCUUAAGAAUUUUCUGUCAAAGACGGGGCAGAUAAAAUUAUCAGAAAAUGCUACAGUCUUCAAGAAAAUUAUGAAUAAUUGGCAGAGAUCCGAAAUAUUUUUAUGAGACUAGCUAUGAGUUUCAAUAUUUUUCUGACAUCCAGAAAAAGUUGUGAAUCAGAUUCCGAAAGUAAUCUGAUAAAGAUUACAAGUUCGUCAGGUUUUAGUGAACCAAACGGGGAGUCCGAAUAACUGAAAAUAUUAAGAAUUUCGUUGGACUGCGUUUAUUGUGAAACCUGGGAGCCAGCCUGUCAAGUUUGACUCAAACAGGACAUUCAGUGGAGCUCCGUGCGAAAGAUAUCAAGAUUUUAAACUGCCCGGUAAGAAUGAAAUAUGAAUUUGAGGAGGUUUGACCUUUAAUUUAGAAGCUAAUUAGCUUCUUCUUCUUCUUCUAUAGCGCAGCAGCCUUGCAAGAGCAUCACGCACUGCAUAGGGAGGAGGGAGAAGAAACCUUCUCUUUCUCUCUAAAGAACUCUCUCAUCUCUCUAUACUCUCAGAGUCAAUCGCUGUGGUUGGUGGAGAAGAUGCUUGGCGAAACAGCGUUGUGAGUGGCUGACGGAUCUGAGCUUGUCCGUGCGUGUCGUUGGAGCGAUGUGUUGUUCGUCGCGGCGGUUCACAUUGGGGUAAGCUUUUGGGAUUUGUUUAAAUCCUUCACAUGAUGAUGUUCUUAGUACCUAGAGUGAUCUAAACAUGUUCUCUCGCAUUUAAUUUGGAUUAUUGGAGUUAAUUGGCAUAUUAGGGUUAAAAAAAUGGGAUUUUGCAAAAUGGUAGUUUUUUGUGUUUGAUCUCAUUGAACCUUCGUCAAACCUAAUUGAGGUAACGGAAACGCCGUUGGCGAAGACGGUUCGGCGAUCCGUCGAGCCGUUACAAAGAGUAUAUUAAAGAAAUGGACGUCUUAGGUUCGUUUCCUUCACGCCUGGGAGGCGCCGAGGCGUACGUCAGUAAAUCAAUGGAAAUGGAUUUGAGGCAAUCGUGGCACCAUAACCGAAGACCAUAAAUUUUCGGGGCCGCAUAAAGGCGGAGCACGGUGCGGCGCAGUUGCGAUAUCGGGCCGUGCCGGUACGGAUGCCCGCGGGAGGCGGAUCGCAAGUUCGAUGAAAGCAAUCAUGAUAAUGCAAUAGCGAGGUGGUUGUGUACGAAAGCGACUUGUCCUCCGCAUGUCAAAGCGGAAGUAGAAUCUAUGAUGCAUAAUAUGGAUGUGCAUAUGAACAUGUUAGUAUAUAGAUUAUGUUGACAUGUAGGAGAGCAUGCUAAAGAACAUGAAACAAUAUUAAUGAAUGUCAGCAAUACGAGAAACUGUUAAAUGUAUGAACAUUGUUAGCAGCUAUAGAUUCAUGAUGACAUGUAUGGCCCAGAGCAUGCUAGGAACAUGAGAUCAUGUUAGAUAAUGGUUAAUGGCAUAAUGAGAAAUGUGUUAUAAGUUAAUAUUAUGUGAAUGUAUCCCUAGUUGGUAAUUGCAUAUUAAAUUGUAUGUUAGAGAAUCAUGUAGAGGUGCAUCGCGCAUAUUAAUACGUUAUGAAAAGAUGCAAUUGCUAAAGUACAUUGAUGUAUUGAUAGAACCUCGAUAUGGACCAAUUAAGUAAUCCAAUAAGAUCGAGUGGCACUGAACCUAGCGUCGUGAACUUAGGUUGCAUAAGAAUGAAAGGACUAGUGUUAUGGAACAUGAGGUCGAACAGGAAUGAUCAUAUGAACCUAGUGUUUUAAACAUAAGGUCGGAUAAAUGAACCUAGUGUCGUGAAACCUAAAGGUUGACUAAGUGUAACCCCCGCGGAUCUCGGUAGAAUAUUGAGGACUUUAAGCAAAAUCGACUAAAAUGUACUCCCAAGAGAAAUGUUGGAACGAAGUCCGUAUUUAACAUUCCAACAGUGUUGGAAAGGGUCAAAGUGAGUUUCCAAUGAGGUUCAAAAGGUUCAGAGCAAUUGCUUCGGCGUGAUUGGGGUCGCGAAAAUAAUGCGAGAUGAGGUUCGGGAGCAUUCGGGGCGGUUUUCGGUGCCGCGUAGCGUGAAACGGGACCCGAAAAGGGCUAUGUUGGACCAUGACUAAUAUCGGAUAGCGUUGGAUAAAAGAUGAUGAGAUCGUCUCGAAAACAUGUUAUAGAGCCUCGGUUCGAAUUGAGAUGAAUCGGAGGUCAAACGAACGAAAAACGAGCGAAAACGAGAAAAAGCUGAAUAAAAUUGGCUAAAGUCCUGAAAAAGUGCUCGUGUUACCGGUGAACACCCCGUGUGUAGCGCGUACGUUUCAGUUGUAAAUCCGAGAAGAGAGCUCUCGGUUGGCUUGCUUACGCAGGUCGUGUAUCGUGACACCUAGCCCCGGUACCGUAUCAGUGGACCCGACAGCAAAAAUGAGUCUGCUGGCAGAAUAUGAGUUGUGGGAGGUUUUAUUUGCAAAAUGUACCAAUAUGUUAAUACCCCAAACCCCUCUCCCAUUGCAGGUGCAGCGCUCUCUCUCGCCUUUCUCAAUCCGUAGCAUAGGGCAAAAGAGAGAAGAAGAAAAAAGAGAAGGAUAAAGAGAAGGAGAAAGUGAAAAGAAGAAAAGUAAAGAAGGAGAAGAUGGAGGAGAGGAAGAGGAUGCAUCAACCAAUCAUCAUCCUCUGCAUGCUUCUUCUCUCCCUGGACUCUAGGAGCAGGUAAAGCUUCCAAGCCUGCUCAUGGUAGAUUUUGUAGAAUGAGGUUUUGAAAUCCUAGAUCUUUGAUUUGAUCUCCCUACAAGCUUUAGAACUUCGUAGAGGCCAAAGAGAACACAUAGAAAUUGCAUGCGUGUUGCCUUCAUGAUCUCUAAUGGUGGUAUCCCUAGGGUUGUUUCCUAAUACCCUAGGAUUGAUUCUAAUGAGAUAGAAACAAAGUUUAGAGAAGCUUCUUGGUGAUCUAAGCUCGCAUUAUGCUUAGGUUAGUGAGAUCAAUCGCUAAGAGAUUUUGACUUGAUUGCAUUGUUCUGCGCACCGAAAUUGGGCGCUUUUUGGCCUGCGCUGGGUGUUUUUAAGGCAAAUUGACCUGAAACUAAUUGGGACCUACGGAACGCGUUGGUGCGCUCGGUUCGGCAAUCCGACGAGCGACCGAAGUUUAUUGACGAAAACGAAUCGUUUUGGACAGAUAGCUGCAGGCAACAGCGGAAUAAAGGUCUAAAAAUGCAUUGAGAUCGGAACGCGGAGCAACCUUGGAGUCAAGGAAAUAACUUCCGGAAAAGACGGAUCGCGAUUUGGAGGUCGUUCGCUAAUCGCGCAAAGAGUGCGAGCCAAAACCGGGCAACGGGUUGCCGCGGGAGGCCCGAUUGCAAGUGUCUGAACGAAGCAAUGGGAACGCAGUUUAAGGUGGGUUGUUUUACCGCAAGGGCGACUAGGUCGCCUUUAUGUCUAAUUUUUAAUUUCGUGUUGAAUGAUGUUGAUUGUUUUGGCAUAGUUGAAUAGCUAAGUAGCAAUGCAUAAUAUGAUGUAAGACACUAAAAUUGAUGCAUGAUAAUGUAAAUGAAGCAUGUAAAAAUGAUGCAUUGUAAGCUAAAUAAUGCCAAUGGUGAAUGUGUGAUGUAAUUGCUAAAUAGAAUGCAUUAUGAGGCCAUUGUUGAAUAAAGCUAGAUAAUUAUGUGAUAUGCAUGUAACCAAUUAACUGGCAUAAAUGAAAUGCAAUUGAUGGUAUAAGUUAAAAUAGAUAAUAGAAUGCAUGUUGAGCUAUUGUGAGAUAAAUGUGGCAUGAAACUCGGUUGAAUAACCCUAAGAAUGAUGCUAUGCUAAAGUAUAAGUGAUUAGGCUGAUAUGAAAAUAGUACAUACAAGUACAUGGUAAGAAUUCUGGGGGGGUAAGGAAGGACAAGUGUAGUGGAAUGAAUAAAUAAUAUAGAUCGAGUGGCAUUUUAACCUAGAGUCUUGAAAAGUUAAAUGAGAGUGAUGUUAAACCUAAUGUAAAGAACAUAGUUGUGAAAUGAAAGCUGCUAACUAGGAUAAAUGAACCUAUGUUGGGAAAAGAGUAAAUGAUCCUAUGUGUAAUUAACCUAGGUAGAAUGCUGUGAAAGCAAUAAACCAAAAAAAAAAAAAAAAAAAAAAAUAAAGUAAUAACUUAGGUUGUAUAAAGGAUGUUGACCUAGAGUCAAUUGACGCUAGGAGAUAAAGGCUUAGAGCCUAGAGAAGGUCAGUUCAUAGGGUUAAGCCAACCUUGGUUAAUGUGAUAUGGAUUCGAUUAAUAUAAUCUCAGGCAGUUUCACCAAGCAGGCUCUAGAUGAUCAGUUAAGCAACACAUAACAAGACAGUUAAUUUUAUUGACAAGAAGUAUGACCGAUAGAAAGCAUAUAUUACUCUAACAAAUUACAAAAAUUUAUAAGUUGAUAGCCAAUAUUCAAGUUAACCUAUAUAUCCUCCACGGCCGCCAUUCACGAGCCCAUAGAACCCGAGAAACUGAGAGGACGCGAGACAGAGAACAGAGCACCGCACACACUGCCGGCGAGAACGACCUCAAUGGUGCUCGUCCACAUUCCAUUGCCCCCGUCUCCGCAAAUCCAAACCCUCAAUCGCAUCAGGAAACUCACCAAACCUACAACAAAAACCAAUACUCCCCAAGUAUAGUAAAAAAAAAAAAAUCGCAAUUUUACCCUAACAGAACAGUAGCCAAAUUAAUCCUUUCCCCGAAAGCUUAAAUCAAGACAUUUCGCAAAAGUCCACACAAUCUGAAGGUCAUUCUAAAAGAAUUAAACCGAGAAACAGCAAAAAUCCCAAUUUUUUACGCCUAGAAAACAGUGGCCCAAAAACUAUCCUUUCAAGCACAAAUCACUAAACUCCGCGAACAAUCCUCAGACACGGCUGCGUUAUCAAAGAACACAAAAGUUAACAAAACAAAAAUGCCAAUUUUUACUCUAAAAACAGAAGCAAACUUAAUCCUCAGAGCUCAAAUCAACAAAUUCCCAACAAGUCACACAAAUGCAACCGGUUUCAUUCCCAAAACAUUUUACACCAACAAGGCCCUAAAGCACUACAAAGGCGCGACUUGAGGCCCACCCGCCCCCCCCAUGGGUAAGAUCUCGGAGACGGAGCUCAGCACCUCGAUGAGGCGGCGAAACCCUAAGGACGGCUUAGAGAAAGAGGUAGGGUAGGUGGAAGAGGAUUGAAACGUAGCCUCGAAGCUCUUAAGCAUAGGAAAGGGAUGGGAGGUGGUCCUCCUCUCCGAACUUUUGCAAUAACCCUAGAUAAUGGGGGAGAGGAGAGAGAGAGAGAGAAAGAGAGAGAGGGGAGAGGAGUCGAGUGUGGAGUAGAGAGAGAGAGAGAGAGAGAGAGAGAGGGUGAGUGACAUUUGUCCAAAGUAUAAUUGUGCGGAGUAAAUAAAUAAAAUAAUAAAUAUAAAAAAUAAAUAAUAAUAACAAUAAUAAUUAAAAACGUGAAAAAUAAAAUGAAGAAUUAGAGGGGCUAGCUGAAAUUGCGUUUGAAAAAAGAGUUUUGUUUUUUUUGGGCUAAAAAACAGAAUUUUCCAAUCAUUUUAUGUUUACAAAAAUGCUUUUAUGAAAAAAAAAUCAAUUUUCAUAAAAAAGAAAAGGUUUUUUUGGCAUUGCAUAAAAAUUCCACAAAUUUGAGCUUUGCAAAACGAGCACAUUUUCAAUUUUGUAGAUUGGGUCGAAUUUUUCGUCAUCGGACAAAAUCCUUUAUUCCCUUUCUUUCUCUCAUCUUCUUUUUUGUUCUCUUUCGUGCGUACGCCUCUCCCGCCUCAACCCUUCCCACCCGCUCCAGCCUUCAACCCUCCGCGUACGCCUCUCCGCCUCCGGCCCCUGCCGCCUUCCCACCCGCUGAUUCGUCUGAACCUCUCCGAUAUGCUCCGCCGCCUCGGCCUCGUAGACCUCUACUCCACGCUCCGCCUUAUCCCUCCGUCCCACCGCUCCGCCUCAACACCCUCGCCAAUACGCCUCUCUGCCUCGACUCUCGUAGGCUUGGUGGGGUCCUAGACCGAUCUCGCCCUGGAGCCCGACGAUGUCGCGACUGCAUCUGGCGAGGUCGCGGAUGGAGAUUCGCCGGCGCCACUGCCCGACGUUGACCGUGGUCAAGAGUUGGAGUAGCGGUCCAUGAGAAGAUGAGGGGCGUCAGCGAGUCGUCGACGUGGAGCGAACUCCGGAGCCGGGCGCCGGAGCCCCAGACGACGAUUUUUCUCUACGGCUAUGGCACCUGAGCCCUAGCAGGGCACCUAUCUUUAUUAUUUAGGCACCUAAUCGUAAUGGUGUAAAAAAGAAAAAGGAAGAGAAGAGGAGGAUAUGGAUAAAUGAUCAAUUUUGGGCGAAAAUGGUGUAAAAUUGGACAAAAUUUGCACAUUUCUCCUCCUCCUCCCCUUCUCUUUUUCUUCCCUCGGCUCCGCGUGCAGGCGGCGCACCUGGGCCGUGGUGGCGGAUUACGGAGCUAGCUCUGCGAGCAAGGGGGGCGCGUGCGGGGCGUUUGGAUGGCCCUACACGGUGGUGCCGAGAACGACAACCGUGGGCCGGCUGUGGGCUUCUCAGAUGUCGGCUUCAUACUCAACUUCCUACCAUCGGAUCCGCAUCUGUGCGCCCUCGUUAAAGUCUAGCGCAACUGCUCACCNNNNNNNNNNNNNNNNNNNNNNNNNUAUGCAUGCAUUCUACUCAUAUAGCUCUACUAUAUAGUGAAAUUUUCAUAAUACACAAGGCAUGCAUUUUAAGUGCUCUAAAAUUCAUAUAAAUUUUAUUUAGCAUAGAAAUAAAUUUAAAAAUAUUUUACAACAAUUAGAAAGAGCAUAGGGGUCAUUUCGCCCCAUUUCCAUGAAGCCAAACCCACCGUCGUCAACGAAGGCUUUCGUUUGCCACGAGGAAGGCGUCCACCACACUCCUAGUACCCUAAAGGUAUGAAAGCAAGUGUCAUCUAGUCGAAACGAACGACGCUAAGUUCAAUCUUUAACUAUAUAGGGCUAGGGUUGAAGAAAACUCACCGAUUGCGAAGGAAGCUCUCUCGAUCUCCAAAUGGGAGCUAGAGUCCUUCCAAUCUAACCUAAACAAAGAUUCUAAACCCAUCAAUUAGGUUCCAAAGCCCUCAAAUCAAAAAUCCCCAAAACUAACCCUAGAAUCCCAAUCUAGGGUUUCAUCUAGUAAAACCUAGAAAAACAUGUAUUAAAUGGGGAUUACAAGCUACCAACCUCAAGAGAAGCUUCAAUCCAAGCUCAAAGCUAAGUAGGGUUGAAGUUGUAUCCUCCACAAAGCUUCAACCGCAAGCUCGAAGCCACCAAGGUGAGAAAAUGGGGAAGAUGAUGAUGCUCAAAGCCUCCAAGCAAGCUCCUUCUCCUCUUCUUCUUCUUCUUCUUCUCCCUCUCUUCUUCUCUCUCUAGAAUAGGUGGGAAGGGAAGGAAUGAGGAGUGAAGAGAGUGAAAUGGCUAUAUAGACCAUCUAAAGCAACAAAAUCCACUUAGGCCCCUCAAAAACUCAAAAUUACAUCAGCCCGGUCUGGGCAGUUUUCGCCCAGAGGGACUGGUCUCCCCGACUUGGGACCGGUCUCUCAGCCUGCCCCGAAAACCCAACGUUCGGGAAUCGGUCUCUCCCUGCGCGGGACCGGUCUCUCUCCGCGCAGACGCGCUCGGGGACCGGUCUCGACUGCCAGGGACCGGUUGCCUCGCCGGCUGCGCAGCACUGCUCACUGGGGGACCGGUCUCUCCUAUCUGGGACCGGUCCCCAAGAGUAAAACUCUCAGGACUCAGCCAAAACUCUAGAAAUCGAUCUUUUAGGCCGGUAUAUCAUCGACGGCCCUCCACCGAGUGUGGAAAAGUUCGGAACACAGAUCGAACACUUGAACCUCGCAAUUUGCAAAAGUCCAGUGUGCUACAAAAAUGGGCGAGUUAUUGCUUAUGCAUCGCGCCAAUUGAAGAGUUAUGAGAAGAACUACCCGAUUCACGACCUUGAGUUAGCCGCAGUGAUCUUCGCGCUAAAGCUUUGGAGGCAUUACCUAUAUGGUGAACAUUGUGAGAUAUACACAGAUCACAAGAGCCUCAAGUACUUGUUCACCGAGAAGAAAUUGAAUAUGCGGCAACGGCGGUGGUUAGAGUUGCUAAAGGACUACGAUGUCACUAUACUAUACCACCCUGGGAAAGCCAAUGUCGUGGCCGAUGCUCUAAGUAGAAAAUCGGCGAAGAACUUACCGAUGGCAAUUACGCCUCAACUGCUAUUGCGAAAGGAGAUGCAAAGGCUUGGGUUGGAAGUGGUAGCGCCGGGAGUGCCGGCUACCCUUGCCGCAUUAGUCGUGCAACCGACCCUAUUCGAGAGGAUUAAAGAGUUACAAGCUUCGGAUCCUUAUCUCCAAAAGGUUCGAGGUGAAGUUGAAGGCGGUAGCGCCGAAGACUUUGGCGUUUGGACCGAUGGCGCAGUUCAAUUUCGAAAUCGUUGGUGCGUGCCUAAAGACGAUGAGUUACGAAGGGCGAUUAUGCAAGAGGCACACCAAUCCCCUUAUAGCAUACACCCCGGCGGCACUAAGAUGUACCAAGAUUUGAAAGAGCACUAUUGGUGGCCGGGCAUGAAGAAAGAUAUUGGGGAAUUCAUGGCGCAAUGUCUAACGUGCCAACAGGUGAAAGCGGAGCGCCGAUUUUCGGCGGGAAAGCUACAAAGUCUAUCAAUUCCCGUUUGAAAAUGGGAAGAUAUAGUGAUGGACUUUAUUACCGGUUUGCCUCGAUCACAAGGCGGCCACGAUGCGAUAUGGGUGAUAGUGGAUCGAUUGACAAAGUCGGCACACUUCUUGCCGAUACAUACUACGUGGUCGGGAGACAAGUGUCACACCCCGCCCCGAGACCGCUACAGUUUGGCACGGUUCGGGCGCGCCGAGCGGACCGCCGAACGGACAGCACCUCCCCUGUCCGCCCAAGGCUAAAGCGACGAGAUUGUGUACAUCAAGUUCCCAGGAAAACACUUGAAUAUAAAGAAACAAUCAUACAACAACUGGCGAGAGCACAAACAGUGCAGAACAAUACGAGAGCAAGCAUCACAAGUAGAAUCAUACAAGUGAAUAAAAGAGAGAUACUACUAUCUAUUACAUCACAUUUGACAUUUACAUCCAUUCAACCUUUUAUACAACUUGAUUACAUUUAUNAAGCUUCCAAAAUGAAUACAUAAUCAUCUCACAUGUAUAUAAUGCUAGCUAUCCAAAAUACAUCAUGUCAUCUAUAACCAUGCACACGAGGGUGCUCUAGUACAAUAGGAAAGCUCUACUAGCUAGCUAGGGCGCUAUGCCCUUACCGCGAUCACCUGCCGGUCCGCUCACGUGUGUACCUGUACCCCAAAACCACACGGGGUGAGAACUAUAAAAAUAUAGUUCCCAGUGGGUUCGGCCGCCGACUCCGCCGAUCUUCCCACUAGGUCUAAGCUGGCACAGAUAGAUAGAUAGAGAGAUAAAUAGAUAUUGAACUGCAACUAUGAUCUAUUGUGCCAUCAAAUGCAAGGAAUGCAUGCAAUAUCAUUUAUCAUGCUAGUAUGCUUUAACAAUGUAAUGAAUACCAAUACAACAUAGUUAUGUAAACCUCUAACAUAUGCUAUGUCUAAUCAUGGUAUGAAUGCAAAUCUGCUUAUGCAAUUCAUGUCAUUACCCAACCCACUAGGCUACCCCACCUAAGGUCUCAACCACAUAGGUGAAGGACUACCCCGCCCUUGUCUCACCCGUCUCACAACUCUAAUGCUACGGUAAAGAGCUACCCUACUCUUACCCGACUCGUAUCUCGAAUGCUAUAAGCUAAAAGAGCUACCCCGCUCGUUGCCCGACUCAGAUCUCAUGUCCUAUAGGUGAAGAGCUACCCCGCUCCUCGCCUAACUAAUACUCAAAUGCCUAAGGGCAAGAGCUACCCCGCUCUUCGCCCCGACUCUAACUCAAACUCAUAGGUCAAGAGCUACCCCGCUCGUAGGUAAAGAGCUACCCCGCUCGUAGGUAAAGAGCUACCCCGCUCAAAGGUCAAGAGCUACCCCGCUCGUAGGUAAAGAGCUACCCCGCUCAUAGGUAAAGAGCUACCCCGCUCAAAUCUCACCGGUGAAGGGCUACCCCGCCCUUCGCCCGAUUCACUUCCCAGUCCAAUGGGUGGGGAGCUACCCUGCUCGUAUCCCACCCGAUGAGCUACCCCGCUCGUGAGCUACCCAGCUCGUGUGACAACUCCGGAGUGCACUGCUUAUGGGGAGCGACCGCCACAAGCCCAAAACAGACUAUGUGAGUAUGAUCCAAUCCUCGCCAACUGAGGAUACCCUGUCAACUAGGUUAACAAUCACUUGAUAAUCCACCUAUCCCUAGGUCCAUGUCAAGUGUCUCAACCACACUAAAUCUCGAUGCCACUCACCUAGGUCUAAUCAACUCUAGGUUCCACAACACUAGGUUUAAUGUCAACCUAUGUUUAACAACAUUAUAUUAAUGCCACUCGAUCUAUCCUAGGUUCACGACACUAGGUUUAGAUGCCACAUAAUCUCCAUAAUUAACAAUAGGUUAACAUUCAUUUCAUCUAGCAUAUAUGUUCUAUAAAGCCAACAUGCAUCAUAAUGCUAAUAUGCCAUUAUCAACUAGCAUGCAAUCCAUUCUUAAUGCUACAUGCAUACAAUCUCCAUUACACUAGUACACAUGUCACUAGUUUCAUUAUCGAGUCCAAGUUCUUUAUUUUCUUUUCAUUAUAGGAUCUCAUGUCUAAACCUUAGUCCUCAUGCAUUCUAUAUUUAGGUGUCAAGUCCAUAAUACUACACAACUAGACAUGCAUUCAAGGAAAGUAGAAAUAUAAUAAUACAUACAUCCUAUAAUGCAUAAGAAACAUAUGUGCAAUAUGACCAAAGAUCUAACUCGGACAUAGAAGGAAGCCCGAUUGCUUCGGAUAGACACCCCCCACCUUUUUUAUAGCGUUCCGAUUGCUCGUCGUCACUCGCAAUCGGCCUCCCGCGGCGCACGCCGCUCGGCUCGACCCUAUUCGCGCGCGACCAUCGAAUGACCUCCGCUUUGCGAUCCGAGGAUUAUAGGUCUUCGGUUUCCUGUUACGAUGCUCGGGAUCCAAUCCCACGAUUUAUGGAAGCUGCCUCGGCUCCCGGGUCAACCCUGAACUACGGAACCUUGUUUCAGCCGGAACGUCGCACCUGCUCGACGAAUCGACGAACCGUCGCUUCCUACGCGUUCGGAGACAUAACAAUUAAGUUUCUGACUACUCAAUUUAGAUCAAACCCAACUAUUUCCAAGAACCCCAUUUUUAACCCUAGGUUUGAUGCUAGGCAAAAAUCCACCAUUUGGACCCUAGCUUUAAGCAAUAAACAUCUAAUUAGCAUCUAAGAAUGCUACUAAAUCCAUUUCUAGAGCAUUUAAAUCACACCCUAGAGAUCUACCAUUAAAGCCCUCAUUUGGAGCCUUAUUUUGCAACUAGGCAAUAAACCACCAUUAGAGCUUAGGAUUCAAGCUCUAAUCAUCUAUUUAGUAUGCUAGGGUUCCUCUAAAUCCAUUUAUAGGGAUUAAAAUCCAAGCUUUAAAGAGAUGCCAUUAAAGCCUCACAAGCUUACCUCCAAAGCUUGCCCUCAAAGUGGAGAAGAUGAUGAUGAUGAUGGUGAAUCCUCUCUUGGCCUCAAUCUCCACCAACUUCCCCUCCUUCUUCACUUCCUAGAGAGAGAGAGAGAGAGUUUGAGGUGUUCUUUUAGGUUAGAAUGGUGUGAGGGAGAGAGGGAAAUGAGUUAGCACCUUUGUAUACACUCUCAUGGUGUUACAAGUGCAAACAGCCCCCUCAACAUUCAUUUUAAUACACAGCCCCCGCGGGGCCAAUUUUUUGUAUAGGGGACCGGUCCCUGGCAGUGAGAGACCGGUCCCCGAAGGUCCAGAAUUCCAGCAUUUUUAGGACUUAGCCAAAUUUCAGCCUUUUUCAUUUUCGGGGUCCGUUUUCGCUCGUUUUCGCUCGUUUGACCUCCGAUUCGUUUCAAAUCGAACCGAGACUCUCCAAACAUGUUUUCAAACAUGUUUUCAUCAUCUUUUCAUCCACGCUAUCGCCGGAUUUAGCUCACGGCCCAACUUAGCCUUUCGGGUUCCGUUUAGCGCCUACGCGCACCAAAACGCCCGAAUGCUUCCAAACCUCACCGAACCUCACCAAAACCUUUCGAAUGGAUUUCCAACCAAUUGAACACCAUAACUUCAUGAUUUUAGAAGUCCGGUACCUUACAACAAGCUAGCUCAAGUUUAUCUCGACGAGGUUGUGAGACUUCAUGGGGUUCCGGUAUCAAUUGUGUCGGAUCGAGACCCCAGGUUCAUAUCCCACUUUUGGAAGAGCUUGCAAGACGCGCUAGGCACACGGUUCGACUUUAGCACAGCAUUUCAUCCUCACAGUGAUGGACAGUCGGAGCGGAUAAUACAGAUCCUUAAGGAUUUACUUCGGGCAUGUGUACUAGAUUACAAGGGAGGAUGGCAUGAUUUCUUGCCGAUGGCGGAGUUCGCAUAUAAUAACAGUUAUCAAGAGAGUAUAGCGAUGGCGCCAUUUGAGGCACUAUAUGGUCGGAAGUGUCAUUCUCCUAUUCAUUGGAGCGACGUGGGCGAGAGAACGGCUCUUGGCCCGGAUGUGGUACGGGAGGCGGAAGAAAAGGUUCGUCUUGCCCGUCAACAGUUAGUGACGGCGCAAUCUCGGCAAAAGAGCUAUGCCGACAAGCGAAGGAAAGACUUAGAGUUCGCGGUUGGAGACUGUGUAUUUUUUAGAGUGUCGCCGAUGCGUGGAGUAAAGCGGUUUGGGGUCCGCGGGAAGCUAAGCCCCCGUUAUGUUGGACCAUUUGAGAUACUAGAGCGUGUGGGUGCGGUGGCGUACAAGCUCGCACUACCACCGAGACUCGCGGGAGUUCACAACGUGUUUCAUGUGUCAAAUCUCCGAAAGUAUGUUCACAAUUCGACACAUGUAUUGGAGUACGAGCCCGUGGAGUUACGUGAGGAUAUGUCUUAGGAGGAGUACCCGGUGUGCAUCCUCGAUCGAGAAAAAAGGAAGUUACGGAGUCGCAAAAUUCUAUAUGUGAAGGUCCAAUGGAGCAACCAUGCGGUGCGAGAAGCCACUUGGGAGCUCGAGGAGACCAUACGGAGAGAGUAUCCGCAUCUAUUUGAGUCGACGAGUUAAGGUAUGCGUAAUUUCGCGGACGAAAUUAUUUUAAGAGGUGGAGAAUGUAAUAUACCGAAAAUUCGGAAAAUAAAUAUUUAACUUUAGUCAAAUUGACCAAAGUGCGAGGAUGGAACACUUCGGAAAGUCCGAAGGUGUUAAUAUGAUCAAAAGUGCAUUAUGGGAGGUUUUCGAGAGCUAAAGAAUCAAAAAUCUGCAAACUGUAGUUUUUGAGCUCUCGGGGACCGGUCCCUCUCUCGGGGACCGGUCCCUGGUAGGAGAGACCGGUCCCCGAACGCGUGAGAAAUGAGAAAGGCCGAAAAUCGGCUAAGUACCAGAAAAUCAGCUCUCGGGAACCGGUCCCUGCGGGGAAAGACCGGUCCCCGAGAGACUGGUCCCUCUAGGAGAGACCGGUUGCCCCACGCGAAAGCUCUGCUGAGCUGCGGGAGAGCUCUCUGGGAUCGGUCCCAAGUCGGGGAGACCGGUCCCCGAACACGAAAAGGGCCCAGUUUGGGCAGUUCAAUAAAGUGAAAGUUUAGGGGCUUACUUGCAUUUAUGCAACCCAACGGUUAUGUAGAGGGCUAUGAGGGCUUUUUCCUCUCAUUCUCUCCCUCUCACACACCCUCUCCUCUUUUUCUCUCUCUAGAAGACAAGAAGGAGAAGAAGAAGACAAGGAAAAGAAGAAGAAGAAAAGGAGAAAGAAGGUGAAGAAGAAGCUAAGAAGUGAAGCUACCUCCUCUUCUUCCUGUUUGGAGCAACAUAAGAGCAAGCUUAGAGGUAAGCUUGAACCCUAUUCAUGGUAGAACCCAAACUAGGGUUUGGGUUAAGCUAAAAAUAGUUUUUAUAGAGCCUUUAGAGUAUUUGGAGCUAUCUUUUGCUUUUUUUAGAGAUCAAACAAUAGAUUGGGUGGAGGUGGUGAAGCUUGAAGGUAAGCUUCAACCCCUCUCAUGGUGAAACCCUAAAAUGGGUUUGGAAUGAGCUAAGGAUGGUUUUAAUGGAGUCUCUAGAGUAGAUUAAGCUUUCUUUUGCUUAUCUUUGAGAUCAAAACCCUAGUUUUGAUGUGGGUUGAGCUAGGGCACCCAAAUUUGGGGCUUUUGCUUGCGAGGGUUUCAAAGUGAAAUCGACCCUCUAGAAACCUAAUUGGGGAUAUUUCCGACGCGUUGGUGCGCUUGGUUUAACGUUACAAAAAGCCUAUGCAAAGUUAUGAGCAAAAUGGCCUAAUAAGGCUUCGUUUUGCCACAGGUGAUGAACUAGGAGCCUAAAAAUUCCAAGAAAAUCAUUGUAGCAUCCUAAUACGCCUACAAGGUGGGUGGUGCUAUCCAAACUUGUUGGAAUUCCUUCUAUGCCUAAUGUGUCAUUCAAUUGAGCAUAUAUUUAUAUUGUUGCAUGUAUUAUAGGGUAGAUGUGAUGAUAUACAUGUGAAUGUUGCAUAAUGUGAGUACACAUGCUAUUUGAGAUGUUUGAGAGCCUAUUUAACCCUAUAUGUAUGCAUGAGAUGUAAUGUGAGCACCCAAUGAGAGGAAAGAACAAAGUGACACAAUAAAAUAUAGACCGAGUAGCAUUCGACAAUGUAAAGUAAAGUGACACUAGAGGUAGUGUGUGUGGCAUCAAAGAGAAAUGUGACACAAAGAACAAUGCUAAUGUUUAGAGACAAGUAAAGAAAACGAAAGUGGCAUAAAGAACGAGUAAAGUUAAAGAACGAUGAUUGCUAGAGUUAGCAAAAUAAAGUGAUGUAAAGAACACUAGAGUUAGUGUGAAGACAAUGAUUGAACUAUAUAUCCUUAGAGUUAAGGAUCGAUCAUACUUGCUAUGAGUUCUGUGCUCGAGGGCGGUCGCUCCCCCUCGGGCGAUGUGCUCCGGAGUUUUUGCAUCACGGGUUGGAGUAAACCCGAGGACGGUCUUAGUGGGAGGAAGCUGAGGGCCCACGAUGAUGGACUUACUGUGGGCAAGUUAAUAUGGCGAAACCCCUGGGUUAGCCGUGAGAUUAAAGAGCAAAGAACAAGUCUAAAGAACAAAGAGUAAAGAACAAAGAAUCUGCAUACUUGCAUGAGUUACAUUGAGCAUAUUUCUUGCUUUAUUGUUCAGGCAUAUUAGCAUCAUGAUUAUAGUUUGGUUACUAUUCUCUUAUCCUUUCUAUUAUGCCUGAGUUAGCCCUAGUGGGAAAGUCGGUGAGAUUGGGGCCGAACCCACUGGGAACGUUGUUGUAGUUCUCACCCCACUAUUCCACAGAGCCGAGACCGAGCGAGCCGGCGAGCGACCGCGGUAAAGGUAUCGCACCGCUGUUGAAGCAAAGAAGGAGAAGAAGGAAAGAGAAGAAGAAGAAGGAGGAGAAGAAGAAAAAGAAGGAGAGCUUGGAGGAGAUCAUCUCCAUCACCUUCUCCUCUCCCUCUUCAUCCCUUUGGAGCAGCUCAAGAGGUAAGCUCUUGAACCCUAAUGGUAGAACUUAGGGUUUUUGGGUUUUUGGCUUUUAAGAUGAGGUCAAAUGGACCUCUAGCACCAUUAAUGGUGGAAUAGAGCUAGGAGCUAGGGUUCUAUAGUACAAAUUGCAAGAUGUGAACCCUAGGGCACCCAAAUAGGGUUUUUGAUAAAUCAUGAGAUUGAUCUCAUUUGAUAGCUUGUAAACCUAAUUGUUAGGUGUCUAAACGCGGAGGCGAAGUCGGAUUUUCGAUUCAUCGAGCGGGUAAAACGCUAUCGGCAAAAUAUAGCCUAUUGAGCGCCGUUUUGGACCAAGGAGGCCGAGACAUCGUCGUAACGUUCGGCGAGAAGCAUUUCUAGAACCUUCAUACCCUCAAAAGGUGGGGGGGUGUCAUCCCGAAGCAACCGAACUCUUUUCUAUGUCUUAGAAUAACAUAUAAUCUCAUCUCUUGCAUGUUGCAUUGUAGGAUUGCAUUGUAGUACCUUUUCCUUAUGCUUCUAAAUGUUAAUCUAGUGUACAUGGAAUACUUGGUGAAAUAGAUAGGUAAGGAUUGGGUCGGAACAUGGAUCCUAUAGUGCUAAGGAAAAGAGAUGAACUCGAUGGUUAUUUAGUGACAUAGAGAGUGGCAUUACGUAGUGUCACGUCCCGCUAUCGCCAAUUUGGUCGAUCCGGGCCCGCGCACAGACGCCGAACGAACAGCACCACCUCUGUUCGCCCAAGGCUCAACAACAACGAGUACAUGUAUAAAGAAAUAAACAAUUCUCAGGAUCACAUUUCAAUAUACAUGGCUUGCACGAUGGCAAGCAAUAAACACAAGUGAUAGUAAAGCUAGCUAAACAUGAAAUUUCACUGUAAUUUAAAACUUUAAACUAACUUGCAUAACAGAAACAUCUAGUUAUUUACAUACACUUUACUACAUUCAUUUACAUGUCUCUGUACAUCGAAAUAGAUGAUACAUGAACUCAAACUGGUAACCACUACAACUCGGGUGUCCACUAGCUAGGCUGCUGGGCUCUUGCCACGAUCCACGGCCUCGAAACUCGCACUGGAACCUGUAUGGUUAGUGGUGUGAGAACUACAAGAAAGUUCCCAGUGGGUUCGGCUGCCGACCUCGCCGACUCACCCACUAGGUCUACUCAGGCAUAUGUAGGCAAGAAAAGUAAGCAGAUAGUAACCAACUAUAACAUGUAACUACUACAAUGCCUGUACAAAGCUGAAAGAAGUAACAGAUAUGAAGACUGUAAAUAUGCAUGCAUGCUUUUCAUUAACUUUACCCAAUCUUUUGGUUAACCCUCUGGUUAACAACUGGACAAGUACGUUAGUCCUGGGGCAAGUACGUUAGCUCAUAUAUUUACCCAAUUCACUGGUUAACCCUUUGGUUAACAAUAACUCACUAACGAAAUCCCUCACGGGCCCUAAGCUGCCUCCCGAUGGGACCGUCUGUCGGACAAGUACGUUAGUCCUGGGGCAAGUACGUUAGCCCAACAAGUGACUACUCCGGAGCUCACUGCCUGGGGGGAGCGACCACCACCAAGCUAAGAAAACAGACUAUGUGAGUAAGAUCUGAUCCCCCUUUAGAGGAUUCAACUGACAACAAUGUCACAAUUUAACUCUAACUAGUUCUUUAUACUAGUUUCAUAAUUGCAUUUCUCGAUGCUAACCAAAUCUCUAGUCAUGAUGUCACCAAGUUUACUAUUGUCUUGGUCCUUUACAGUUUCAUACAUUCAUAGGGUUCUAUGUCCACAUUCUAAUGUUCACAAAUUCUCAUUGUUGAUAGGAAUUCACAUUUUCACUCGCUCAAUGCCAAACACCCUAUAAUGCAUGACUACAAAUAUAAAUAUGCUCAACGAAGAAUUAUAGACAUAAAAGGUGAUUCAAAGAGUUCGGAUAGCACAACCCACCUUUCUUUGAUGCCGGAAUGGGAGAAAUGCGCUUCUAGCGCUUUCCCGAGAAUCGCGACCCGCGCUCGUGACUAUCGACGCCGAAAAUCUUCUUUUGGCGAUAUCUUCGCGUAGGAGCGACGGAUUGCCGAACCGACUUCGCCAGCGCGUUUCUUUUACCCCCAAUUUGGUUUGUACGCGGUCAAUUUCACGUCUGGGCUUCUAUCCUGCAAAAGUGCAUUAUCGGGGUCAGUUUCUAUAAAAACUCCUGCUCAAUGCAAGUUUCGCAAUUACAUAGCGUAAUUCAAUUCUUAUUAGCCCAAGAGCCUCAGAACAGUUAAUAAAAACUGUCCAAAUACUUCAAUUCCAUUUUUCUCUCUAUCAUUUCCCUUUCUUUCAUUUUUUUUCUUCUCAUCUUAUUCUUUUCUUUUCUUGCUUUGCUUUCUUUCUUUUCAUUCAUUCUUUCUUUCUUUUCUUUUCUUUUCUUUUCUUUCCUUUCUUUCUUUCUCUUCCCUGAGGUUUUCUUUUUCGUUCUCUUUUGCUUUUCUUUCUUUUCUUUCUUUCUUCCUUUCUUUCUUUCUUGCUGCCCCUGCAGGGCAGCAGCUGCUGCUGCCACUGCUGCUGCGCAUGCUGCUGCUGCUGCUGCUGCUGAGCUGCUGCUGCCACUGCUGCUGCGCAUGCUGCUGCUGCUGCUGAGCUGCUGCUGCUGCUGAGCUGCUGCUAAGCAGCAUAAGCUGCUGCUGCUGCAGCUACUGCACUGCUGCUGCUGCUGCUGCAGCUGCUGCACUGCUGCUGCUGCUACUCCAGCAGCUGCUGCUGCUGCGCAUGCUGCUGCUGCUGGUGCUAAACUGCUGCUGCUGCUGCUGCUGCUGCUGACAGCAGCGUGCUGCAGCUGCUGCUUUAGCUGCUGCUGCUGCUGCUGUGCUGCGCAUGCUGCUGUUGCUGCUGUGCAAGCUACUGCUGGCUGCUGCUGUUCCUGCUGCUGCUGCUGAAGCUGCUGCUGCUCAGCAGCUCCUACUGCUGCUGAGGCUACUGCUGUUCCUGCUGCUGCUGCUGAAGCUGCUGCUGCUGCUGAAGCUGCAGCUGCUGCUGAAGCUGCAGCUGCUCAGCAGCUCCUGCUGCUGCUGACGUUGUUGCUGUUCCUGCUGCUGCUGCUGCCUUGCUCACAGCAGCAGCAAGAAGCUGCUGCUGCUCCUGCUCACAGCAGCAGCAAGGGCUGCUGCUGCUGCUGACAACAGGGAGAGAGAGACAAAAGGGAGAGGUUCAAAUCUUACCUCUUUUCUUCUUCUUCUCUUCUUCUUCUUCUUCUCUUUUUCCUCUCUUUUUCUUCUCUUUCUCCUUCUUUUCUCCUUCUCUCUCUCUCUACGUAUGGAACCAGAGGGAUAAGGAUGGAGGGGGGCUUGCCUGGCAGUUUAAUGGAAAUCCACUAAGCCUAUGCUAAUUACCAUUUUGCCCCUCGACUUAUCCGUUUAGUCAUACGGCUUAGAUACCUUUCGCAGUCCCUUUCAAACGUCCGAUUGAGCUCAAAUUUGACAGGCAUGUUCGGUUUUACUUAACAAGUCCAAAGAAAUUUUAACAUUUCAGUUUCGACCCUGUUUGGUCACUGCGAACUGUCCCGAACCGUAAUCUUUAUCAGAUAACUUCCAGAUGCUAUUUCUCUCUCUACAGGUGUCAGAAAAAUUUAAAACUUCAAAUCUAGCCUCAUAAAAAUGUUCCUGACAUCUCUGCCAAUUUUCAUAAUUUUCUGACACUGUGCAUUUUCUGCUAAUUUUCUCAGUCCCGUUCUUUACAGAAAAUUCUAAAGUUUCCGUUUUCACUCCGAUUUCACCCAAACAUGUCCAAAAGAUACCAAGGGACCUUCACAAGCUACCAAUCCAAUUUGGAAGCAAUUCCUUUGCAUUUUGACAUUAUUGGAGCCGAAUUAGCAAUAGAAUCAGCUCCAAUUUCAUUAUACGGCAGAAAUUUCUCCUUUUUGCACUAUCACUUCGCACUGAACACUUCAAAACCCUUUGAAAGCACACCCUUGGCUUUUCCAAAACUUCACAAUUGAUUCGGAGAUACCACAAUUUAUCCUUACGCCUUACUUUAAUUCUUUUAAUCAAAGUUAGCGUCGGAAAUCCGAAAUUCUCUUUAUAUUUCGUUUCGCGCCCAAUUUGCGCCGAAACACUUAUUUAUCUCCAGAAUUCAUUCACACGCAUCACAAAUCACUCGGGGAUGAUGUCCAACUAGCUCAAACCUCACUUUGAUCCCCUAGAUCAAAGUUGACAUCGCAACUCCAAGUUUCCAUAUGUUACACGUAGUGUACUUGACACUAGAGGUUCAUGAACUUAGGGAUAGGUGGAUUCCCUAGAAAAUGACUCGUGAACAAUGAACUUGGUAUAGCUAAGUAAAUAUGCAUGAACGUCAGAAUAGAUGAGUUCCGAGAGAAUGUUGGCCUUAGUUCGUAGGGUAUCCUCACGUGGAGAGGAUAGAUCAAGCUCACGGUCUGUUAUUUGGGGUGGUAAAGCCAUUCAUAUUCUCACAUGGAGAGGAUUGGUCAUCGAGUACUCCGGAGUGUUGGGCGGUAGGACAGAGUUGUCCGCAGACAGUCCCGGGUUCGGGGGCACAUGGAGCCUCCUUACCCAAUGGGAUGGAUAUGUGAGUCGUAGGCAAACCCAAGGGUUUCGCCACAGAUUGGGUAAAUGAAAAGUUAAUAAUGACAUUGAACAUUGCUUAUCGAACAUGGAUUGAAUCUGUUAGCAUGAUAGUAACCUUCUACUAUAUGAUGCAUGCAUUCAUUACACAUGAUUAUGGGCAUAGUAGCAUAGCUUUCCUAUUAUGUCUUUACAGCUUUGAUAUAUAGAUCAUCUAUCUAUUUCGUUGUUACUUGUGCCCACUUGGACCUAGUGGGGAGAUCGGCAGAGUCGGCGGCCGAGCCCACUGGGAACUAUGGAAGAUAGUUCUCACCCCACUCUAUUUCGAGGGCUAGGUACAGGUUUGCCGGGCGAGGACCGCGGCAAGGGCAUCGCGCCCGACCAGUGAGAACUAUUGGUAGAGUAGUAGCUUUCGUUUUGCAUUAUGUAAGGACUGAGAUUUUGGCAGUGCGGCUAAACUCUUUGUUAAUAAUGUUUUUGUGUGUAAUUUAAAUACAUAAGCACUCGUCAAGUUUCAGGAGAAAACGGGUUAGAAUGGAGAAGUUACGCGAUCAUUAGUAUUCACUUAAGUGAAUACUAACUCUGGUUUUUCGGAGAAGCCACAGAGUAGAGUUAGCUUCUGGCGCGUAUCGGACUUCGUUCAUAGCAGUCCAAUAGCUCAUUUCGAACGAUUCAGCUAUUUUGGAACUAUUGGCGCUGACGGAUUUUGGGUUUGAUGCACGAAUUUCGAGAAAAUCUGAAAAUACAUGUUUUAUAUGUAUUUGUGUGUCACUUGUCUUUUGGAGAGAGAGAACAAAUUUCGCCCCGAAUUCGUGACCGAUCGAGGCGAAAUGAAAUGGUGAGUUUGUUGUCUCCGUUGUGCUGAUCGCACUAGCGUGAUCCGUUCGCAAAUCUGACGAACGGAUCUGCAGAUAUCGCGCAUUGAUUGAGGUGAGGUCGGUGUCACGCCCCGGGACCCAGUGGAAGCCCGCCCGGCACGUGCCCAGACCCGCCAUACGUCUAAAACGUAUAAGGCGUCUAAAAACAACAGUAAUAAAAGCAAUAAUAAAAGGCAACUAGGAGUAUCAGAGCAUAAUAAAGGUCUAAAUGCUACAACAAAGGAUAAGGAUAAAACUGUAAAUCCACUAAUAAAAGCAUAAAGUGAUACAAGAAAAUCCCAGAUACAAAUGCUAUNCCGAAAUACUUAUUUAUCUCCGAAAUUCAUUCCAACGCAUCACAAAUCACUCGAGGAUGAUGUCCAACUAGCUCAAUCCUCACUUUGACCCUCUAGGUCAAAGUUGACAUCGCAAUUCCAAGUUUCCAUAUGUUACAUGGCGGGUCUGGGCACGCGCCGGGCGGGCUUCCGCUGGGUCCCGGGGCGUGACAAUACAUGGAUACAAAAACCUCUCACUCUCUCAACUACAAAAAGAAAGAGUAGACCACCUAGGCAAAGUACCGCUCCUCGCUAGCUAGCUAAGCGAUCCCCUUGCCGCGAUCCCAUGCCUCCGCCGGUGCCGAAGGCUCUGAAAAGUAAACCACAAAACAGGGGCGUGAGAACUAUUAAAAAUAGUUCCCAGUGGGCAAUUACUGACUUCAGUGAAUGCACCACAAGGCCCAAAGCUACAAAAGAUGACAGUGACUAUAGAUGUAGAAAAGUGAAAGGUAAGUAACAAUAUAACUUACUACAACAUGAUAUCUCUACUUAGCAUAAAUAGCAUAAGUAUGAAAGCAAGUAUGCAUGAGGUAAAAGUCUCCAACUAUCAUGAUGUUCACAAUGCGAAAUAGUAAAGUUCCGUUGUUUACUAUUCUAGUCAAUGUCCAAGUAGUACACUAGGUUAUCAUCUGUCCACAUGUCAUAAUGAAUACUCAAAGUCAAAUCUGAAGAGACCCACCCGAAGGCUGUCUAUGGCCCUGAGACCCACCCGUAGGCUGUCUGGCCGGUGCCGAGCCUAAUGGCCCCGUGGUAGUCAUCAUCCCCACCCUAGGAAUGAGCCUGGCCCACGGCAAUCCACUUCGGCGCCCAAUCCCGCACGGCGAGUAUGAAUCGCGAUGUCUAUCUCCGGAGUGCCGGCUUGUAGGGAGCGACCCUCACAAGCAUGUGCGAAUGAGCACAAUGGCAAGUAGGUAAACGAUCUGUCGCAAGUACCAAGUCCUCAUGUCUAAUAACAUGGAAUGUGUCAAGUAUCUCAAUGGCCUAUCCCUAAGUCAUCAUGUCUCUAACAUGGAAUAUAGCGGAUAUGUAGUGGCCUAUCAAUAUAUCUCUAUGUUGCAGUUUCAUAGUUUACUAGUUUCAAGUGCCCCUUGAUGACACUCUUGUUCUCUAUGUCAAAGUAUGACAACUAUGUUCCAAGGUACGUAUUCCAAGUCAUAAUCCUCAUAAGUGAUGUAUCUUCCACUUGCAAAAUAAACACUUUUCCCAUAUGCAUGCAUUCUACUCAUAUAGCUCUACUAUAUAGUGAAAUUUUCAUAAUACACAAGGCAUGCAUUUUAAGUGCUCUAAAAUUCAUAUAAAUUCCAUUUAGCAUAGAAAUGAAUUUAAAAAUAUUUUACAACAAAUAGAAAUAGCAUAGGGGCCAUUUCGCCCCAUUUUCACGAAGCCAAACCCACCGUCGUCAACGAAAGCUUUCGUUUGCCACGACGAAGGCGUCCGCCACACUCCUAGUACCCUAAAGGUAUGAAAACAAGUGUCAUCUAGUCGAAACGAACGACGCUAAGUUCAAUCUUUAACCAUAUAGGGCUAGGGUUGAAGAAAAACUCACCGAUUACGAAGGAAGCUCUCUCGAUCUCCAAAUGGGAGCUAGAGUCCUUCCAAUCUAACCUAAACAAAGGUUCUAAACCCAUCAAUUUGGUUCCAAAGCCCUCAAAUCAAAAAAACCCCCAAAACUAACCCUAGAAUCCCAAUCUAGGGUUUCAUCUAGUAAAACCUAGAAAAACAUGUAUCAAGUAGGGAUUACAUGCUACCAACCUCAAGAGGGGCUUCAAUCCAAGCUCAAAACCAAGUAGGGUUGAAGUUUGAUCCUCCACAAAGCUCCAACCGCAAGCUCGAAGCCACCAAGGUGAGAAAAUGGGGAAAAGAUGAUACUCCAAAGUCUCCAAGCAAGCUCCCUCUCCUCUUCUUCUUCUUCUUCUUCUUCUUCUUCUCCCUCUCUUCUUCUCUCUCUAGAAUAGGUGGGAAGGGAAGAAAUGAGGAGUGAAGAGGGUGAAAUGACCAUAUAGACCAUCUAAAGAAACAAAAUCCACAUAGGCCCCUCAAAAACUCAAAAUUACAUCAGCCCGGUCUGGGCAGUUUUCGCCCAGAGGGACCGGUCUCCCCGACCUGGGACCGGUCUCUCAGCCUGCCCCCGAAAACCCAACGUUCGGGAACCGGUCUCUCCCUGUGCGGGACCGAUCUCUCCCCGCGCAGACGCGCUCGGGGACCGGUCUCGACUGCCAGGGACCGGUUGCCUCAAGUCCUGCCGCAGCACUGAGCUGAGGGGACCGGUCUCUCAUAUCAGGGACCGGUCCCCGAGAGUGAAAACUCUCAGGACCAAGUCAAAACUCUCGAGAUCGAACUUUUAGGCCGGAAUACCAUCUACGGCCUUCCACCAAGUGUGGAAAAGUUCGGAGUACACAUCAAACACUCGAACCUCGCAAUUUGCAAAAGUCUAGUGUGCUACAAUUAGACUACUCAGUUGCGCCCUAACAGUAUAACGUGGCAACGAGUACUUUUUCUUAUUCAACCGAACGAAAAAUAAACCUAAUAAUAUUGUUCUAUUAUGCCCCGAGUGUGUAAAUUUGCAACUUAUCGAUGUCAACGUUCACAUAAACCAUAACCAGACCUACAAUAGACUACUCAGUGGCGCCCUAACAGUAUAACUUUGCAACGAGUAAUUUUUUCUCAUUCAUUCGAGCAAAGAGUAAAACCUAAUUAUAUUGUACUAUUAUGCCCAGAGAGUGUAAAUUUGCAACGUAUCGAUGUCAAUGUUAGGAAGAACCAAAACCGGAAAAACAUUAGACUGCUCAUUGCUCCAUAAGAUUAUAACUUUGCAAUGAGUACUUUUUCUCAUUCAAACGAACAAAGAGUAAAACCUAAUUAUAUUGUUCUAUUAUGCCUCGAGAGUGUAAAUUUGCAACGCAUCGAUGUCAACGUUCACAAAAACCAAAAUCAGACCAACAUUAGACUACUCUGUUGCGCACUAACAGUAUAACUUUUCAACGAGUACUUUUUCAUCUUCAACCGAACAAUGAGUAAAACCCAAUUAUAUUGGUCUAUUAUGCCCCGAGAGUGUAAAUUUGCAACUUAUAGACGUCAACGUUCACAAGAACAAAAACCGGACCAAUAUUAGACUACUCAGUUGCGCCCUAACAGCAUAACUUGGCAACGGGAACUUUUUCUAAUUCAACCGAACAAAGAGUAAAACCCAAUUAUAUUAUUUUAUUAUGCCCCGAGUGUGUAAAUUUGCAACGUAUCGAUGUCAACGUUCACAUAAAUCAAAACCAGACCAACAGUAGUGUAAGGUACCGGGCUUCUAAAACUAGGAAGUUAUGGUGUACAAUGAUUUGGGGAGCCAUUUGAAUGGUCCCGGUGGAGAAUGUAACAUACCAGAUUUUGGUAUAAAAAUAAUAAAUAAAUAAAAAUAGUGUGGGAUACUAUUUUUAUUGGAUUUAGAAAAAUAAAACAUAAGUCUAGAAUUGACUUGUGCUGAAAUCGGAAUGAAAACAGAAGAUCUAGAAUUUUCUGUCGAAGACGGGGCAGAUAAAUUAGCAGAAAAUGCACAGUCUCAGAAAAUUAUGAAAAUUGGCAGAGAUGUCAGAAAUAUUUUUAUGAGACUAGCUAUGAAGUUUCAUAUUUUUCUGACACCAGAAAAGUGUGAAUCAGAUAUCCGAAAGUAUCUGAUAAAGAUCACAGUUCGGUACAGUUUUCAGUGACCAAACGGGGACGAAACUGAAAUAUUAAAAUUUCGUUGGACUCGUUAUGUGAAACCGAGCCAGCCUGUCAAGUUUGAGCUCAAACGGACAUUCAGGGAGCUCCGGCGAAAGAUAUCAGAUUUUAAACUGCCCGGAGAUGAAUAGUGAUUUGAGGAUGUUGACUUUAAUUAGAAGCUAAUUAGCUUCUUCUUCUUCUUUCUCCCACAGCCGCAGCAGCCUGCAAGCAUCACGCACGCAUGGGAGGGGGAGAGAAACCCUUCUCUCUCUCUCUAAAGAUCUCUCUCAUCUCUCUAUAUCUCUCGCUCAAAUUCGCGGGGUUGGUGGAGAAGAUGCUUGCGAACGCGUUGGAGGCAACAGAUCGAGCUUUCGUGCGGCCGUUGGAGCGAUGUGUUUUCGUCGCGGCGUUCACAUUGGGGUAAGCUUUUGGGAUUUUGUUUAAAUCCUUCAUGAAUGAUGUUCUAAUAGUAUCUAGAGUGCUCUAAACAUGUUCUCUCCAUUUAAUUUGGAUUAUUGGAGGUUAAUUGCAUAUUAGGGUUCAAAAAUGGGAUUUUGCAAAAUGGUAGUGUUUGAUCUCAUUUGACCCUUCGUAAACCUAAUUGUUAGGUAACGAAACGCGUUGGCGAAGACGGUUCGGCGAUCCGUCGAGCCGUUACAAAGAUAUUAAAGAAAUGGACGUUUAGGUUUCGUUUCCGCCUGGAGGGCCGAGGCGACGUCGUAAAAUCAUGGAAAUGGAUUUGAGGUAUCGUGGCACAUAACCGAAGACCUAUAAUUUUCGGGGCUGCAAAGCGGAGCACGGUUGAGGCGCCGCUGCGAUAUCGGGCCGUGCCGGGUACGGAUGCCGCGGGAGGCCGAUCGCAAGUGUCGACAAGCAAUCAGAAUGCAAUAGCAGGUGGGUUGUGUUUACCGAAGCGACUUGGUCGCCUCGCAUGUCAAAGCGGAAUGUGGAAUCUUAUUGAUGCAUAAAUGGAUGUGCAUAUGAACAUGUUAGUAUUAUAGAUUUAUGUUGACAUGUAGGAGAGCAUGCUAAAGAACAUGAACAUAUUAAUGAAUGUCAAGCAUACGAGAAACUGUUAAAUGUAUGAACAUGUUAGCACUAUAGAUUCAUGAUGACAUGUAUGAGAGCAUGCUAGAGAACAUGAGAUCAUGUUAGAUAAUGGUUAAUGGCAUAAUGAGAAAUGUGUAUGCAAGUUAAUAUUAUGUGAAUGCAUGCUAGUUGGUAAUUGCAUAUUAAAUUGUAUGCUUAGAGAAUGCAUGUUAGAGGGCAUGGCAUAUUAAUAUUAUGAAAAGAUGCAUGCAAAAGUACAUAUGAUUAUAGAACCUCGAUAUGGACAAUUAGGUAUCCAAUAGAUCGAGUGGCAUGAACCUAGUGU